rnacentral:lncRNA from 1 species
UUUUUUUUUGCUUUUUGGGUUAUUUUCUAACAUGUGCUAUAUUUUAACUGUUUUUAUGUUUUAAUUUUAGGGUGAAAAAAGAUUUUUUGUAAUUUGUUUGCGAAACCAUUUUUUAUUUCCACUUAUUGCUUCAAAAACUUAUUGGUGCCUUUAUAUCUAUUGCCAUGGGAAUACCAUGAGACUCAGGCAUGUUCUUCGAUCCCUCAAUUUGCAUCCUUUUUUUUUUGCUUUUUGGGUUAUUUUCUAACAUGUGCUAUAUUUUAACUGUUUUUAUGUUUUAAUUUUAGGGUGAAAAAAGAUUUUUUGUAAUUUGUUUGCGAAACCAUUUUUUAUUUCCACUUAUUGCUUCAAAAACUUAUUGGUGCCUUUAUAUCUAUUGCCAUGGGAAUACCAUGAGACUCAGGCAUGUUCUUCAUCCGGUUUACGCAACAGCAUCCUGAAUCCUGUUGUCAUGAACCACGCCAAGACAUGCCACAUUUCAAGUGAAAUAUACUAGUCCCAAAUAAAGAUGUGCGACUCAAUCUCAACUAUUCCUCUUUGCUUUGUUCCUGCGUAUACAUCACCCGCACCUGAAGUAAAAAUUUCUCGGUAAAAAAUUAUUCAUCAAUUAUUCUGUUCACAUGCAUCGUAUUGAUUGAAUCCAUUUCACAUUGAAGGACUAGCACUCAAACUACAAGUGAAUUUGACUACUUUUAUCUUUUUGAAUUGAAUUGUUCAGUACUUGCAAUACAAUGGUAUCAAGGAUGUCAAGUUCAAAUCCCAGUGAACAUGAUUGAAUAAAAUAAUUACAGACGACUCAUAUUUUUACAUUAGUGCCCUUUAAGAAGCCUGCAAUCAAGGGAUGGAGAGGAAAGGCAAAUUUUAAUUUUUCCGACUUGAGAAAGCCAGCACGCUGCGCAUGCUAUUCUCGAACAAACUAUGAGAUGACCAGUAGUAUCACGACAUGAUGAAUGAAGAUCGGCUGUGUAAUGGUCACAUGUAAAUAUUUUUACAAAUUAUGAAUGAACAAACUAUGAUGAUAUAUAAUGAUAAUGGUAACAUGUAAAUAUUUUUAUUCUCAAUUUUGAACCACUGUGUUCCAACUUUAAUUUAUAAAGCAAAAAUAUAUGAUGGUCAACUUUAUAGAUUCAUGUAAAGACUUUAUUUUCAGUUUUGAACCACUGUGUUUCAACUUUAUAACACAUAGACUUUUUUUUGAGAUAGCAGCGGCAAAACAAAAACAUGACUGAAAUUUUGGAGGCAAAACAAAGCGUUUCGGCGGGUAUAAACCCACCACACCCGAAAAUUUGGAGGUAAAAUGACAUUUCUGUCGAAACAUGUCUACAAUGCUUUGCUCCGCAUCAAGGGCAAAAUGGUAAAACCUGCCACCGAGUUAUCUAUACCCUGCUUCCCCGUACCCUAGUGCCAUUCCAGACCUUUCCCCUUCUCGGCCGCCUCCACCCUUCCCCUCCUCUGCGCCUCCCUCCUCUGCACCUCCACCCUUCCCCUCCUCUGCCGCCUCCACCCUUCUCCUCCACCACUGCCAGGUUCUGCUCCCCGACCCUCCCCUUCGCCGACCACCAAGAUGCCUCCUGGUCGUAAGCGGGGAACAAGCAAGGCCCUAGCAGCAGGUAAAUCCAUACGCCGUGCCACUUCGAUUUGUUCUAGAUUCGAGUUGUAAAUGUUGAUUAGCAUGAUUGGUGGAAAUAGAUGCUAGGGCUUGCUGGUUUGGGGAUUAAUUGUUGGGAAAAAUGCUAGGGUUUGCUGGUUUCGGGAUUAGCUGGGGGAAACAAAUGCUAAGGCUUGCUGGUUCGACGAUUAAUUGGGGAGAAAGAUGCUAGGGUUUACUGGUUUCGGGAUUAGUUGGGGGAAACAGAUGCUAAGGCUUGCUGGUUCGAGGAUUAAUUGGGGGGAAAGAUGCUAGGGUUUGCUGGUUCGGGGAUUAGUUGGGGGAAACAGAUGCCAAGGCUUGCUGGUUCGAGGAUUAAUUGGGGUGAAAGAUGCUAGGGUUUGCUGGUUCGGGGAUUAGUUGGGGGGAACAGAUGCUAGGCUAGCUGAUUUCUGAUUUUGAGUUUCUGAUGUGAUGUGUGAUUUUGCAGUACGUAGUACUGGCCACUUAUUUUUUCCUUUCUGAAAUAAUGCAUGUGACUCAUGAACAGUAUGCCAUUGAGUCCUAUCUGUAUUAGUACCAGUUUGUUCUUAUGUCCGAUCUGGGCAUACUAGUGUUCCUAGAGUUGAUUUGUGCAUGGAUUAGUUCUUUUGCUAAUUGCCAUGUCCCUGGUGCUUACUACUAAUACUUUGCAGGCAUGAUGCUAAGCAGAACUUUAGACUUUGAUCCUGUAGGUUUUUAUGCUUUUUUGCAGACAUGUUUCUAGACUUUUUUUUUCAGUUCGUAGCAGAAUUUAUUGGUUUUGAUCCUGUAGGGUUUUGCUUUUGAUGGAGUAGAACAGAUCAGCAUAUCCAUAUAAAUUUAUUGGAUUGAUGGUAGAAAGGUCAACUGCUUUUGAGUUGAACUGUGCAGAAUCUGUAGUUUACUAGUUUUCAUCUUUUAAGCUGUGCAUUGGCUAUCAGAGAAGCAUUGUUGCUACCUGCAAAUAUAAUGGUAUCUGGUCAUGUAUGCUACUCUUUCCACUAAAACUAUAGGGAUUACAGGCUAUCUUCUUGCAUUGAAAUUACAGAAGCAAAUAUAAUGCUAUAUGUUCAUGUAUGCUUAGUGUUUAUAUAGCCUUGUAAAUGAAGCAGCUAGAGUUCUAUCGUGUUUGUUGUGUGUAUCUUCUAGGAUGUAGUUAGAGCUCUGUCAUUUUUGCUGUUUGUAUCUGCUCAGAAGCAGACUUGGUGCUGCAAUUGCUCAGAAGCAAAUCUGUUUCUGAUUUAUUUAAAAGUAGGAAAGAAUUCAGAUAAUGCAACAAGCAAUUGCAGCACCAUUCCAUUGUGUAGCAGAUCUGUUUGUGAUUUAUUUGCUAUGCAAAAUUCAGUUCAUAUCCUUCAAAUAGUUUAUACAUGAUUUAUUAACCAUUGGCCUAAGUUUACUUUUGCAACUUACUUUUGCAAGUGCAACAUUAUACCUGCUGCUUGAUCUCAAAUACCUAUGGUCAUGAUUAAUUUUUUCUAUGCAUGUACAGAGGAACCACUCGCUGAAUAUGAAAGAGUGAGGGCUCAAACAAUGAUGAGGAACAACCAGAUAUUGUGCAGUCUUGGGGUUACUACAUUGGCUUCAGUUCUUAACAGUUCGAGUUGGUCUGUCUGCUUCUUAAUAGAACUCUGAAUUUUAUUUUGCUACCGAUGCCUUUGUUUUGAAAUAAUAGUGCAAUUGACCAUCUCUGAAAUACUUUGCUCUCUGAGACAUUUGUUAAGCUUAAGAAAUUGAGUUAUAAGCAACUAUAUUGAAACUUCAGAACUAACAGAUUAUAGUAAAACCUAUUUUAGAUGAUUUGCUGUUGUAUGCUAAUCAUUGCUAGUUGUCUAUAUCUAUUUUUUCCAAUUUUCCUACUAUCUAAAUUUUUUCCAUUGCGGGAAAUUUUUCCUAUCUUACUAACAUAUGUCUUAUAGGAGAAGUGUCUGAAGGCCAAAAGUGAAUCGUGAGAAAGUUAAGUACCCUCACAAGACAGGCUCUAGGUGCUACAUUGCGCAGACCUAUGCCGUGGUAAGAUGGAAAAACUUUUUUCAUGGUCAUUUUGUUGAGUUUACAAGUUGGUCACAUGCUACUUCUUUUCCUUGCAAUAAUCGAAUCAACAUUUGCAUAGGACAUGUUUUAUCCAUAGUUCAAUCAUUACCAUGAGUUAAGCAAUUUUUUGCCUUUGCCUGAGGGGCUGCAGGCUAUUAGCAAUAAACUUGUCUAUGCGUGUAUCUUUCCUUGUCUGUGGCAAUAACUUAUUGCGCAUAUAAGAUCAAAGUAUGACCUGGCAGUAACUUACUGUGCAUGUAGCCUGCUACUGGUCUAUAUUACUACUGCUUGCAGCAUCGUCUAUAUAUUACUCCUGCUUGCAGCAUCGUCUAUAUAUUACUCCUGCUUGCAGCAUCGGUUGAGAAGCAAGCCAAAGAUGCCAUUCCAGGAAUCUGAAGCAGCAAGGGAGAAUCAAAGGGGCGAGAUUGAAAGUUUGAAGAAGCAAGGAGAGGAAACAAAUGCUCUUCUUCGCCGUCUGUUAUGCCUCAACAGGGAGUAGGUCCUUGACUACUUGCAGGUUCACGAUGUCGUCUAUUUAUUUUGCUACUUGUGGUUGGAUAGAUGUUUUGGCUCUACGGUGGAUGCUAUAUACUUUUUGGCUGUGAGUCCAUAGAGUUAUCUUGGCUGUUUAGUGAACAUAGAGUUAUCGAGUGACUUGGCUGUUUGUUUUUGGCUGUUUAUCGGAUGACUUGACAAGUGACGUGCUGUUUUGAAUGAAUAUGUUGUUUUGAAGUGAUGAUGAAUCUGCUGUAAAAUACUGUGGGCUGAAAUGAUGACGAAUCUGCCGUUAUGGGCUACAAUACUGAUAGAUCUGCUGUUAUGGACUGAAAUGGCUAGGAUGUACAAAUAGUUAAGGCCCACUCGGAAAUUUGAUUUAGGCCCAUUUGAAAAUUGAACAUUAUGGGCUGAAUUUGAUAAUAAGAUUAAAAAAUAGGCUGAAUUUGAUAAUGAAAUGGGCAUAAAAUUCAGGUUAGCCCACAUUGGAUUCUUUUACUAUAUGGGCCUUGUUGGGCCACUAAAUAUUUUAUGAUGAAUCAAAUUAUCAUAAUGGAGAUGUCAAAUCAUAUUCUAGUAAUCGCACAUCACAUGAGGCAAAAAUUUUAUGACGUUUUCUGUCCUAUUUGGCAUGUAUAUAGUCAUCCAAGCAUACGGUUUUGUGAUGUUUCUUGGUAUUGAUUAUGAUGAAAAUAAGCAUCAUAAAUUAGUGAUGAUAGAAUAAAGGUCAUAAGAUAUAUGAUGAAAAAAAUAUGUUUUCGUUAUGAAAUACCUUUUAUUACAUGGUAUAGGCGACGAAUGGGUUUUCAGCAUGCAAGUGUCAUAAAUUAUGAAAUAUAAUAAAAAUAUUACUUCCAGUGAUAUAAAUGGAACGUCAUAGAAGUCCACAUGUGUUGUAGUGCGAAUACUGCAAUACUUGACAACUUUAGGUAUGAUUAAACUAGCAAAUGUUGUAUAAUAUUUUGUGCAAUGAGGCCACUCCCCUUCCUCAAUGCAUCCGGAUUUUCUCCAUUGCUGCUUUCGCAUGACGAGCACGCUCUCCUCCACGCGCUGGGCAGCAUGUUACAUUUCCACCUCUUCUUUGCGCUCCUUUUCUGCUGCCUCCUCUUGGCGUCUCUUCUCCAACAACUCCUUCCGCUCCGCUUCCCACUCCUUCAUGCUACGCAGAUACUUCUUGUCCUUCUCCUCGAUCUCAGGGGUUUGCAAAACAUGCAAUUGUUAUACUCCAAAUAUUACACUAUCGGUGUUUAACCUCCAAGACCACCGAGGGAUACCACUGAGGUGGUAGAUUGUAGGUAGGGUGUCGCCGAGAUCAAGAACUCGAAAGUGCAAGGAACACAAAACUUUAGACAAGUUCGGACCGCUUUGUGCGUAAUACUCUAUGUCCUGUGUGGUGCUUUGUAUUGCCUUAGAUUGAUUGUAUUUUUGAGGGGGUCCCUACCCGCCAUUAUAUAGUUUGGGGGACAGGGUUACAUAGAAAUUCUAGCCAGAUACGAGCUUAGGAGUCCUACCCGAGUACUACUCGGGUAGUUUCUGUGGCAGAACCGCCCGAAUUAAUCCGGCUCAAGUGCACUAACCAUCAUCCAAAAAGGCGAAACGGCUACCAUGCACUUCAAACGGAGUAAUCUGACAGUCUGUCGGGUAAUUCCCGGUGCGACCACUGAAUAUUUCGAUCGAAAGAAAGCGUACACUUGACUUGCAUGAAAGCAAGCCCAGAGAUUACAAUAUACCAUAGCUUUUACCUCGCAAUUACCUCACAAGUGUGAUAAUUAUUUAUUACAAACCGAGCUCAUAAAACUAGUGCUUCAGAGUUCAAAAAUAAAAGCUUUAUUCAGAGUUUAAAAGCAGCGAAAAGAAAACACGAUAAUCUAUCGUCGAUUCGAAUACCACGAUGAAAUCCGUACAUGGCAUCACUUGGCAGAGUUAUCGUUGGCCAGGGACGAAUCCCACUCCACGGACCAACCAGGUGGCAAGGUACAGCGCCAGUCAAACCAGCUAUCAUUUCUUCAAAAGACACACAUGAAAACAAUACCACAAGCAAGGCUGAGUAUACUAAUACUUAGUAAGGCUUACCCGACUAAUGGUAUUCAUAACCGACUCCUAAGCAUGCAUGGCUCUAAGGCUUUAGAUUUUCUUUUUCCAUGGCUCUAAGGCUCUAGAUUUUCUUUUUGAUGGAAAGCAACAAAGAGUAAGUCCUUAAUUUCAAAUUUUAGCUUUAUAGUUCAAUUAACCAUUCUAAGUGAGCAUCUAUAUCUAACCAAAUUUUAGCUUUCUAGUUCAAUUAACCAUUCUAAGUGAGCAUCUAUAUCUAACCAAACAUGGUGGAAAAUAUUUAAUCAUCCAACAAGUUUCAUCAUAACCAUGGUUUCUCUUGUUACUCUAUAUGGCAGAAAUAUUAAGCAAUCUGAAUUACCGCGAGAAAUGGACGAUUUGAAUCGAAUUUCUUAACCUUGCAAGGCAAACCUAACACACACACCUGAAGUACCGAAGGGUCACCCCAAGCGACUUUUCCCCUUUCUUUCCGGGUUGUGGAUCAGGGUCACCCUCCCCGACUACAGAGCCACGCUCUGUACUCGCAUGUGUAUACGCAUCUGAACUUUGUUUAAGUAGGGUGAAAGUAAAGUCCACUUGCCGGGCCAAUGAGGUACUUAAGCUUAUCGAGUACCAUAUUUUCGACAUGUGGUUAGUACAUUUAAAUGUUUUACCACCACUACCACACACUGCGGUCUUAGCAUUUUUCUCUACUCAGACGGGGCCUCAACCGUGAGCAUGGUACCACAGCCCCGCCUGUCGACCUUUGUUAUCGCCAUAAUUUGAUUGGGCCAAGAGAUGGGCCGAGAGCAACAUGGGCUGAAGGAGAUCAUCGUGACGGUUUGCGAAUCGGCUCCUGUGCGAGCGUGUUAAGGGCCGGGAUGGACGUGUAUUUAGUAAGGAUAGUUUAAAUAUAAUAAGUUAGAGAUUGUAUCGUAAUCAGCUAGGGUUAGUUAGAAAAGAUCAAGUCUCCGGACUAUAACGUGAGAUUCAAUAAAGCAAUCAAUCAAACAUUCACAACAAACUCUCGGCGCAUCGCCACCCCUUUCCCAAGGGUUUCACCAGGUAAUCGACAUGCUGCUCCGAUCAUGUUCUGCAUGAUCGGAGCAGCGUUGUGUUUAUCUGCUUAUCUUUGUGUUUCUCGUACUGAAGCAUUGUUGAUGGUGAGUAACACUAGUUAUCUUAAACGAUUAUGAUUCUGCAUUGGUUUUGAAUAAUAUAUCUAUGUUCUGCUUGUUAUUCGUAAUCGUUUAGCUGCCCUUGUACGUGAUCCCAGGUGCAAGGGCAGCACCUUGCUCUGUUAUCGCUUAGUAGAUCUAAUCUGUUAUUGUAGUUCUUUGCAUUAUAAGAAUUCGGUUUAAUAUCCGUAUUAUUAGGCCCUUUAAACGGGUUAAAUGUUCCGGCUGCAUGUUUGGUGCUUUAUGGUAAUCCAAGGAGGGAUUGUUCUGGGAAUCAACUUGUUAGUUGGUUUUUAGGACUCCUUUUGGGUUAGCGUCUUGUUAUCUUUCAUGUUCAUUAGGCUUAACCACGCGUAGGAUGUUCCGGUUACACGGUGAAAACCUUUACUGUCGUAGAUUAGAUUAGUUUGGUAAUUAACAGAGUAUGCUUUUAUCUUUUCUAUCGGAUUCGUACAAGGUAUUCGAAUAUUAAUAGAUCCGAUCUGUUAAAUGAGGCAAUCGGCUUCUUUUAGCCGAUUCUGAGAGUUACCUGAAGGUUCAACCUGGUACAAAGAUAGGUCCGACCCAGUGCAAAGGCUCCAUCGGCUCUUCUGGCCGAUCUUGGGAGUCAUUUUAAGAGCCGGUCGCGGCUCGGACUAAUGUUUGACGUGGCUGUGCAUGCAGGAAAUUAACUGAUAACGACUUCUACACCUUCCUGAUCAAGUAUAGGUUAGGUGGCACGCCUAGCACUUCACCAAGCCAGGGCGUGUGCUGGACUUCUGGGCCGUUGACCGAGGGACCGGGACCCACCAGCAGUCCCGGGAGCCUCCCGGCUCCUCGUGUUGCCUGUCGCUGCUCGCCGGUGGAUUUUGACCGACAACAACCUUAUAGUUGCAGUAUGUAGUAAAAUCAUUCAACACCUAUAGUUCUCGCGAGUGACAGGAAACCACUACCGAACGUAUUAGCAGAGCAUCGACUUGAACUCCUAGUUCUAAUAUUCAUUACAUAGGUGCCUAGGAUCAUGCAGCUAGGGUUCCAAUCAACUCCUAUGAACUUAAUUGCACAGGUAAAAAGGAAUAGUAGUUGCAUAAAUUGAAACAUUGGGAUCAUGCACCGGGGCUUGCCUUCUUGGGCAAAACUAGUCGGGUGUUCUUCCAAACUUUAGUUCGGGUCUUCAGCAACUUUAGUUAGAUUAAAUUGAGCUUCACGCUACUCACUCUCGAACUCGGACACCAGCUCGUAGGUUCCAUUGGUGAGAGUACUCGGUUCUAUAUGAAUGCAUAUGUAUGAGUGGUUUUAAUGGUACAAGAUAAAUAACUAUUUCACUAUAAAGUAGUCAUUCAAGAAAACUCAAGUUAAGUUGCCAAGCACUUUAUUUUCUUUUCCUUGGGCAGUAGUACUUAUCUGGAUUAACUAACUUCAUUAAGUAAGUGAGUCGUUUUGUCAUGUCGUAAAUGGCUAUUUUCAACAGUAAGCAUGGACUAAACAAAACUACUCGUAGAGGCAGUUUCUGAGGUUGAGAUUUUUAUGUAGAGCACGUUACUUAAGUACAAACUCACUAUAAAAUUUUUAGCCAUUUUCAUUCAGCAGGUUAAUCAUGAAAAAUAUAUUAAACAGUUACUGCUAGGAUCAAGAUUUAUUUGUACAGAACAAAACAUGCAAGAACUGAUGCUCAACAUUUUACUGAACAAACUUACUUGCAUGAGUAGGCUAGGUUAAAUUUUGUAGGUUUUUCCUAUGCAAGAAUCAAAGACUAAAAUUCUAGUAUAAGUGGAUCUAGCAGAUAACAAAAAGUACUCGAAACAUCUAGUUGUGAUUGGAGACAGUGCAUGAAAUUUUUAUGAAAGACUGUACUCUUAGUACAGAAGCUACCAUCCAAAUCUCAUGAGCAGUUCUUUCCUGAGACUCUUGGAACAAUUAAAAGAUAUUUAAACUUUAUUUAAAUCUACAGCUAAAAUUAUGUGGAAACAGUACAAGAUCCUUUUACAAAGUUGUAGAUCUUAACUUAAGGAUCCAGAACAUCUUAGUUUCUAUUUUUAGGAUUUUUCUAUGAAUUGUUUUGCAUUUUCAAAGUUACAUAGAUUGGUUUUCAAAGUUCUAGUUUCUGGUUUACAAAUGAGUCCAUGAGAUUUUAUGGAAAUCUCCCUGAAAAUAUUGAAAUCAAAGGAAAAGGGUCCUAUGUGCAGGGGAAAGGCGACGGCCAGCCAAAAUUCCGGCGAUCAGGGUUGCCGGCGGCGAGGGGCGAGAAGAGGCAAGAGGGGACCAAACCGUACCUGUUUGUGGCCUUGUGUGGGGAAGUGGUGGACCGAGGCGGCUUGCCGGCGUGGCACAGAACCGACGGCGGUUGCGAGUGGUGGUGGUGGCGCUCCGGUGAGGGAGAGGGCGAGGGGACCGGCCGUGCAGCUUUGGUGUGAGGCGAAGAAGGUGAUGGGAGGGUUGGUUUGGACAAUGUGGGGGCGGAGCGGCGCGUCCACGCACGGGUGACGGCUCGCCGGAGUUGGGGUUGGGGCGGCGAACUCAGGGGCCUCGGGUGGGGGCUUUUAUAGGUGCGAAAGGGAGGAUGGCAGACUGGGCACGAGCUGCUGGGGAAGGCAUGACUAGAGGGCAAAACCGGGGGCACGGAUGCCUUGCUGUCACCAGCAAGGCUCGCCGUGGUGCCAGUAGUGCUCGCGACAGGAAAAUGCUGCCCGCGUGGAGGUUUCCUGAGGGGGAGAGUGGGAUUAUAUGGGCCAGCGGGGGAUCUUCAGGGUGCUGGCGGGUCCAUAUGGCCGGGCGGGCUCAGUUGAGCCGAGGUGCGCCGGCCAGCUAGCCUGCCGGUGAUGGGACAGGGCAGAGGGAGGAGAGAGGAGAGAGAAGGUGAGGAACUUAAGCGCAAACAGCAAAAAUAGCAAGGGUAUAGGUGAAAAGGGAGCUAAAACUCAUUCUUCCCAAGGUCGAAUAAAAAACAUUCGAAUACCAUUUUUGUUCAACUUUUCAAGAUAUACAUUUUCUCUUUAUGACUAUGUUCAUUUGAGCAAUGUAUGAAAAGUUAUUUUGAAUUUCUAAAAACUAGUAUUUAAAUGACAUGUCAUUUCAUGUGAAUUUUUGCACUUUUAGCCCUUGAGUUCAACUAGACUUUUGUUGCUCUUGUUAUGAUAGAUGUGCCAUUAAACUUUUAGAGUCAUUUGUGAUGAACUUUGAAAGUUAUAAGGGUUUGUUUGCAAUGGUUCACAUGUAUAUGCAUAUAUACGUAUACACAUAUACAUUUGCUUGAAAGGUAGAUUUUGAUAGGUUGUUGUUUACUUUUAUUGCUCUUUUAUGCCCGAUUUUAUGUUAUGGAUCUUUGUUUAGUCUUUUAGAUACUCAAGGUGUCACAGCCAACCCCCUCUUAAAAAGAAUCUCGUCCCGAGAUUCAGAUAAAUAACUAAGUGCAGAAAGUGUGUACCUUGGAUGGAACCAAGAAAACUAGGAAAAUUUUGAUUGAGAUAACUUCAGUUUCCCAUGUGGCUUCUUCUUCAGUGUGAUGGUUCCACUAAAUUUUAUACAUUUUAAUCACUGCCUUUCGGGUAUUUCUUUCCUUCUGGUCAAGGAUUUUGAUGGGUUGCUCAACAUAAGAGUGGUCUGGUUCCACCAUGAUUUCUUUUUUCUCAACAAUUUUGGUAGGAACUCUGACACAUUUCUUUAGUUGAGAGACAUGGAAAAUAUCAUGAAUGGCUGCAAGUUGCGAAGGAAGUCGCACUCUAUGGGCCAGGGGUCCACAUUCUUCAAUGAUUUCAUACGGACCAGCAUAACGAGGGGCUAACAUUCCUUUUACUCCAAAUCGUUGCACACCCUUGGUUGGUGAAACCCAAAGGUAGACAUGAUCACCAACGUCGAAUUCCAAGGGUUUUCUCCUCUUGUUAAAAUAGCUCUUUUGUCUAGAUUGGGCUGCUUUAAGAUUUUCUUGGAUAACUUUCACUUUUUCUUCUACCUCAACUACCAAGUCUGGUCCAAAGAUUUUGCGCUCUCCAGUUUGUGACCAGCUCAAUGGUGUUCGACACCUUUGACCAUACAAUGCCUCGAAGGGUGCCUUUUUAAGCUUGCUUGAUAGCUGUUGUUAUAUGAGAACUCUGUUAAAGAUAAACAUUUAUCCCAAUUCUUAUCAUAAUGAAUGAAACAAGCUCUAAGCAUGUCUUCGAGAAUUUGAUUUACUCUUUCGGUUUGGUCGUUGGUCUAAGGAUGAUAAGCUGAGCUUCAGAUUAGUUUAGUACCAAGAGAUUCUUGCAAUUGUUCCCAAAAGCGUGCUACGAACUAAGUACCGUGAUCAGAAAUAAUUGUCUUUGGUACACCGUGUAGACAAACAAUACGAUCAAGAUAUAUCUCAGCGUAUCUCUUGGCAUUAUAAGUGUGACAGUUCAAGUACUUGUAAGCUAGGCACAUUAUUUGUUAGUGUGAAGUAUGUGCUUGUUAGUGUAAAGCUUGUGUGUGUUUAUGUGAAGCUUUUAAAAACUUAAAUGCGAGUAAAAGGGGUAUUUUUAUAAUUAUGGAAAAACUAGGGUUAUUUUUGCAAAAUGUAAUUGGAUGGGAGGUAACUUUAGAAUAGGUGAAGGGUUGUUUUGCAAACACAUUUUUCUUACUUUAAACCCUGUAAAAAAAUGUAUUUACACAUUUUUAAACACAUUUUUAAAAAUGUAUUUACACAUACUUGAAAUGUAUGUGUUGAAUUGUGUAAAAUUGAGUGAAGUUUGUGAAAAUAAGGACCCAUGUGUAAUUAUUCAAAAGUAUGAGUCCUUUUAGGCAAGUAUUUGAAUUACCAAAGUAACUUUCAAAGUUACUAGGGGUUAAAGUGUAAGAAUGUAAGUCAUCAUGACAUUACAUGAAAACUUGCAAAUAGGUCCUGAACUUUAUGAAUUUUACACUCAUGAGGACAAAACUUUAUUAAGUUUGAUUUUAGUUCAAAGUUUAAAAUUAAAGCUUUGUACUUUGGGUUUUUGAACUUGAACCCUAAGGCAAUGUUGUAAGGUUUGAAAAAUUCUACAACUUCUAUUUUGAUCAUUUUCUCAUUAGGGUUUUGGAUCAGUGGGAAAUCUUACUUUACAGUGAGGUCCCUAGACUUUUUGUUUUUGCAAACGAGUCCCUCGGACCCCCCUCUCUUCUUCUUCCUCUGGCGCCCCCCUGCUCUGCUCCUCUGUUGCAGCACCGCAGCCGCCGUUUCCGGCCGCCCCUCGACACCUCCUGCUUCCCCUCGCCUCCACGCGUCGCCCCAACAUCUUCCCUCCGCUCGCCGCCCCUGCGCGUGCCACGACCGCCAGGAGCGCUGCCCAGUCGCCCGCUCGCCGCCGCCGGGGCAAGGACCCGAGCGACCCCUCUUGGCUUCUUUUCUUUUGCCCAUGACCUUCUCCAGCUCCUGCCCGACUCAUUUUUGCUCUUUCUCCUCCUGCACAGCGCCCUGUACCCCCGAACACCACCGCCGCCCUUUCGUCCAGUCCGGUGAGCUACUGGCCACCGUGGGUCACCGCUGUCGAUCGCCCAUUGCCCCCACCGACCCCCUAGCGAGCUUCCCCAUCACCUGCUCGUGCUCACCAGCCCCUAACUGCCAUCGAAUUCCCGCCGAAGCCCCCCCCCCCGUCGCCAUUGACCCUUCCGCCGCCGCCUCGGGUCACCGUGGGGAGCACCCCUCCGGCCAUCCUCCGUCCACUACAACCCCCUGGCAAGCUUCCUCGCCACCCACUGAACCUCUCUAGCCCCACCUCGCCGCCCUUCCCGCACCGGAACCUCGCCGCCGUCGAGCUCCUCCUCGCCGCCGUUCUGCUUGCCGCGGGAAGCCACCCUCCGCCCGUUCUCCUCUCCAACCAAGGCUACCCCAAGGUUCGCCAUGACCCACUGGAUCUUCCUAGCACCUUCAUCCUCACCGCCGGUGACUGGAGUUGCCGGAAUUCGGCCGUCCUCCUCCCCUAUCCCCUGUUCAAUCUGGCCAGGGACUACAUUACGAAGAUCAAAAUCAUUUUAGGGUCUUUAGUGCAAAACCCAGGGGCCUAUCUGUAGUAUUUUGUUUCAGCUCUAGUUUUCAAAUUAGUGAACUUCUAAAUUCCAUAGAAAUUUGUAGAAAAUUCAUAAAAAUACAAAACCAGUUUUGUUUGAAUCCUUAAGUCAAAAUCUACAAGUUUUAUGUUGUGAUCUUGAGCUGAAUGUAUUUGAAUUGUGAUCUAGGUUAAAUAUUAGGAAAUGAGUGUUUUAUUUGUAUCUCAUGUUAUAUGUAUGUGUUGUAGCUGAAAUUUGAAUCAUAGGAUGUGUGUCUCAAGUAGAGAUUUAUGUAAAAUUUGCAGAUCUAGUGCUGAUGCCUAGCUAAGUAUUUUAAAUACUUUUGUGAUAUGUUGCUUGAAUCUCUAAUAUUUAUUCUAGGAUGAUCUUGUUAGAGUUUAUGGUUAAAUAUUUUACAGUGGUUUCUACUAGUGGAAUAUAAUCCAUGAUAAAAUUUUCAGAGUCAGUAGUACUUUCUAACUUAAGUUAGGAAUUUAUGAUUUAGUUCUAAGGUUAAGUAAUUUGUGCUAGAUCCUAUUCAUGUAAAAUGAUGAAAAUAUUCUGGGGAGUUAAUUUAAGGUAGUAUAGCAUAUCCAUGAAGUUUCAGGGAUAAUUCUUCUCUGAAACUCAAGUUAUUAAUAUAGUUUGAUGGGUUGCCUUCAGUUUUGUUUAUUCUUGUGACUAUGUUUCUUUUAGAGAUAAAUUAUGGAAAAAUUACAGUAGCUUAGUUGUGAAUCAAUCAGUACCUAGUAAAACUUUCAACCCCAGUGUUGUAGUAGUUUGAUCUAUAGAAAUGAUUCAUAUUUUGCACAUGAUUUACUUACCAUAUUUACCCUAGUUUAGUUGGUGCAUAAAAUAUUCUGAAAAAUUUAAUAUAAGUUUGUUUCUGAUAACUCUUUGUAUCCUAAUUUUGAUGGUAUUAGAAUCCAUUGCUAACUUAGGACUUACCUAAUUAAUCAAAAGCUAUAAUUCUUCAUUAGUAAUAAUCUAAGUUCUUUUAAGAAAUAAAUUAGCUGGUUUUGCAAAGUUAAUAGUGAUGUUUAAUAUAACUAGUCUGAUUGUGUAGGGUAAAAUGGUCUAUGUUGAAUCUGUGUAGCAUAAUAAUUUUAUUGCCAAACUUUGUCUGUAGAUUAGUAGUUGUUAGUUAUAAACCAUAGUUAUGAGGAUAAAAUAAAACUAACCCUAGUUGGUUUAUGAAGUUAAACAUGUUGUUUAGUGUAGCUAAUUAAGUUAGUCUAUACUCGAUAAAUGACUGCCCAGUAGAAGAGUGAAUGAUAUGUUUGGUAAAUAGAAUAUUUUUUUUGUUUUGCAUUGUUGAUAAGUUUGAUAGUCUUAGCUCAUAUUUUUGGUGAUAGACAUGUAUGAUGUUUAGUUAACCCUUUCAUACGAGUGCUCAUGCCCUGCUAUCGGGACCUUGUCCUUGUCUGAUUUGCAAUCUUUUAGGGCCCCUUUCUGUAUCAAAAUCCUUAGUUACCCCUCUCUGUCAGCACACUUCUAUCGCCCGACUUAUUGGCUGAGAUAUUUGGCCACACACCCCUCAGCUAUACACCCAUAGAACACACCCCUAUCGGCCACAUGCCUUUUUGGCUGCGCGUCUGUAGGACACCCAUCGGCUAUAUGCCUACCCACCACACGCCCUCUUUAGCUACACAUCCAUCGGCACAAGCCCAUCAGCCACAUCCUCUUCAGUCUAGUUCCGCGCUUGUGGUCUCAUCAGCCUAGUCCGAUAUUAGUGUUCUGUUCCACCUGGUUCUUGUAGCAGGUCUGGUUUAGAUGAUCCCAUCAGCUGUACGUCAAUCGAUUGUUGUACUGACGUAAUCAAGCCGAUGCAACCACACCUAGUUACCUAGGAUAACACUUAAGCACAUCUCAGUUAGGCACAGUCAGUGCAGAGUAGGACAAUCAGCUACACGGCUGAUAUGCCCCAGUAGAUAUAGGAGAACAUUAAGGAUGAAAACCGGCUACACAGCCGACCCACCAAUCGGCUGAAUACGCCGAGACACAGACCGUACGGAUACAUAGUUCGACUAGUCUACCAAUUCACCAUCAGCUAGUUACUCGUACUAAUCAACUAGCUAUGCCGAUACAUCACUCGACUAGUUCUACCCGAUAUGUAAAUCGGCUAGUAUGCCGAUUCACCGAUCAACUAGUACACGUACACAAAUCGACUUAGCCGAUGUUCACUAAUCAACUAGUUUUGCUAAAGCAUGGAUCGACUAUGCCGAUACGCACGCGAUCGGAUAGAUACGCCGAUACGCACACAGAUCAGUUAAGACACCGCUGCUUUAGGAAAUACCCCUCUGCUAAAAUAAUCGAUACCUUCAUCGAUCAAUUAAGAAGUCGAUGCACCUAUCAAUCGGCUACACAGGCCAAAGUACACAACUCUAGAUCAGUAAGAUAGCACAGUCGACACGCCUUUGUUAGGCACAACCAAGGCACAUCAAUAGGCUAAACCUGAUGCACCCUCAUCGACUAAGGCAAGCCAAUGCACCAACCAAUCAGCUAAACAAAAACAUGCUGAUAACUAGAUCCAAUCAGCAAGAUCCUUCCUUGUUCUAUCCUUGAAGCACUGUACCUUUAACGUUCCUAUCCAUAUCAGCCGAUUUGACCCCAGGUGAACUCAAAUCGGCUAAUCUCUUCUGCUCAUAUACAGAGACCGCUCCUACCGAUUUCUCUUCCAAACAAAAAUUAGCCGAUUUCCUAAAACUGUGUAGAUAGCUCCCUUCUUUACCAAUUCUAUCGGCUGAACCCCUGUUGUUUCCAAUCGGCUCUGUUGUAAUCUUCAACAAAUAGCCAAUUUUAAUUAGUUGUCCACCUAAAGCUCUAUCUAAGUUUAGUUUCAGAUCUUUUUGAUUGUUAUAUGAGUAAUAUGUUAUAUGAGUGUUGGAUUGCAACUUUAUCGUGAAGUAAAAUAGUUUUGAUCUGCACACUUUGAAUGUAAUGUUGCAUUACAUGUAGAUACGACUACUUCCGCAAACGGUAACUACAAGAUCUCCCAGGAGUCUGCAGAGGAUGUUUCUGAAGACCAAGUGAACGUCACCAAGGGAUUAUCUGAAGCCCUGAACCAAAGUUCGGAAGAUAAUAAUACUAACAUCCCUGACUCCAGCCCCACCAGUAAAGGCAAGCCCCGGUGCAUAACCCAGUAUUUUAAAUUACUUCUCUUAUACAGUUUUAUCCUUAUAUAUAUGCAUUAAGUCUAGGAGUUGAAAUGGAACCCUAGAUGCAUGAAUCCUAGGAACCUUUGUAUUGAGCCUGAGUCCUUAUCGAAUAGAUGCUCUGCUAAUAGGACCGGCAGAAGUCGGGUGAUUUCCUGUCACUCGCGCGAUAUAGGAGUUGAAUGUUUACUAUUCUGCAAUCACUAUAAGAAUGAUGGAUGGGGUCAUGUGCAGUACCAUGACUUGAAAGGUUACUCCGUCUGUGUUGAUAAAGUUGUUAAGGUCGCAGUGUGUGGUAGUGGUGGCUAAGCGUUUGAAAGUACUAGCCACAUACCGCGAAAUAUGGUAAAGCGGUAAGCCUAGUACCUGAUUGGCCCGGCAAAUGGACAUGUCUCCACCACUCGAUUAAUUGGUUUCUGUUGUACACACGCACCGACGUGUGGGAGUACGUUCUGCGUAGCAGAUAGGAGUACGAUCAUGUAGUCGCGCUACAGACGUACGUCCUGCACAUUGAAUGUGCGUAUGGUCCUACAGUCGCUUGUGGUGGCCCUGUUCCAUCACCCGGAAUAUGAGGAAAACGAUUGCUUCGGAACGAUCUUUGGAUGUUCCAAGCGUGUGAGUUAGGUUUACCCUUGCAAGGUUGAAAUUCGAUUCAGGAAUCAUCCGUUUCUUGCGGAGAUUGAGACUGCUUAUUCCGUCUGCCACAUAGAGUAAUAACAGUAACUAUUGUUGGAAUAAUCUUGAUGGAUGAUAAUCUCUAUCUUGCUUGUUUAGAAUAGGUGUUUACCUAGAAUGGUUAAUGAGACUAGAAUCUGAAAUCUAAAACAUGAAAGUAGAUCAUACUCUUUGUUGCUUUUCAGUUGAAAUUAAACCCAGAACCAUUAUAAGCCUUCAUAAGUCUACUUACAUGGCUAAGUAUACCAUGAAACGGGUAGGCCUUGCUGAGUAUUAGAGUACUCAGCCUUGCAAUAUGACUUUAUUUCAGGUAAUGUCUCUGAAGACCCUACUCUUACCAUGUUUUGGCCCUAUGCUCUGUCUGAUGGUUGGUCCGUGGAAUGGGACCCGUCCCCGGCCAACACUGAUCAUACCGAGUGAUGUCAUGCUAGGGCUUAGCAUGAUGUCCGUAUUGACGAUGUGUAUAGUUGUCGUGUUUUAAAUUCCGCUACCGUGAACUUGAAACUUUAAACUGGUUUGUAAUAAUUUCUAUCAGUUUGGAACUUAUGCUACUUUUGGAGACUCUUGUAAUAUAAAUGCCUGUGAUAUAAAUUAUGAUGGCAACUAUAUCUCUAGACUCGCCUUCGUGCGAGGUACCUUGUUUGAUCUUGCAUUCGGUGGUUUAUCGGGACGUUACCCGACAGGCCAAGGGGUUACACCAUUUGAAGUACGUUGGAGCCCUUGAGAGGGGACUUGCGUACUUGAGCCGGUGUAAUUCAGGUUGGUUCUGCCACAAUAAGUGGUGUGUACGGGAAUAAAAUGAGCGGUCUUUGUAAGUCUAUCAACAAUAACCCAUGUAGGAUCGUGUUUUUGAGAUGUAUUGGGCAAACAACCAAUGAAGUCCAUACUGAUGUCUUCCCAUUUCUAGGAUGGUAUUAGCAGUGGUUGAAGUGUACCAGCUACUUUUAACUGGCUAGCUUUCACUCGUUGACAAGUGUCACACUCUGCAACAUAUUGGGUAAUUUCCCUCUUCAUCCUGGUCCACCAGAAAUUUUGUUUGAGGUCCUGAUACAUUUUGCUACUGCUUGGAUGAAUAGAGAAUUUGGAAAGAUGUGCUUCACCAAGAAUUUUUGUUCGGAGUUCAUGAUUUUUGGGUACGACAAUGCUUCAUCAAGAAUUUUCUUUCGGAGUUCUUGAUUUUUCGGAACGACAAUGCGACUUUCAAACCAUAAAACUCCCAUGUGAUCCUGACGAAAAUAUUUGUACUUCUCCUCUCCUUGAGAUAGUUUCUGCUUUGAUGAUCUUAACACCCUCAUCAUGUAAUUGUGCCAUGAUGAUACGGUCAUGAAGAGUGGUUUCAAUAGAGAUGUGAUUCAAAGUUCCCUGAGGAAUUAUUUCCAAUCUAAGUUUUUGUAUUUUAGAGCUGAUUGUAUGAUGAGGCAGAUAGGCAAUUGCAAUGAGCUUUGCGGCUGAGUGCAUCCGCUACUACAUUAGCUUUGUCUGGAUGAUAGUGCACCUCAAGAUCAUCAUCUUUGAUUAAUUUCAACCAUCGCCUUUAUCUCAUAUUCAGGUCGGCUCGUGUGAAUAUAUAUUUGAGAUUCUUAUGGUCGGUAUAAAUAUUGCAAUGGGUGCCUAUAAGGUAGUGCCUCUAAAUCUUGAGAGCAUGAAUGACAGCUGCUAGCUCAAGAUCAUGUGUUGGGUAAUUCUUUUCAUGGGGCCAAAGUGCUCGUGACGCAUAGGCAAUAACCCGAUUGUCUUGCAUAGGUACACAGCACAAACCAGUACCAGAAGCGUCACAGUAAACGUCAAAUGGCUUGGUAUUGUCAGGUUGAUCUAAGACUGGGGUUGUAGUUAGCUGUGCUCUAAGGGUGUGGAAAGCUUUUUCACAAUCUUCAUCCCACACAAAUUUUACUCCUUUCUUCAACAGUUCAGUCAUAGGUUUAGCAAUUCUGAAGAAAUCCGGAAUGAAGCGGUGAUAAUAACCAGCUAAACCAAGGAAACUUCGAAUCUGAAGAACGGAAGUGGGAGGUUUCCAAUCCAUCAACUCUUGAACUUUACUAGGGUCAAUUAAGAUACCAUUACUGGAGAUAGUAUGGCCUAAGAAUUUCACACUAUCCAACCAGAAUUUACAUUUGGAGAACUUAGCAUAUAACUGAUGGUCUCUGAGGCGUUGGAGAACAAUGUGCAAAUGUUUAGCAUGGUCCUCCUCGUCCUUGGAAUAAAUAAGAAUGUCGUCGAUUAAAACCACGACAAACUUGUCAAGCUCCGGCAUAAAAACCGAAUUCAUGAGAUACAUGAAGUAGGCAGGGGCAUUUGUGAUACCAAAAGACAUAAUUAAGUAUUCAUAUAGUUCACAUCGAGUGGAGAAAGCGGUCUUUGGAAUAUCACAUGGUCAAAUCUUGAUUUGAUGAUAUCCCAAACGAAGAUCAAUCUUGGAGAAGAUUUUUGCUCCAGUCAACUGAUCGAAAAGAACAUCAAUUCGAGGAAGUGGAUAUUUGUUUUUGAUUGUCACCGCAUUGAGAGGCCGGUAGUCUACACAUAACCUCAAACUAUGAUCUUUCUUCUUCACAAAUAGGGCUGAGCGACCCCAUGGUGAAGCGCUUGGACGAAUAUAGCCUUUGCCUAGAAGUUCUUGCAAUUGUAUUUUUAAUUUUGCUAAUUCCUUGGGUGGCAUUCGAUAGGAUCGUUCAGAGAUAGGUGCAAUGCCUGGCUGCAGUUCAAUGACAAACUCUGUAUCUCGAUCUGGUGGCAUGCCUGGUAAGUCAUCCGGGAAAACAUCGGCAUACUCGCGUACCACCAGAAUUUCUUCUAUUUCGGAGCAGACCUCAAUGAGCGCACAUGAAUUUGUGCAUUCUCGGAUAGGCAAAUAUAGAGUAGUUGCUCCUUGGGUCGAGGAAUUGAUUUCAACGGCUUGGGAGGAAAGAUCUAAGGUUACUCCAUGCCGAGUCAUCCAAUCUACUCCCAAAAUGAUAUCGAUGCCUUCAAGUGCCAAGAGAAUCAAGUCGGUUUUGAUGAUUUUGCUACCCAAUUUAAUUGGCACGUUUCUUAUGAGUUGAUUUGAAGCAAUUUUACCACCCGGUGUAGCUAUCAUAUACGACCCUCUUGUGUGACAGAAAUCCAAACCCACUUUUGCGCCAAAUUUUGCACUAAUGAAACUAUGUGAUGCAUCAGAGUCAAAUAAUAUAACAACGGGCUUGCGGUGGAUAGAAAAUGUACCCAUCAUUACUGGUGCGCCAUCAGGAAGCUCUGCAAGGUUGAUGAAAUUGAUCCGCCCUCGCUUGACCUGAAUAGUCUAUUUCUUGCUCUGGUUUCUAUUGUUGGUAUUGGAGCCUUGGCCCUGAGCUUGCUGUCUGGAAUGAGGGCAUUCUCGAGCAAAGUGAGUAGAACUCCCACAAUUGAAACAUCGGUUUGUGUUGCUCGGGCGGGGUGGAUGCUGUAUAUUCGGCCUUGGGCCAUUUGGCUGUGGGGUACGGGGGUCUUGCCACACCUUGUUGCUGAGGGGGCCUGAAAAUCCAACGCCCUGGCUGAGGGGCAUUCUGAAGAGCUUUAGGUGCUGCAUUCUGCACUAAAUGAUACCUCGGUGGCUGAGCACUUGAGGGUCCAGCUGGAGCCUUCCUCUUCUUUUCUGCACGAUGGGCCAUAAUGCAAUCCUCUUGGGUGAUUGCCAAAUUAACCAGCUCAUUGUAAGUGUCCGUUUUGAUGGGAUUUAGACGUUCCUUGAGCUUGAUAUUAAGACCUCUGAGGAAACGAUCAUGUUUCUUGGUAUCCGUGUCAGCAUGAUAACCCACGUACUGAGAAAGGUUGUUGAACGUCUGAGCGUACUGAAGUACAGUGCGGGUACCCUGAGUAAGAGCCAGAAACUCAUUGAGCUUUCUUUCAAUCAAUCCUUCUGAAAUAUGGUGUGCCCUAAAUGCAUUUUUAAACUCGUCCCAGGUGAUGAUGUGGUCAGCCGAAAGCAUUGCAAAAUAGUUGUCCCACCAUAUACGUGCAGUACCGCGAAGCUGUUGCGUGGCAAAUCAAGCUUUGUUGGCUUCAGGACAUGGCAGUGUCAAUAAGGCAAACUUGGAUUCAAUGGUACAAAUCCAAGCGUUCGUAUCUAAUGGCUCCUCUAUCUUGUUAAACCGAGGGGGCUGUGUUCCAAAGAAUUUCGGGUAACCAGCAACUUGAGGUUGGGGUGCAUUGUGCACACCCCACUGCUGAUGAUGGGGUUGAUGCCCCUGAACAAUCUGUUGGAGACACUUGGUUUGAGCGGCCAUCACUUCCACCAGACUAGGUGGCGGCAUCUGUUGCGACCUGCUGCCGCUAGCUCCGAACCCAUCAGGAUUGCCACGUGUUGCCCUAACCAUCUAAAACAUGGAGAUUUAUCAUCAGCAAAGGCUUCAUAAUUCUCCCAUGAUUCAAAAAGAUAGUACGGGAAGAUGUAGAACUUGAAAGGCUUGAUACAAUCGGGUGUACAAUCUGUGGCUGGUUAUGAGAAAUUUCAUAACUCACGUUCUGUUUAUUUGAACCCUUACAAAUAUUGGUGGUGAUUAGGAAAUUUAGUGGCCUAAAACUGUGGCAUUCAAUACUCCUCCGACUACUACAUCUCCGACUAUAUUUCCAACUACCAUGACUACUAAUCCGACUACUAUGGCUGCAUCAUCAACUACUUCGUCUAUAUUUUCGUAUACCAGGACCACAACUCUGACUGCUACGGCUCCCUCAUCGACUACAUCGACUACAUCUUGGACUGCAUCGACUACCAUAUGGCUUCUUUGGCUACAUCGCCGACUGCUUCAUUAUAUCUACAACUCCUUUGACUACAUCUUCGACUGCUUCGACAACAUCUACUACGACCUCAACUACAUCUUUGACUACUUGAACUGUACCAUCAUCUACUACGGCUACAGUUCAACUAUACUGUAUCUUCGACUACCUCGACUGCACAUCUGAAUGCUUCCACCUUAUCUCCGGCUACUACGACUAUACCUCUGGCUGCUUCAACUAUACCUUCUACAGCUUAAAUUUUGACUGUACCACAAUUUUUAACUACUUCGACUGCUCUCCGACUGCAUCAACUUUAUCUCUGACUACUACGACUACGUCUCCGACUGCUUUAGUUGCACCUCUAUCUAGUAUGACUACAACUUCGACUACACUGCAUCUAUGACUGAUUCGACUAUAUCUCCGACUACCUCCGUUACACUUCGUUUACUACGACAACAUCAUGGCCUCCUUUUAUUGUAUCUCCAACUAGUCUGACUACUUUUGCGACACAACGACUACAUUUUCGGCUGCUUGAGCGACACUUCCAACUACUAUGACUACAUUUUCGACCAGUUCGACUACAUCUUCCACUGCUUCUCUAUUUUGAUCAUUUUCAGAUGAACUACUGCAUCAUUGAUUUCCAACUGCUGCCAAUAUUCACAUACAUCCAUCAAGUCCUUCACUAAAGCCUACAUACUUUCGAGUGUUUGAGCUUCUAGGCUACACUUCUUAUAUCAGGUGGUACUCAACUCUAAGCUAGCCUAUUACCACCUGCCCAAAAGUUAGGCUACACUAAGAGGAGUAUAUGCAAAAGUACUCCAAAGUCGUUACCUAGUAGUCAUCAAGGUUGUUGACAGAUGACUCGCUGUGCGCGGAGUAGUGAGCUCCCAUCCGUGCGGGUUGUGGGGCUACAACAUCGUAGUCAAGGUCAGAAACACCAUCUAUCUCCUCGGGCUCCUCGUCACUGUCAACGUCCAUCACGUCCGGUGGGGCGUGAAGGGCUGCUUGCUGUGCAUGAUGCAUGUCGAUAUGCCCAUUGGCGUCCUCCAACUUGAUGUUGAGGUCAUGGAUCUACUCCUCCAAAAACUCAAUCAUCGACUCGUGCUCACCUACGGUGGUCUCAAGUGUCUGAACUUGGCCUUCAAGCUGGCCAAUCCUAGCAUCUCGAUCACCAAUCUCCUCACCCAAGUCCUGCAUCUGCUCAUCCCUCAAACUGACUGUCCACUGGAAGGACUGAGCAAGGUCUAUCACUUGUGCCAUCCCCUUACUUUGAAGGGCCUACAGGCGGCAAAGUGCAUUCAUGCACCAGGCUGAAAAGACUAUGGUCUCCACAGGAGUCUGAUCUACCAAGUGGCCUAGAUGUGCCAACCUGUCAAGCCAUAGAGGGUCGCUCUCACUGAUUGCUGGAAACAGCCCAGCUGGAGCCAAGAUCACCUCCAAUGGGUGCUGCUCAUAAAAUGUGGUGAGCGCCUUCAUUGCUGCUGCUUCCUAUGAGUCAAUGAGGUGGUGUCCGAGAACCUUGGUCUUGAUGGCGAGCCACGCGGGGUUAAGUGGAUGCUGGGGAAUGGUCAUGUGCACAUGGGACCGACGGACACCCAUCUCCAUGAACUCCUACCCCACAUAAAGAGGUGGAUUCGGGUACCCAGCGGCGCUCAACACGCCCCACAAGAUGGAGGGGAAGCCCUCCUAGUGCAGGCACGCUGAGUGCGCAUGUCCUUCCUCAUCCACUACCAUGAGAACUGGAUCAGCAUCUGAUUCAAAAAGACUAAAGGGUGAGAUAACGAAAACUGGUGCUCAAUCUAAUAAACAGAUUCUGGACAGUGCACUAAACUGAGCAUAACUUCUACAGGUGAUGUGCAAAAAUUUCCAAAUUUUACCAGAGAAUACCUAAGGUAAUUGUGCAUAACUUUACUGGUCAACCCCAAAGCUAGAUCAGACUCUAAGAUAACUAUAUCCUGAAAAGAUGCAAUAGAUCUAGAGGGUUUUCUGCGAAGUUUGCGAGGCACAGAAAAAUAACAAAAAAUUACAAUAUUUUCAGGGGUCUAAAUUGCAAAAGCUCGGACAACAGGCUCCCAUGGUGACCAGCAGUCACUGUUCGCCGAAUUCCUGAUGAUUCAGGGCACGAUAGGCUUUGGGAAGCGGGGGAAAAGAAAGAGGACGACGAGGGCGUUCUGUUUUAUACCUUACUUGCCAUGGGGAUGCAUCGUGGUGGUUGAAUUUCACCAGAGAAGGAUGCGGUGGUGGUCUGUUCCUUGCCGAGCAGACCUGGGCAGGGCUGGGCAUCAUGGGAUGCGCGCAGGGGCGGCGACGCUCCUGGUGGUGGCGCACGGGCUUAGGAAAGAGCCAUGGCCAGAAGGGGGAGUGGAGCAGGUGGGUGAUGGAGGGGCACACAGGAGCUAGGGCAUUGGGAGGAAGGCGGUGCACGGGUGUGUGGGGGAAGGAUGCGCAGUAGGAAAAUGCAAGGAUGAAGGGGGCGACGACAGCCUUCGCUCGGCUCUUGUUGGCGGUGCUGCGUGAGAGGCAAGGAGGCGCUAGGAUGGGUGAUGCAUGGCUGCGUGAGCAGAUAGGAUGUGAGCCUAGGGUUACGCGAGCAGGAGAGUGAUGCGAGGCUGAGGGCGUGCGGCGGUAGGGUAGGGCGAAGGCUGAGGGUGCUCGCUCUUUAUAGGGGGCUCGGGACCCUAGCAUAGAACACACACCUCCGCACAGGCAGCGGCGCCCGACGCAAUGCAAGAGUGCCUACGGCCUUCGGUGGCUGCUCCAAACAGGCUAGAUUAGCCUAAUUUGGCCCAAAAAGGAGGAUGUGACAACUGGUGCAGACUCGGAUUGGGCUAGACUAAAAGAGUUUCAGCCACUGUUAGGCUACAACAUUUGACCGGCCCAAGGAAAAGAGAAAGAAGGUGAGGGGAAAUAGACUGUACACGUAGACGGGCUGGACGAGAUUGAACGGGCCGUUCAACAACACGAACACAAGAGAGAAAGAUGGAUCGUGCAUGCUCAAACUUCUUAUAGAGCGUGAUUGUGACAUUCAGGUACUUGGGAAUUAAACACACUAGAUUUUAGUAUGAAGUUUGUGUGUUUGAUCUUUUGUAUGUGUGUUAAAAACUUUAAUGCAAAGGCAAAAGGUCCUUUUUGUAAUUCUAGAAAAUUUAGGUCCUUUGGUGCAAAAUGUGUGAGAAUGGUAGGUAAAAUCAAAAUAUGUAAAGGGUUAUUUUGCAAGAAGCGAGUACUUACUUUUAAACCUCUGUAAGAAGUGAAAUAACCCUAAGGAUUCAAGUGGAGUGUAGAUUUUAAAUAGGAUUUCUCUGAAGUUUAAAACUUUGCCAAGUUUUAAAAUAGAUUCAAAUCCUUAACUCUUUUGAAACUAAACCUUAAAGCAAAGUUGUAGAUCUUGUUAAGCUCUACACUUUUUCUUUUGGGCACAUUUUCAGUUGAGCUAUGGUUUGAAAGUUGUUUUGGCUUUACAGUGGAGUCCCUGUAAUUUUGGAAAAUUUCAAACUAGUCCUCAUCGUCUACCUCCAGCCCUUCCCUCUCUCUGCUUCACCUCUACGCUCGACCGCCGCCUUCGCCGGCCGCUUUGCCAAGCCCCAGCUGCCCCACAUCUCUCUUCUCCGCGCCACGUGCCCUCCAGUGCCGCGCCCGCCGCUUACCACCCCGCGCUGGCCCUCUCCCUACCCCUCCAUGUCACGCCGCCGCCGCCCGAGCCGCCACGUAGGCCGCCGGGCUUGCCAGCAGCUGCUUCACACGUGCAGUGCUUCUCCUGGUCUUAAAGAUUGCCCAGGAGUCCCUCUCGACUUCUUUUACCCAUUUCACCACGCAGCAUUGCUUCUCCUUCCUUCCUCCGCUUGACUACCCUUGCCGGAGCUCCGCCGCUGCCUCGGCUCGCCGUCAUCAGCCGCCUCCGCCGCCCCACACCCACAAGCCAGUGCUCCUAGAGCACCGCUGCAACCCACUAAAGCUCACUGAGCAGUCCAUUUCCAUUCCCCGCGCCCACGCAGCCCGGACCACCGCGCCGAUGAGCUCGAGCUUCGCCGCCGCUCGGUCUCGCCGUCGUCCCGACGCUCCACCCCCUCUCAGCCCCUGCCAAGCACACCACCAGCACCACAUCACCCCGAGGAAGCUUUCUAGCCACUUUCCUGCCACCCUCCGGCACUCCAGCCACCGGAAAACUGUCGCCGCCCCUCAGAGCCCCGCCGCCCACCUCUAUUCACCGUCGACUUGCCACCUCAGCCCCUCUCUUCCUCAACUCCGGCCACCCCUGUGACCGCGGUGAGCUCCUGAACCUUUUCCCCCACUUUCCCCUCGCCGCCGGUGAGCCCCCUCACCGGAAUUUGGUCGCCGUUGAUCGGCUUCUCUGUAAAACCUGGCCAAGAACCCAAUUGCAAGGAUUUCAAUCUUUCCAGGGGCCUUUCUGUGGAAAAAUCAGUACCCCCUCCCAUUUCAAAUCAAGCAAAAUUUGAAAAUCCAUAGGAAUUUGUAGAAAAAUCCAAAAAUUGCCAAACUAGUUUUGUUGUACUCCAGAAGUCUAGGUCUAUAACUUUUGUUACAGGAGUUCAGUUUGAAACGAAAAGUUUUUAGAGUUAUUUUAAAGUUUAGCAAAAGGGUAUCUUGAGUAUAACUUUUGCAUGCUAGCUCUAUUGCUUGUGAUUUUUGGUGUGUAGCCUGUUGAGGGUAUGAGUGAGCUUAUGUGCAAAUUUCACUUACAGUACUGAACCCUAACUUGAACUCAUUUAAAUUCAUGCAAAUCAAACUUGAAAUGGUUUAAAUUUUUUCAAGCAUGUUACUAAGGUUUUCAUGCUUAGAUUUUUUUACCAUGUAAUGUUCCGUAAUUGAGUAGUUCAUAGUAAAGCUUUCAAGAAUUUAUGGCACUGUUUUGCCUAAGGUUUGAAUUUAAACUUGAAAUUUCAACUUAAUUCAAAUGCUUUAGUUUCUGUUUUCAGAAAUUUAUGAAAAAUUCAUAGUAAGCUCAUCUGUUAGAAGUAAGUUUACCCACAAAAAAUCAAGGCUAUAGCCUUUCUGGAUUUCAAAAUAAAAAUGAAACUUGUUAACCUAAUUCAAUUAAUCCAAUUAAUUAUGAUAAUUGAAUUAAGAUACAAAUAGUAGGUUCGAAUUCAAAUUUCUUGUUUGAUGAAGUUGUGUUUAUCAAUUUGUUAGAUUGCAACUUUAUCGUGAAGUAAAAUUCUUAACUCAAGAACCACCUAACUCACAUCAUUGCAUAUCAUGUAGAGUCAGCGACACUCGACGACGAAGUCUACGGACUAGUUCCGGAACCCGAGCAAGGGUUUUCUGAAGACCAGGUGAACAUAGCCGAGGAUUUAACUGAAGCCCCGAACUAAGGUUCCGAAGUCUUUGACAUCCCUGACCCCAGCCCCGCUCAAGAAGGCAAGCCCCGAUGCAUAACCCAGUAUUUUAAAUUACUACACUUAUACAGUUUUAUACUUAUAUAUCUAUAUUAUGCAUUAAGUCUACGAGUUGAAAUGGAACCCUAGAUGCAUGGAUCCUAGGAACCUAUGUAUUGUGCCUGAGUCCUUAUCGAAUAGAUGCUCUGCUAAUAGGACCGAACUGAAGCCCCGAACUAAGGUUCGGAAGUCUUUGACAUCCCUGACCCCAGCCCCGCUCAAGAAGGCAAGCCCCGAUGCAUAACCCAGUAUUUUAAAUUACUACACUUAUACAAUUUUAUACUUAUAUAUCUAUAUUAUGCAUUAAGUCUAGGAGUUGAAAUGGAACCCUAGAUGCAUGGAUCCUAGGAACCUAUGUAUUGUGCCUGAGUCCUUAUCGAAUAGAUGCUCUGCUAAUAGGACCGGCAGAAGUCGAGUGAUUUCCUGUCACUCGCGCCAUAUAGGAGUUGAAUGUUUACUAUUCUGCAAUCACUAUAAGGAUGAUGGAUGGGGUCAUGUGCAGUACCAUGACUUGAAAGGUUACCCUGUCUGUGUUGAUAAAAGCUGAAAAGGUUGCAGUGUGUGGUAGCUGUGGUCAAGUGUUGAAAGUACUAGCCACAUGCCGCGAAAUAUGGUAAGCGGUAAGCCUAGUAACCGAUCGGCCCGAGGAGUGGACAUAACCCCACCACUCGUAAUUUGGUUUUUCGCACACGCACCGACGUGCGGGAAUACGUUUCGCACAGCGAACAGGAGUACGGUCAUGUAGUCGCGCUACAGACGUACGUCCUGCACAUUGGAUGUGCGUAUGGUCCUACAGUCGCUUGUGGUGGCCCUGAUCCACGAGUCAGAAUGAAAAGCAAAUGGUUGCUUCGGAACGAUCAUUGGAUGUUCCAAGCAUGUGAGUUAGGUUUACUCUUGCAAGGUUAUGAAACUCGAUUCAGAAUCGUCCGUUUCUCGCGGAGAUUGAGACUGCUUGCUCCUUCUGCCACAUAGAGUAAGAACAGUAACUAUUGUUGGAAUAAUCUUGAUGGAUGCUAAUCUCUACCUUGCUUGUCUAGUAUAGGUGCUUACCUAGAAUUGUUAAUGAAGCUAGAAUCUGAAAACUAAAACAUGGAAAUUAGAUCAUACUAUUUGUUGCUUUUCAGCAAAAAAAAAGAAAACUAGAACCUCUCAAUCCUCCAUGGUCUAACUUCGGGCUAAGUAUACCCAAUCUCGGUUAAGUCUUGCUGAGUAUUAGCAUACUCAGUCUUGCUAGUCUGUCUUUCAGGUAUGGCCUUUGAGAACCAAAUGGAUAGUGCAGCGUGGCCAUUCUCUGUUUCGUUUGGCUGGUCUGUGGAGUGGGAUCCGUCCCCGGCUGGCAAUGACCCUCCGGAAUGACGCCAUGUUUCGGGCUGAGCGUGAUGUCAACUCUCGUGACGUGUGUAAUCGCGUGUUAAUUUCUUCCGCUGUGACUCUGAACAAGCUUGCAUAGCUUGUGGUUUUAAACAAUGUUUAUAUAAGUUUACUUUAAGUUUGAAACAGAUUAUAAUAAUGUGUUAAUAUUUCUGUAAAUUAAAAAUUGGUGAGCUGUUGUGUGAUUGUAAACUCGCCUUCGUGUGAGGUAAACCUACCUCGAUCCUGUGUAACCGUGGUUGAAUCGGGCGGUGACCCGACGUACCAAUGGGUUGUUCCGUUUGAAGUGCGUUGAGUUAGUAUCGCCUAUAUAGUGAUGACUAGCGCACUUGAGCCGGAAUAAUUCAAGCGGAUUGGUUCUGCCACAGCUGGUAUCAGAGCUGCAGGUUUACUCUCGCAAUCGGCACUAAAACUGCAGCAGUUCUUAAAAAUGUUUUCAGGAUAAAAUUGGCUUAACAAAAGAUUUUGCAAAGUGCGUUGGAUUCGUUAAGGUUGGUGCUUAGAUCAUAAAACCCUAGGGGUUUAUAUGGGAGUAACCAGAUGGCUACUAGUAUGUAUAUGUGUAUAGUUCAGCUCUAACUUGCAGCACUACUUUCUGUUAAAACUUACUUUCGAGUACAACCAACCCUAGAUAUCUAUUCGUAUUGUUUUGUUCCUCAACAUUGAGACAAGAAGGUAAGAAGGUAAGGAUCCUCAGCCAACUGAGGGAGAUUGGCCUUCCCGUCGGUGAUGCGAACCGAACGCUGUUUCUCAAGUAGUGGCUUACUUGAGAUGCUGCCAAUAUAUCAAUGAUUAGUUGAUCAUAUUGGGAGUAUAUGGUUCAGCAUAGGGUAUGGUGAUCGCUGUUCAUACCCCCAUUUUAUAUGGUACCCCCGUUAAUAUGUUGUAGAUGUAACGUAUGCUAACGUCGUCCGUACGGCGGAAAUUGUACAGAUACUGUUUCUAUAGUGAACAGUACUGUUUGGGGACGCUUUCAUGUCGUGCUGCCAUGAAAGGUUCAUAUUAUAUAAAUAUGAUCUUCUGCAGGUACACUAACCACGAUUAAGAGGUUAAGACGGAUAGGACUUAUCGACUAGUUAUUAGGGAGAGACGUAAAUAUUGUGCCACCGAGACUAACCACGUAAGUCCAAAAAUAUUUGGCAAUUAUUUUUGGGUGUGAGGUCGAGUAGUACGUGCAUGCAUAAUUCACGAACAAAAUAAGUAAAUAAGUUGAAUGGUUAAUGUCCUUAAUGAUUGUUAAGAACAUCUGGAGUGUUGUCUAUCCCAAGUACAGUCUUGUUGUAAUCUUUAAGACCCUCAAUUCUAAGAAUGUUUUAACAUCCAUCUGAUUUCCAGCCUUUGCUGUUACCAGAAUUAGUUGUCUCGUUCUAUUUACCUUUUGAGUUCUCAGCAGGGUAAUUGAAUCUUACCAUCUAAAUUCUUGCUUCAGAUGGCGGAUCUUCGAAAUAUCUUUUGGGAUCACGCAUGACAUCUCCAUACCAAUGCCUUGCAUUGGGAGGGUUUUCCACAUCUUCUGUGGGAAUCACUUAGGCUAUUUUUCUACACCGAGCCCCCACAGUAUGAUGGAGUGGAAUAUAGGGAGGAAGGUAUUCCUCGGUGCAGGGUUAAGAUGACCAUUCCUCAGCACCCUUUUCGCUCUCAAUGGCAGCCCAUCGAGGUCGAUGUGGUUGGCUAUCGUCUCGUCGACACCUUUGAGACCGCAGCUCUUGAGGCCAUCCACACUUUCUGCGACCAACAUUCUGCAGAAGUUGCUGGGCAUCUGUGACGCCCUGAAAAUUUACCGAAUUAAAUCACGCGCUAGAGUGUUUCAAUUAAAAACCACUCGACGUCGAAACCCUAGCCCUAACCCCUUCUGACCGACACUAAACCUCAUCGCCGUCCCAUCCCGCGCCGCCCGAGGCCUGCCGCCCGCGCGCGAUCAUCCGCCGCGAUUAGCGCUGGCGCGAUUCCUUUCUCGCGCAGCGCGUGAAUACCGCGCGCGCGUGGCCGACCGGCCACGGUCGCCGCCGCGACCGGCGCUGACACGCGCUCUCUCUCUCUUCUCUCUCCCAUCUCUUUUCCUUUCUCUCUUUCUCUUUUCUAUUUUCCUUUCUUCCUUUUCCUUUCUCCUUCCUCCCUUCGUUUUCCCUUCCCCCUUCUCUCUUUCUUUCCUGCCCGAACGCCGGCCGGCCGUGCGCCUGCGCUGCCCCGGCCGCGCUGCGCGCACGCGCCCGCCCCGCAUGCCCCGCGUGCCCCGUGCGCCACGCCGUGCCUGCGCCCCGCUCUGGCCCGCGCCUCGCCGCGCCGCGCGCGCACGCGACGCGCCGCCCGCCGUUGCUGCGCCCCGCGACGCCGUGCCGUCCGCCGCUGCUGCGUCCUCCCUCGCCACUGCUCCCACGUGCGCACGCCGCGGUGAGCACCGCGCCGCCCCCUGGCCCGCGCCGUGCCGCGCCGUACGCGCACGCGCGCACGAACGCCGCGCCGCUCGCCGCUGCCGCGUCCCGCCUCGCCGCGCGCGCCGCCGCCUCCCUGUCCCGUGCCGCACAGCGCCACCCCACGUGCUCGCACGCGUGCCGAGCCGUCACAUCGCCCCGGCCUCGCAGCCCGCGCCGCCGCUCGACGACACCAACGCCAUGACGCGGCUGCCAUUAAGGCGCUCCGCGCCGCUCGCCGGCCUCCUCACCAGCCACCGCCACCCGCCGCCUUUGGGCGCCUAUAAAUAGGCCCUCACCCCGCUCCUCUUCCCCCCACGGCCUCCACUGCCACCGCCCGCCCCUUCCCUAGCUCACAGCGCCGCCGCCACGAACACCUCCGCCGCCGCCGCUUGCUCCCAUGGGCGCGCCUCCCCGCGGCAUCCCGGUCCAAGGUGAGGCCGGGGAUCAAUUCCCCUUGCCUCCCUCCCUCUCCAGCCCUAGCCCCGGCCGCCGCCGAGCCCCGGGCCGCCGGAAUCGGCCGGGCGCCGGCGCCCCACCGCCCCCUCCUCUGUUCUGUGCGGGGAAGAGGAGGGAGAGGGGCAAUUUUGCCCAAAGCCCCCCCCUUUUCCUCUUUUCUCCAAAGAAACCCCCCCCCCAUCUACUCCCUUUUGCAAAAGAAGCCCUAUUCUUUCCGUUAUUUCAAACCAAACCCCCGAUGCAUAAACCUAGAUAUACUUGACACCUUUUAGCCUGCUCAGGGUAUUUCUAGGAUUUACAAAUAGGUCCUUACUCUUCCCAGAUACUUACGAAUAAACCCCUGGAACCCUGUUUAACCACCCGAACCCUCUUUACCUCGUCAUUUUAUGUGCGAAACGAUCUCCGAUCGACCCGAAACUUUACCACGCCCUUUCUAGUAUAGUUCUGACCACGCCAUUAAGAAACCACCCGAGAAUAUUAUCCCUACCUCCGUAACUAAAUUAUUUCCGAUUCAAGCUCAACGAUAAAAGCUUUUAGUUCUUUCGCUUGAUUGUAUGCCUGUUUGUUUGCGUCGUAGGACGCGGAGUGAACAAGGAAGUUCCCGACUGCGACCAAGCAACCGAGGACCAGUUCUGCGACCCCGAACCCGAGGGACAGUGCUUCGAUCAGGACCUUCCGCAAGGACUUGACGAUGGCAAGUUCAACUCCACCCUUUGAUGCAUGUUUCUGUCCUAGUUUUUAUAAACACAACCCAGAGGCCUGUUUUAUAAAAUUGCAUGGUUUUGUGUGCUGAAAACAUGGUAGGAUAGCCACCCUUACUUGUGAUAACCAUACCUUGACCACCUGGUUUUGCAAAGAAAGUGUGUGUGCGUGUGGGAAGGGAUAAAAUAUGGUUUUGAAAAGUGAGUUAGACGGGAUGUAUGGCAUUUCUGUGUGAAUUGCCGUUGAUGUGCUCGUACCUGUGUGGUUGAGCGUGGAAGGGAGAUAUCCAUCUUGUCACCCCUAAGGACCGAGUUGAUGUGUCGUCUCACCUAGCUUCCUGUCGUGCAAACCACUUGACCAUUGUAUGGGCAACGGCUUGGCCUAACCCCACUAGUUAGUCUGAUAGCCAUCAGGAGAGCUGGGAGCAACGGGUGAUCAAGGAGACGGGAUAAGCUCUGUGUGACUUAUGCCCCGGUUAAACCUCGGUGAUAGGUCGAAUGACCCCUUGAUAGAUCCCGUGGUGGCUAGUCAGGUCUAGCUAAGGUGGGUAAGGGCUUUGAUGGGAUCUGCACCGGUACUAAGGUGUUCGAGCUGUGGUACCCCACCUGUGGGUAAAGUUGCACACCUCUGCAGAGUUGAAAAUCUAUUCGAAUAGCCGUGCCCAUGGUAUUGGGCAAGUUAUGGUGUGGUCACAUAACUAGUAUUUCUCUUGGGAAUGAUUGGGCUGGUGUGAGUUGUUUGGAAGGUGUCUGGCAGUUGUGCCGUGUGCUACGGCGGACGGAGAGUCCGGUAGCAGUUUAAAACUUGGAUCCGUGUGAAUCAACACCGUGUGCUCCUUGGUACUGGAAAACUUGUUUUGAAAAUGCUUUUAAAACGAACCCCUGCAUAUAACUGAGUUUUCCGCAAAUAAACCAUAACCUUAUCCUUGGAUUAUCCUGUGCAUUUAAUCCUGUUAUACCCCCCCCUCCGUGGGUGUGAUUGGACUUGCUGAGUACGUUCGUGCUCACCCCAUUCUUACCUUUACAGUGGAAGAUCCCGACUACAUCCCCGAAGACGUCAAGUAGGGUUCCGUCCUGCACCCAGUCUUGCCUGUGGGUGCGGUCACCGUUGGAGCUCCGCAUGGCGCAAGACUCUGAUGAUUCCCUUUUCAUAGCUAGUGUAGUAGUAUGGGUUUUUGUUGUAAUCCUCGCGAUAGUGGCGCUUCACUGCCCAUUACCGCGGAGAGUUGUACGGUGAUGAACCAUCUGAUGUAAUAAAAGUAUUAUCAGCCUCCUGGGACUGAUAAAUCGACACUUUUAAGUCUUCCCUGAUGGGGGGACGCUUCAGGUGGUAUCAGAGCCAUAGACUGGCCGUAGGAUGUGACCCUAGGAGCGAGACCCCUUUUUAGGCACUAGAACUUGUCCCGAUUUAGAAAUUUUCUGCACAAACACUCACCACUAGUAUUUGCCUUGUUCCAGAUGGCUGGCAAUGGAUGGGUUAACGGAAUCUGCCACGCGGAGCCCGUCCUUCCCAAGUUACUAUUGCUCAGCCUGGAACGCGUCGGGAUUAUGGAACCACCGGAGUAUGCCUACCGUGAGUACAUCGCCGGAGGCACCCUUCGGUGCGACAUGAUGGUUUUUGUGGAGAGAAGCACCCGCUACCCUGAUGUGGACCCUUGGUUCAUCUCCACCGUUGGUUUCCGUUUCCCCGACACCUAUCGAAAGGCCGCCCGUAAAGCCCUGCGCCGGCUGCGUGUGCUCUACAGGCGACACCUUCAGCAGACUCCUAUGGGAUUCUUCCCACCCGCUGAGGGAAGAGGACGCACUUGGAUUGCCUGGAUGAGGGGACUUGGACGAGAAGAAGAAGACCUGGAAGACACGGUUUCCCACCUAUCCAUCUAUCUUACUGGCUUGGAUGCACUCUACCGCGAACAGGCAGCACAACUGAGGAAGCUAAUCCAGGGGAUUGAAAAGAUAACCCAGGAGCUAGAGGAACAACGUACAAGAGCCGCAAAUGCCGAGUAUUCCUUAGCCGCCCUCCAAGCCCAGAUGCAAGAAUACGAGAGCCGCAACGGAAUAGGUGGAUGGAUAGAGGAAGAAGAAGAAGAAGAACCCAUGGAAACCCAUUGGGAUAAAGGUACUCAGACCGAAGAUGAGGAGAUGGAUCGAAGCCUCCCAAUAAAGAAGCGCCCCAUCCGGAUCGAGGAAGAAUCCCCAUGAUAGGAUUAGCACUCCGAACUAGAACCCUACCCUAAUGACCACGUAUCCAUGAAAACUGUACCAUCCCUGUUGUAAUAAUAAAUGUUAUCUACUCCCUUUGCACCUAUGCCAGAUUGUUUACCCUGUCCUUGUUUCAGAUGGCUGAGGAAGGAUGGACCCAGGGCGAUUGCCAAGCAGCACCUGGCUUUCCCGGCCUCUUAAUCAACACCCUGGAGGACCUUGGCGUUACAGAACGCCCAAAGUACUACAGCCGAGAGUACGAGCACCAUGGUACCCUCCGCUGCAGGGUGAUCCUGGUCAUCGCCAGGAGCAACCGCUACCCCGACAUCCAGCCCUGGUGAGCGACCGCCACAGGGUUUAGACACCAAGACACCUACCCCUUGGCCACCCGAAAAGCACUCCGUUAUUUGUGCUGGAUUUUUGAAGAACACCUCGCACCCACGCCAGCCAAGUUCUUCCCGCCGGCCAUCAGAACCCCAGUCUGGGAAGCACGCAUGAGAAACCUGGAACGACGUCGCCACGAAGAAGGCCCCCUGUACCAAGUGGCUACUUACCUAGCCGCCCUGGACCAACUCUUUGAUGAGCAAGCCAACCUUCUGAGGGAGCAGACCCAUCGAGCCGAGCAAGCGGAGCUCGCAGUGAGGAUACAGCAGAUCCGAGCUGCCCACGCCGAGGCAAGGGCCGCAGCCGCGGUCAGCAGCGAAGCCGUCGCCCAAGAGAGCCUCAGGCAAGCCCGAGACCGGCGCAUGCAAGAUUGGACCCGGAGUGGAACACCAGUCCCGGCAAUUGGCGAAGACCAUGUUUUACUCGGGACGCCCAUCUUAGGAUGGGGACCCCUUUUUGGAAACACACAAGCCCCACCCGAGAACCCUGAAAGUUCUGCCGCCGCCGUCAAAGGGGGUGCUACAGCGCAACCCUUGCCAGAUGGAAACCCAGAGGACGGCGAACGAGGAUAUCUCACCCUUCCCGCCCCGGAAGAAGGCACGCCUCGCGAAUAGAAUAACCGACGCCGUCCCAGUGAUGCACCCCCCAGCUUAAGACGUGCCCUUAGACAAGACCCUGGCCGAGUAGCACGAGAUCUAGUCGUACCCCCAAGUUGUACCCCCCUUGCAGUAAUAAAAUGGUUUGUGCUUGUUGAUUGUGAUGUUGUGUGCUGGUUUGUUGUGUGCUGAUUGUUUAUAUGAGUACCGGCAGAAGAUAGAUUCUGCCUUAUAUAUAUACGAAUUAAACAACUUAAACAUCACAUAAACAUAACCCCAAUCUACCCGAUCAACAGGUGACCCCCCGGAACGUCGCGAGGGCCUCCCGUGGCCGGAACCCCGUAGCCGCUAGUGCCGGAGCACAGCCCGUGGAACAAGAUCUUCCCCAAGGAGAACAAGAAGUAAGCCAGAACCGAGGAGGAAGUCAAGAGGGAGAACAACUACCACCACCCCACCCCUCGGAGACUUGGCGCAGAUAAUCCACAACCAGACCCUCAUACUGGAGACGCUGGCCAAUGCCCUCAUUAACCGGCAGCCACGAGGGCAGAAUAUGAACGACAAGCUGACGGCCUUCCUAAGGACCAAGCCGCCCACCUUUGCCGGAUCCUACAACCCGUUGGAUGCAGACGACUGGUUGCGAGUGAUUCAGAGGAAGCUCGAACCAUUCGAGUGCUAGGACCGGGACAAAGUCCUUCUAGCAGCCCACCAGCUCACCGGAACAGCAUUAUCCUGGUGGGAAAAUUAUUGUGCUGCAGCCGAGGAUGCCUCUACCAUCACCUGGGGAGAAUUCGUAAGGGAGUUCCGCCGCUACCACAUCCCUUCGGCCACCAUGAAGCGCAAGGCGGAUGAAUUCCGCGCACUACAGCAAGGAAGCAUGACGGUGGAAGAGUACACCCACCGGUUCAUUGAGUUGGCCCGAUAUGCACCAGAGGAAGUGAAUGACGACAACAAGAAACAAGACAUGUUCAAGAAGGGGCUAAGCCCAGAACUACGGACCCUGCUUACCCCACAGAUCUAUCCGGACUUCAACACCCUGAUGAACAAAGCUAUCCUCAUGGAGAGGGCCAAAGCCGAGGAGAGGAAGGAUAAUAAACGCAAAUUCCUGGAAAGUAAGGCCCGCCAACAGGACCGUUUCCAAAAGCCCAGAAACUUCAGCUAUACUGCACCAAGAUCCCAGGCCCCAAUGCAGUAUAGGACUCAGUCCCAAGUGACAGGACCGCGGGCCCCUGAAGCACAGCCUAAAAGUCAGAAUACCAUGAGGGCCCCGCAAAGCAAUACAAGCCUGGUCGCCUCCGACAACAACAAUGUUAGGGCCUGUUUCAACUGCCGUGAGACAGGGCACUUCAUCGCCAAUUGCCCUUAUGCCAAGAAUAAGCCGGCAACAUCGGCCUUCUCCAACACGGUGAAUGGGCCCAGACCAGCCCUGACCGGUGCCAACCGAGUGCCCAUCCGCAGCAACGACAACAGCCAGCAGAUGAAGCAGCAAUCAUUUGGACGAGCCCGCGUCAAUCACAUCGAUGCGCAGGAGGCUCAAGAGGCCCAAGGCGUAGUGCUCGGUGAGUACCUAGUCAACUCAGCCCUGUCAACAGUACUAUUUGAUUCUGGGGCAUCGCACUCGUUUAUAUCCUCGAGCUAUGUGGAGAAACACAAAAUACCUACAGUACUACUAAAAACACCCCUAUUAACCCGGACGCCUGGGGGCGACAUCAAUUGUCAAUUAGGUUGUCCACGAGUAAGGAUCCAUUUAAGUGGGGUAGACUUUCUAGCAGAUUUGGUAGUACUUGAGUCUGGGGGAAUAGACGUGAUCCUUGGAAUGGACUGGUUAAGCCGACACAAUGGUCUCAUAGGCUGUAUCGACAAAGUGGUACACCUAACAAACCCCGAAGGAGUCCAGGUUAUCUGCCAUACCCGGGACAGUAAGUUCGACCCAAUGGUGUUUAGCGUGGAAGCCAAGCCCUUAGAAGGAGUCCCGGUAGUAAGCGAAUACCCAGAUGUGUUCCCCGAAGAGCUUCCCGGUAUGCCGCCGGACAGGGAUAUAGAAUUCGUCAUAGACCUUAUCCCCGGAACUUCUCCGAUAGCCAAGAGACCUUAUAGGAUGGCGGCUUCUGAGUUAACGGAAUUAAAGAAGCAACUAGAAGAACUGCAACGAAUUGGCUUCAUUAGACCAAGCUCGUCGCCGUGGGGAGCCCCAGUGCUGUUUGUCAAGAAGAAAGAUGGGAGUAUGAGGUUGUGUGUAGAUUACCGAGCACUGAAAGAGGUUACCAUUAAGAAUAAAUACCCACUCCCCAGGAUUGAUGACUUGUUCGAUCAGCUAAAAGGAGCCAAGUACUUUUCCAAGAUCGAUCUAAGGUCAGGAUAUUUUCAGCUCAAGAUCAGAGAAAGUGACAUCCCUAAGACAGCUUUUGUCACCCGCUACGGGCAGUUUGAGUUCACAGUAAUGUCCUUCGGAUUAACCAAUGCCCCUGCUUAUUUUAUGAACCUCAUGAAUAAGGUAUUCAUGGACGAGCUAGAUAAGUUUGUCGUAGUCUUUAUUGACGACAUACUUAUCUACUCCAAGAGUGUUCAGGAGCAUGAGCAACAUCUGCGGGUAGUGUUGGAAAAGCUAAGGAAGCAUAAACUAUAUGCCAAAUUUAGCAAGUGUGAAUUCUGGCUGGAGAAAGUAGCUUUCCUUGGUCACAUUCUGACCGCGGAAGGCGUAGCAGUGGACCCAGAGAAGGUCGAAGCCGUAUCCAAUUGGCAGCAACCGACCAAUGUUAGUGAAAUCAGAAGUUUCCUUGGAUUAGCCGGAUACUAUCGGAGAUUUAUUGAGGGAUUUUCCAAGAUAGCCCGACCCAUGACGGAACUUCUUAAGAAGGAGAAGAAGUUCGCCUGGACGGAAAGUUGUGAAAGAAGUUUUCAAGAAUUAAAGCAAAGGUUGACAACCGCCCCAGUGCUGACCCUACCGGACAUUCAUCGGGACUUUGUCAUUUAUUGUGACGCAUCCCGACAAGGAUUAGGGUGUGUACUGAUGCAAGACGGGAAAGUCGUUGCAUAUGCUUCCCGCCAACUCCGGACCCAUGAGCAGAACUAUCCGACCCACGAUUUGGAACUUGCAGCCGUAGUGCAUGCCCUUAAGAUUUGGAGACAUUAUUUGAUUGGAAAUAAGUGUGAGAUUUACACCGACCAUAAGAGUUUGAAAUAUAUCUUCACCCAGCCGGAUUUGAACCUAAGGCAGAGGAGAUGGCUGGAGCUGGUUAAGGACUACAAUUUAGAAAUCCAUUACCACCCCGGAAAGGCAAAUGUGGUAGCCGACGCCUUAAGCCGAAAAUCCUAUGGACCCAAAAAUGACCAUCUACGCGAGGAAAUGGCACGAUUAAAUGUGCACAUGGUUCCUCGAGGUUCCAGCCAGGUGCUAAACGUCCAAUCGACACUAGAGGAUAGGAUUAGAGAAGCCCAAAGAUUGGAUCAGGAGUUAAUGAAGAUCCACAAACAAACUGGAGAGAACAAAGCGCCGGGCUUCAGAGUAGACGAUAAGGGAACGUUGUGGUACGAGAAUAGGAUUUGUGUGCCCCAGGAAGGAGACUUCCGGCAGAUAAUCAUGGACGAAGCCCAUAACUCGGCCUACUCCAUCCACCCAGGAUCCACCAAAAUGUAUAUGGACAUAAGGCAAAAGUAUUGGUGGAAUGGAAUGAAAGCGGAUAUUGCACGAUUUGUGGCACAUUGUGAUACCUGCCAAAAGAUCAAGGCUGAACAUCAAAAGCCGGCAGGAUUAUUGCAACCCUUGCCUAUCCCGGUCUGGAAAUGGGAUGAAAUAGGAAUGGACUUUGUAGUAGGUCUACCUAAAACACAGAAGGGACACGAUUCCAUAUGGGUAAUAGUGGAUCGACUCACUAAAUCGGCACAUUUCAUACCCGUACGAACUAAUUACGGUGGAGAAAAGCUGGCUAAACUCUAUAUGGAGAACAUAGUCAAGCUACACGGAGUACCUAGCAGGAUUGUCUCAGAUAGAGGGACCCAAUUCACCUCUAGGUUCUGGAAAAGCUUGCAUCAAGCCAUGGGCACCAAGUUAGAUUUCAGCUCUGCAUAUCAUCCACAGAUGGAUGGUCAAACCGAAAGGGUAAAUCAGAUUAUGGAAGAUAUGCUGAGAGCAUGUGUCCUGACCUACGGAAAGGACUGGGAGCAAAGUCUGCCCUAUGCGGAAUUUUCGUACAAUAAUAGUUACCAAGCCAGCUUGGGCAUGUCGCCAUUCGAAGCCCUCUAUGGGAGAAAGUGCAGAACCCCAUUGAUGUGGUCGGAAAUCGGAGAACGUGCACUAGUAGGACCCGCACUCAUAAAAGAAGCGGAAGAAAAAGUAGCGGAGAUCCGCGAGAAAUUGAAAGCAGCACAGUCGCGACAAAAGAGCUACGCAGACAAGAAGAGGCGAGAAAUAAGUUUCAACCCAGGCGAUUUUGUCUAUCUCAAGGUCUCACCCAUUCGAGGAACGCGAAGGUUUCAAGUACAAGGAAAAUUAGCCCCUCGAUACAUUGGACCGUAUCGAGUUCUAAAGAGAGUCGGAGCAAUAGCGUACCGACUGGAGUUACCAGAAGAAAUGUCUGAUAUACACCCAGUAUUUCAUGUCUCGCAAUUGAGAAGGUGUUUGAGAGUACCCGAGGGAGAAUAUGUGCCAGUGGAAACAAUAGACCUGCAGCCGGAUCUGUGAUACCAGGAAGUACCGGUCAAAAUUCUGGACACCGUCACUAGGAGGACAAGAAACUCCGAAGUACGGAUAUGCAGAGUUCAAUGGAGCAGACAUGGAGUAGAAGAAGCGACAUGGGAACGCGAAGAGGCCCUAAAGAAGGAAUUUCCCCAUCUGUUCAGUAGCCAGCCGAAUCUCGAGGACGAGAUUCAUUUAAGUGGGGUAGGUUUGUGACGCCCUGAAAAUUUACCGAAUUAAAUCACGCGCUAGAGUGUUUCAAUUAAAAACCACUCGACGUCGAAACCCUAGCCCUAACCCCUUCUGACCGACACUAAACCUCAUCGCCGUCCCAUCCCGCGCCGCUCGAGGCCUGCCGCCCGCGCGCGAUCAUCCGCCGCGAUUAGCGCCGGCGCGAUUCCUUUCUCGCGCAGCGCGCGAAUACCGCGCGCGCAUGGCCGACCGGCCACGGUCGCCGCCGCGACCGGCGCUGACACGCGCUCUCUCUCUCUUCUCUCUCCCAUCUCUUUUCCUUUCUCUCUUUCUCUUUUCUAUUUUCCUUUCUUCCUUUUGCUUUCUCCUUCCUCCCUUCUUUUUCCCUUCCCCCUUCUCUCUUUCUUUCCUGCCCAAACGCCGGCCGGCCGUGCGCCCGCGCUGCCCCGGCCGUGCUGCGCGCACGCGCCCGCCCCGCGUGCCCCGCGUGCCCCGUGCGCCGCCGUGCGCCGCGCCGUGCCUGCGCCCCGCUCUGGCCCGCGCCUCACCGCGCCGCGCGCGAACGCGCCGCGCCGCCCGCCGUUGCUGCGCCCCGCGACGCCGUGCCGUCCGCUGCUGCCGCGUCCUCCCUCGCCACUGCUCCCACGUGCGCACGCCGCGGUGAGCACCGUCCCGCCCCCUGGCCCACGCCGUGCCGCGCCGUACGCGCACGCGCGCACGAACGCCGCGCCGCUUGCCGCUGCCGCGUCCCGCCUCGCCGCGCGCGCCGCCGCCUCCCUGUCCCAUGCCGCACAGCGCCACCCCACGUGCUCGCACGCGUGCCGAGCCGUCACAUCGCCCCGGCCUCGCUGCCCGCGCCGCCGCUCGACGACACCAACGCCACGACGCGGCUGCCAUUAAGGCGCUCCGCGCCGCUCGCCGGCCUCUUCACCGGCCACCGCCACCCGCCGCCUUUGGGCGCCUAUAAAUAGGCCCUCACCCCGCUCCUCUUCCCCCCACGGCCUCCACUGCCACUGCCCGCCCCUUCCCUAGCUCACAGCGCCGCCGCCGCGAACACCUCCGCCGCCGCCGCUUGCUCCCGUGGGCGCGCCUCCCCGCGGCAUCCCGGUCCAAGGUGAGGCCGGGGAUCAAUUCCCUUGCCUCCCUCCCUCUCCAGCCCUAGCCCGGCCGCCGCCGAGCCCCGGGCCGCCGGAAUCGGCCGGGCGCUGGCGCCCCACCGCCCCCUCCUCUGUUCUGUGCGGGGAAGAGGAGGGAGAGGGGCAAUUUUGCCCAAAGCCCCCCCCCUUUUCCUGUUUUCUCCAAAGAAACCCCCCCAUCUACUCCCUUUUGCAAAAGAAGCCCUAUUCUUUCCGUUAUUUCAAACCAAACCCCCGAUGCAUAAACCUAGAUAUACUUGACACCUUUUAGCCUGCUCAGGGUAUUUCUAGGAUUUACAAAUAGGUCCUUACUCUUCCCAGAUACUUACGAAUAAACCCCUGGAACCCUGUUUAACCACCCGAACCCUCUUUACCUCGUCAUUUUAUGUGCGAAACGAUCUCCGAUCGACCCGAAACUUUACCACGCCCUUUCUAGUAUAGUUCUGACCACGCCAUUAAGAAACCACCCAAGAAUAUUAUCCCUACCUCCGUAACUAAAUUAUUUCCGAUUCAAGCUCAACGAUAAAAGCUUUUAGUUCUUUCGCUUGAUUGUAUGCCUGUUUGUUUGCGUCGUAGGACGCGGAGUGAACAAGGAAGUUCCCGACUGCGACCAAGCAACUGAGGACCAGUUCUGCGACCCCGAACCCGAGGGACAGUGCUUCGAUCAGGACCUUCCGCAAGGACUUGACGAUGGCAAGUUCAACUCCACCCUUUGAUGCAUGUUUCUGUCCUAGUUUUUAUAAACACAACCCAGAGGCCUAUUUUGUAAAAUUGCAUGGUUUUGUGUGCUGAAAACAUGGUAGGAUAGCCACCCUUACUUGUGAUAACCAUACCUUGACCACCUGGUUUUGCAAAGAAAGUGUGUGUGCGUGUGGGAAGGGAUAAAAUGUGGUUUUGAAAAGUGAGUUAGACGGGAUGGAUGGCAUUUCUGUGUGAAUUGCCGUUGAUGUGCUCGUACCUGUGUGGUUGAGCGUGGAAGGGAGAUAUCCAUCUUGUCACCCCUAAGGACCGAGUUGAUGUGUCGUCUCACCUAGCUUCCUGUCGUGCAAACCACUUGACCAUUGUAUGGGCAACGGCUUGGCCUAACCCCACUAGUUAGUCUGAUAGCCAUCAGGAGAGCUGGGAGCAACGGGUGAUCAAGGAGACGGGAUAAGCUCUGUGUGACUUAUGCCCCGGUUAAACCUCGGUGAUAGGUCGAAUGACCCCUUGAUAGAUCCCGUGGUGGCUAGUCAGGUCUAGCUAAGGUGGGUAAGGGCUUUGAUGGGAUCUGCACCGGCACUAAGGUGUUCGAGCUGUGGUACCCCACCUGUGGGUAAAGUUGCACACCUCUGCAGAGUUGAAAAUCUAUUCGAAUAGCCGUGCCCAUGGUAUUGGGCAAGUUAUGGUGUGGUCACAUAACUAAUAUUUCUCUUGGGAAUGAUUGGGCUGGUGUGAGUUGUUUGGAAGGUGUCUGGCAGUUGUGCCGUGUGCUACGGCGGACGGAGAGUCCGGUAGCAGUUUAAAACUUGGAUCCGUGUGAAUCAACACCGUGUGCUCCUUGGUACUGGAAAACUUGUUUUGAAAAUGCUUUUAAAACGAACCCCUGCAUAUAACUGAGUUUUCCGCAAAUAAACCAUAACCUUAUCCUUGGAUUAUCCUGUGCAUUUAAUCCUGUUAUACCCCCCUUCCGUGGGUGUGAUUGGACUUGCUGAGUACGUUCGUGCUCACUCCAUUCUUACCUUUACAGUGGAAGAUCCCGACUACAUCCCCGAAGACGUCGAGUAGGGUUCCGUCCUGCACCCAGUCUUGCCUGUGGGUGAGGUCACCGUUGGAGCUCCGCAUGGCGCAAGACUCUGAUGAUUCCCUUUUCGUAGCUAGUGUAGUAGUAUGGGUUUUUGUUGUAAUCCUCGCGAUAGUGGCGCUUCACUGCCCAUUACCGCGGAGAGUUGUACGGUGAUGAACCAUCUGAUGUAAUAAAAGUGUUAUCAGCCUAUUGGGACUGAUAAAUCGACACUUUUAAGUCUUCCCUGAUGGGGGGACGCUUCAGCAUCCUAUCAGCCUAUUCCCUGCAAUAGAUUCCAGUGAUCCCGAGUGGAAUUUCCGGAUAGCUCAUUAUGGCCACAUGCUGGGAGAUUUAGCCGAAGAGACGCUCCGUGGUACCAUCAGGUUCAUGAAUGCAAAGCACCACUAUCAGAUCUUGCUGUGCCGCGAUAUGAGUUUGUUGAUCGGUAUAGCUCAAGGUCACUACAGAAAUGCUGAUUGACGGGUCACUCAGAUAGAAGAGCUUCAAGCAUUGGUCACGAAAAAGGAGGAAAUUAUCGCAGAGCGAGAUGAGACCAUUGUCCACCGGGAGGAUCAGAUCAAUGAGAGUGAUGCAAUAAUCACUCAACGUAAUGCGAUUAUCGAGUUCCUCCAGGAGCAAGUCCACGACCUCAUCCUUGAGGUUGACAACGCCCUCGCUCACAUCGACGAACUUCAGCAGCAGCCAGCACCUCCUGCUGUACCUGAAGCACCUGAAGGCGAAGAAGAAGAACCGGAGGAAAUCGAAGGAGUUUCUGAUCUCGACUCCGAGCACAGAAACCCAGAGCCUAACCCUCAGCCAGAUCACUCCUUUUCCGGCAGCCAGUCCUCCGUAGGCGACCUCGACGAUUUCUAGUCCAUCCAAAUCGUCGAUCUAUCAGAUGUAACUAGUGUAGAAUGUUGUGACAUAGGUAGUGAGUAGUCUACCUGGACCAAAGGCCACUUGCUGUAAUAUAUAUGGCAUGUGUACGUGUGGCUAGACGGUUAGCAAGCAGACCACCCUGAUGUAAUAUGUUAAGGAUAACAAGUUUCUGCUCUAAAUCUAAGCUUUCAGUCCUGUUGUUCAUAUCAAUAUCCUUGCCCUUUGAAUGAGUUGGUUAAACAGAAUAUGUGAAUUACAUAUCUGUUCAGUGGCAGUUUAUCUUCUGACAAAAGAAGCAAGAAUAUGUUGGGCAUAAUGGAUAUCUUUCUUGUUUCAGAUGGUUGGCGCUACGCGUGGGACCCCUGAAGGUUUCAGGCUGGAUCAGGCUAGUGGUUCCCAACAACCGCCACCAGCACCGCCAAACCGAUCUGAGGUCAUGGCACGGCAGACGGAACUCCUUAACCAGCUAGUACAGGCCCAGAUGAACUAGUUUCAUCACCUGUCUCGAGGCCGUGAUGAACAUCCAUCGGCUGGCUACCAAGACUUUCUCAGCACCCAGCCCCCAUUGUUCCAUAAAACAGACGAGCCCCUCGAUGCUGAUGCAUAGCUCCGCACUAUAGAGUCCAAGUUCACAUUGUUGUCUGCACCAUGCUCAAACGCGAACAAGGCACUCUUCGCGGCUCAAUAGCUUCGCGGCACUGCCCGCAUCUGGUGGGAUCAUUAUUACGCCAUGCAACCGGCAGGACACGUUGUCACAUGGGACGAAUUUUGGACCGCCUUUAGGGCGCAUCACAUUCCAGAAGGACUCAUUGAGCGAAAGCUCAAUGAAUUUUUAACUUUGACCUAGGGAACCCGCACUGUCAUGCAGUAUGCACAGGCUUUCAAUCACCUGUGCUAGUAUGCGGGCUAUCAUGCGGACACUGACGCCCAAAAAUGGGAUCGUUUCCACCGUGGCCUGAACACCAAGCUCAAAGAACGACUGAAUCUUGUGAGGGUACACAAUUUCAACGAGCUAGUGAACAUGGCCAUUACACAAGAAGACUGCAUAUCAGCCCACCGGGCAGAAAAGAAACGGAAGACACCCACUGGACCCUCGAACAUGCAACAGCCGAGGUAUCGGUUAGUCCAGAAUCCAGCUACCCAAGUCCUGCCCCGAAACAAUAUACUAGGCAGGUGGGUAGCCAGGCCUCCACAGCAGUCUAGAUUCAAUCGGCCGCCAGUAUCUCAACCCCAACAGCACCAGCAACAGGGUCCGAGGCCGAGCUUUUCGCCGUCCAACCAGGAAAACAACAACAAUCGUUGUUUCAAUUGCGGUAGCCAGGCCUCCACAGCAGUCUAGAUUCAAUCGGCCGCCAGUAUCGCAACCCCAACAGCAACAGCAACAGGGUCCGAGGCCGAGCUUUUCGCCGUCCAACCAGGAAAACAACAACAAUCGUUGUUUCAAUUGCGGCAGCUCAUCCAUUUCAUCAGGGAUUGCCCUCAACCUAGGAAAUCAUUCUAAGGGCAGACAUCUAGCCCGAACAACAAGGGCAAGGGCAAGAAGCAGGUGGUACAAGUCCGCCAGGGGAGGGUGAACUUCACAACUCUCUCCGAACUCCCCGAGGGUGCGCCAAUAAUGACGGAUACUUUCUCUAUAAACCAUCAACCCGUGAUUAUACUUUUUUGUUCUGGUGCAACCCAUAGUUUUAUCAGUUCAAAAUACGGAACAAAAGUAGGCCUGGAUUUCUAUCCUACUAAAGGAGCCUAUAUGAUAGCGACUCCUGGCAGUAAAAUUGCAUCAAAUCAAAUUUAUAGAAAGGUGUCAAUUCAGUUAGGUAGCAAUCUGGUAAAAACAGAUUUACUGUUACUGGACCUAGAAGGAAUGGAUGUCCUUCUAGGCAUGGAUUGGAUGACUAGGCACCGAGUGUCAUUAGAUAUCUCUUCCCGAGCUGUGGAGAUAGAUUCACCCAAUCAUGAAACUACUAUUCUUUAUCUUCCACAACGGGAGUGCAACAACUCUUGUGCCUAUGCUGUAGAAGGGAUCAAGUUAAAGGACAUCCCUAUUGUUUGCGAAUACCUAGAUGUUUUUCCAGAUGAUUUGCCUGGAAUGCCUCCAGACAGGGAUAUUGAGUUUGUCAUAGAACUACAACCUGGCACAGCCCCCAUCUCUAAGAGACCCUAUUGUAUGCCACCCAAUGAGCUGGCAAAGUUAAAAAUCCAACUCCAGGACCUGCUUGAUAAGGGUUUCAUUCGUCCGAGUGCUUCACCAUGGGAUUGUCCAGCCCUAUUCGUGAAGAAAAAGGACAAUAGCUUAAGGCUAUAUGUAGAUUAUCGUCCCCUCAAUGCGGUAACCAUCAAAAACAAGUAUCCUCUGCCCCGCAUUGACAUUCUGUUCGAUCAGUUAGCCGGAGCUCGGGUAUUCUCUAAGAUUGAUCUCCACUCCGGAUAUCAUCAGAUCAAGAUCAGGUCUAGUGACAUUCCAAAAACGACAUUCUCCACCAGAUAUGGACUCUAUGAAUAUCUGGUCAUGUCGUUUGGCCUUACCAAUGCCCAGCAUACUUCAUGUAUCUGAUGAACUCAGUCUUCAUGCAAGAACUUGAUAAAUUCGUAGUGGUUUUCAUUGAUGAUAUUCUGAUCUAUUCUAAAAAUUUGGAAGAUCAUGCGAAACAUCUCCAUGUUGUUCUUCAGAGAUUGAGAGACCACCACUUGUAUGCCAAAUUCUCCAAAUGUGAAUUUUGGCUGGAUACCGUUAAAUUUCUGGGACAUACCAUCUCCAGUGACAAUAUAUCCGUUGAUCCAAGUAAAGUCCAAGAAGUGCUGGACUGGAAACCUCCUACGUUAGUCCAUCAGAUCUGCAGUUUUCUUGGUCUAGCUGGCUAUUAUCAUCGUUUCAUCCCUGACUUUUCAAAAAUAGCCAAGCCUAUGACAGAAUUAUUGAAGAAAGGAGUUAAAUUUUCCUAGGAUAGGAAAUGUGAAGACGCAUUUCACACCCUUAGAGCACAUCUCACUAUUGCCCCAUUCUGGCUCAACUGGAUGUUUCCAAACCUUUCAACAUCUAUUGUGAUGCUUCGGGAAUCGGACUUGGUUGUGUGCUUAUGCAAGACAACCGAGUGAUUGCUUAUGCAUCGCGAGCACUCAGGACUCAUGAACAGAACUAUCCUACACAUGAUCUUGAACUCACAGCCGUUAUCCAUGCACUUAAGAUUUGGAGACAUCAUCUAAUGGGUACAAAGUGCCAUAUCUAUACUGACCAUAAAAGUCUCAAGUACAUCUUCACGCAAGCAGAUCUAAAUAUGAGGCAAAGACGUUGGCUAGAGCUUAUCAAGAAUUAUGAUCUAGAAGUACACUAUCAUCUAGGCAAGGCCAACGUCAUUGCGGAUGCACUUAGCCUCAAGGCACAUUGCUCUUGCUUGUCAGUAGAGGCUUUCAAUGAGACUCUUUGUUGGGAGAUGAGGAAGCUCAAUCUAGAGAUCAUUCCUCAAAGUAGCUUGAACCAUCUCUCAGUUGAAGCUACACUUAGGGAUAACAUCAUUCUGGCACAACAGCAUGACAAAGGGGUCAGAAUCAUCAAGCAGGAGUUAGCACAAGAAGAAGAAAAGUACAAGUGCUUUCGAGUAGAUCACAAAGGGGUUCUAUGGUUCACCGAGCGUAUCGUUGUACCCAAGGACCAUAAGCUUCGUAAGCAGAUAUUGGACGAGGCCCAUCUGUCCAAAUUCUCUAUGCACCCCGGCACUACCAAGAUGUACCAAGAUUUGAAACAGAACUUUUGGUGGACUCGUAUGAAGCGAGAAAUUGCAAAGUAUGUCUCGGAGUGUGAUAUUUGCCAAAGAGUUAAAGCCAGCUAUCUAAAAACUGCUGGUAUUCUUCAACCUCUACCCAUUCCCUCCUGGAAGUGGGAGGAUAUCAGCAUAGAUUUUAUCGUUGGCUUACCCAACACCUCCCAGAGGCAUGAUUCUAUUUGGGUAAUCGUUGAUCGAUUAACGAAGACCGCCCAUUUUCUACCCGCGCAUACUACUUACAAUGCCAAAAAGUAUGCUGAGAUCUAUCUAGAUCAAAUCAUUCGUCUCCAUGGAGUGCCUAAGACGAUCAUUUCUGAUCAUGGAGCUCAGUUCAUCGCUCGAUUCUAGGAGCAACUUCAAUAUGCUCUUGGAACUAAGUUAAUUUGAAGCUCUGCAUAUCAUCCUCAAACAGACGGGCAAACGGAAAGAAUAAAUCAGAUUCUAGAAGAUAUGCUUAGAGCCUGCAUACUUCAGUAUGACAAGAAUUGGGACAAAUGCUUGUCUCUGGCAGAAUUUUCCUACAACAAUAGUUAUCAGACAAGUCUCUAGAUGGCUCCAUUUGAAGCAUUAUACGGUCGCCGAUGCCGAACUCCUUUGAGUUGGUCACAAACCGGCGAGCGUAAAAUCUUUGGACCCGACCUUGUCACUGAAGUAGAGGAAAAGGUGAAGACUAUUCAGAAUAAUCUAAAAGCAGCCCAAUCUUGACAAAAAAGCUACGCUGAUAUACGAAGAAGACCAUUACAGUUCCAGGUUGGGAACUUCGUGUAUCUUCGAGUAUCUCCUACUCGAGGUAUUCAACGGUUCAGCGUAAAAGGAAAACUUGCCCCUCGAUAUGUCGGACCCUUUGAGAUUAUCGAAGUCUGUGGACCCGUAGCAUAUCGUCUUCAACUUCCUCCUCAACUAGCGGCCAUUCAUGAUAUCUUCCAUGUAUCUCAACUUAGGAAGUGCGUCAAAAUUCCUACCGAGAUCAUCGAUCCCCAAGCCAUCAAAAUCGAAUCUGAUCUAACUUAUACCGAACAUCCGAUCAAAGUACUAGACACCAAAGAGAAAAGUACUAGAAGAGAAACCAUCAGGAUGUUCAAAAUUUAGUGGCAUCAUCAUACUGAAGAAGAAGCAACUUGGGAAACCGAGUCAAAUCUUCAGCGUAACUUUCCAAACUUCCUUCAAGCCAACUCCCAAAUCUGAUCGUCCGAUUCCAUCCUGUUCCGGAAUCUCGGGAUGAGAUUCUUUUUAGGGGGGAAGGCUGUGACAUUUAGGUACAUGGGAGUUAAACACACCAGAUUUUAGUAUGAAGUUUGUGUGUUUGAUCUUUUGUAUGUGUGUUAAAAACUUCAAUGCAAAGGCAAAAGGGUCUUUUUGUAAUUCUAGAAAAUUUAGGUCCUUUGGUGCAAAAUGUGUGAGAAUGGUAGGUAAAAUCAAAAUAUAUAAAGGGUUAUUUUGCAAGAAGCAAGUACUUAUUUUUAAACCUCUGUAAGAAGUGAAACUACCCUAAGGAUUCAAGUGGAGUGUAGAUUUUAAAUAGGAUUUCUCUGAAGUUUAAAAUUUUGCCAAGUUUUAAAAUAGAUUCAAAUCCUUAACUCUUUUGAAAUUGAACCUUAAAGCAAAGUUAUAGAUCUUGUUAAGCUCUACACUUUUGCUUUUGGGCACAUUUUUAUUUGAGCUAUGAUUUGAAAGUUGUUUUGGCUUUACAGUGGAGUCCCUGCAGUUUUGGAAAAUUUCAAACUAGUCCUCAUCGUCUACCUCCAGCCCUUCCCUCUCUCUGCUUCACCUCUGCGCCCGACCGCCGCCUUCGCUGGCUGCUUUCCCGAGCCCCAGCUAACCCGCGCCGCUCUUCUCCGCGCCACGUGCCCUCCAGUGCUGCGCCCGCCGCUCACCACCCCGCGCUGGCCCUCUCCCUGCCCCUCCACGUCGUGCCGCCGCCGCCCGAGCCGCCACGCACAUCGCCGGGCUUGCUAGCAGCUACUUCGCGCGUGCAGUGCUUCUCCUAGUCUUAAAGAUUGCCCAGGAGUCCCUCUCGACUUCUUUUACCCAUUCCACCACGCAGCAUUGCUUCUCCUUCCCUCCUCCACUCAACUACCCUCGCCGGAGCUCCGCCGCUGCCUCGGCUCGCCAUUGUCAACCGCCUCCGCCGCCCCACACCCACAAGCCAGUGCUCCUACACCACCGCCGCAACCCACUAAAGCUCACUGAGCAGUCCAAUUCCAUUCCCCGCACCCACGCAGCCCGGACCACCGCGCCGGUGAGCUCGAGCUCCGCCGCCGCUCGGUCUCACCGUCGACUUGCCGCCUCAGCCCCUCUCUUCCUCAACUCCGGCCACCCCCGUGACCGCGGUGAGCUCCUGAACCUUUUCCCCCACUUUCCCCUCGCCGCCGGUGAGCCCCCUCGCCGGAAUUUGGUCGACGUCGAUCGGCUUCUCUGUAAAACCUAGCCAAGGACCCAAUUGCAAGGAUUUCAAUCUUUCCAGGGGCCUUUCUGUGGAAAAAUCAGUACCCGCUCCCAUUUCAAAUCCAGCCAAAUUUGAAAAUCCAUAGGAAUUUGUAGAAAAAUUUAAAAAUUGCCAAACUAGUUUUGUUGUACUCCAGAAGUCCAGAUCUAUAAAUUUUGUUACUGGAGUUCAAUUUGAAACAAAAUAUUUUUAGAGUUAUUUUAAAGUUUAGCAAAAGGGUAUCUUGAGUAUAACUUUUGCAUGCUAGCUCUAUUGCUUGUGAUUUUUGGUGUGUAGACUGUUUAGGGUAUGAGUGAGCUUGUAUGCAAAUUUAACCUACAGUACUGAAUCCUAACUUGAACUCAUUUAAAUUCAUGCAAAUCAAACUUGAAAUGGUUUAAAUUUAUUCAAGCAUGUUACUAAGGUUUUCAUGCUUAGAUCUUUUUACCAUGUACUGUUCUGUAACUGAGUAGUUCAUAGUAAAUCUUUUAAGAAUUUAUGGCACUAUUUUUCCUAAGGUUUGAAUUUAAACUUGAAAUUUAAACUUAAUUCAAAUGCUUUAGUUUCUAUUUUCAGAAAUUUAUGAAAAAGUCAUAGAUAAGCUCAUCUAUUAGAAGUAAGUUUACCCACAAAAAUUCAAGGCCAUAGCCUUUGUGGAUUUCAAAAUAAAAAUGAAACUUGUUAACCUAAUUCAAUUAAUCCAAUUAAUUAUGAUAAUUGAAUUAAGAUACAAAUAGUCGGUUUGAAUUCAAAUUUCUUAUUUUAUGAAGUUGUGUUUAUCAAUUUGUUAGAUUGCAACUUUAUCGUGAAGUAAAAUUCUUAACUCAAGAACCACCUAAGUCACAUCAUUGCAUAUCAUGUAGAGUCAGCGACACUCGACGACGGAGUUUACGAACUAGUUCCGGAACCCGAGCAAGGGUUUUCUGAAGACUAGGUGAACGUCGCUGAGGAUUUAACUGAAGCGCCAAACCAAGGUUCGAAAGUAUUUGACAUUCCCGACCCCAGCCCCGCUCAAGAAGGCAAGCCCCGGUGCAUAACCCAAUAUUUUAAAUUACUACACUUAUACAGUUUUAUACUUAUAUAUCUAUAUUAUGCAUUUAAGUCUAGGAGUUGAAAUGGAACCCUAGAUGCAUGGAUCCUAGGAACCUAUGUAUUGUGCCUUAGUCCUUAUCGAAUAGAUGCUCUACUAAUAGGACCGGCAGAAGUCGAGUGAUUUCCUGUCACUCGCGCGAUAUAGGAGUUGAAUGUUUACUAUUCUGCAAUCACUAUAAGGAUGAUGGACGGGGUCAUGUGCAGUAUCAUGACUUGAAAGGUUACCCCGUCUAUGUUGAUAAAAGCUGAUAAGGUCGCAGUGUGUGGUAGCUGUGGUCAAGUGUUGAAAUUACUAGCCACAUGCGGCGAAAUAUGGUAAGCGGUAAGCCUAGUAACCGAUCGGCCCGAGGAGUGGACAUACCCCCCACCACUCGUAAUUUGGUUUUUCACACACGCACCAACGUUCGGGAAUAUGUUCCGCACAACGGACAGGAGUACGGUCAUGUAGUCGUGCUAGAGACGUACGUCCUGCACAUUGGAUGUGCGUAUGGUCCUACAGUCGCUUGUGGUGGCCUUGACCCACAAGUCGGAAUGAAAGGCAAACGGUUGCUUCGGAACGAUCAUUGGAUGUUCCAAGCGUGUGAGUUAGGUUUACCCUUGCAAGGUUAUGAAACCCGAUUUAGAAUCAUCCGUUUCUCGCGGAGAUUGAGACUGCUUGCUCCUUCUGCCACAUAGAGUAAGAAUAGUAACUAUUGUUGGAAUAAUCUUGAUGGAUGCUAAUCUCUACCUUACUUGUCUACUAUAGGUGCUUACCUAGAAUGGUUAAUGAAGAUAGAAUCUAAAAACUAAAAUAUGGAAAUUAGAUCAUACUCUUUGUUGCUUUUCAGCAAAAAAAAGAAAACCAGAACCUCUCAAUCCUCCGUGGUCUAACUUCGGGCUAAGUAUACCAAAUCUCGGUUAAGUCUUGCUGAGUAUUAGCAUACUCAGUCUUGCUAGUCUGUCUUUCAGGUAUAGCCUUUGAGAACCAAACGGAUAGUGCAGCCUGGCCAUUCUCUGUUCCGUUUAGCUGGUCUAUGGAGUGGGAUCCGUCCCCGGCUGGCAAUGACCCUCCAGAAUGACGCCAUGUUUCGGGCUGAGCGUGGUGUGAACUCUCGCGACGUGUGUAAUCGCGUGUUAAUUUCUCCCGCUGUGACUCUGAACAAGCUUGCAUAGCUUGUGGUUUUAAACAAUAUUUAUAUAAGUUUACUUUAAGUUUGAAACAGAUUGUAAUAAUGUGUUAAUAUUUCUAUAAAUUAAAAGUUGGUGAGCUGUUGUGUGAUUGUAAACUCGCCUUCGUGCGAGGUAAACCUACCUCGAUCCUGUGCAACCGUGGUUGAAUUGAGCGGUGACCCGACAGACCAAUGGGUUGUUCUGUUUGAAGUGCGUUGAGUUAGUAUCACCUAUACAGUGAUGACUAGCGCAUUUGAGCCGGAAUAAUUCAAGCGGAUUGGUUCUGCCACAGUGAUGGCACGGCAUGCAUGAUGUACGCGCUGAAGAUAGCAAGCGCAAGCUAUCCGGCCUCGAAAGAUGUCUAAAAUGAGCGCGUGGCAAACAACUAGCUCAGCCUGCAGGUGGGGCACGGGUACUCAAAGAGAGACACAUGCAUGGUGUAAUCUCAGGGAAGAAAUUGAGUCGCUGGAGCUGACGGUGAUCGAACAUCAUCGGAAAAAACACUGAAGAUGAGCCACGACAUUUCAAGCAUUACUUGAUCGGGGAGAAAGAUUAGAGAAUCGGGAGCUCGAUGGGGCAUCUUAGGGAGUCGGAGAGGAAAGAGUUAAAAGGGUGGACAACAAAGAAACAGCUCAGUCUGACUACGAGGAGAGAGAGAAAGAAAGAAAGAAAGAAAGAAAGAAAGAAAGAAAGGGGAAGCGGCAAAGCUUCUGGAUAACUCCAACUUGGUGAAGGAAGGCGAUCGAAGGUGAGUGUCGGUCAGGUAUCUUUGACGAGCUAUUAAGCUUCGAAAAGGAAUGGCAAAAGGCGAAAAUGGGUGCUCGCUUCGGUACCUCAAGGAGAAGCUUUUGAUUUACUUUUUGUCGUCAAAACACGACAGAUGACGAGAUUACGGCGGUGGCGGAGCUCAACAGCACGGUUCUACAGUCUUGGGGCGAAUUGGACCAAAAAUGAAUUAAGUCCAGCUCGAGAUGAAAAGAAAAGAAUUUAUUUUCCAAAACAUAUUUUCAGGUUUAAAAUAAAUCUAGAAAAGUCCAGAUAAACAUUUUAAACCACGAAAAAUAUAUCCAUAAGAAUCCAAAAAAUUCCAAGGAAAACUCUGGAGAUAAUUUGGGACAUGAAGAAUCCAAAUAAAAUAUUUGGAAUAUAAAAAAUAUUUUAGAGCCUUUCAAAAAAUGGAUCUAGCUCUAGAAUAAACAAGAAUAAUUGCCAGAAAAAUAUGUAAAAUUCUCGAAAAAUCCUAUUAAUAGAUGAACACAUUCUAAAAGACAUUCACAUCCUAAAAUUAAAUAUUUUAGGGUGUGACAUCAUCUCCGUGGUCGUGGAUGGAAGCCAUGAAAACAUGGCUGAUGAGGACAUCAUGCUGGAUAACCUGAGAUUUGGUCUUCUACGAGUUACGAGUCAUCACCAAAUUGGUCUUCACAUCCGGUUCGGACUUAGCCGACCACCCUGAAUGGAAACGCCGAUAUCUCCUUCAUACGACGUCGAAAGAGGCGUUCUUUGAUGCGUUGGAAAGAAGACAAUGAAAUCUUUCUUUUGAUUCUUGUCCGAGCUCCAGAAGAUUCGUGGAUGAUUUUGUGUGACCAUGACAACAUGUUGCGUCACCUAUUUUGGGCCAAGUCGGCCUUGUAUCGUGUCAAGCCUUAAGCCCAGGUUGAGGAUGCCCCCACCUGGUCGCCCUCAACCCUAAGACAUCCCUCCUUCGGUAUAAACUCAGUAGCCGGCGCCACAUUAAGGUUUGGAUUUUUGUUUAGUUCUAGUUUUCCAUUGAAAAACAAACAUCUUUAUUGCAACUGUGAUGCAAAGUCCUUUAGAAGCUUAAAUUUAGCAAAUUUUCUACUCCAAACGGCUCAAAUUUCCGCCAUUAUAUCCAGCUUUAUGAUCUCCCAACAUACCUUAUAAAUUUGCCUGUGAAGCCGUCAGGACCCGGACCACCGUAGAAUAGUUGGGGGGGCAGCGACCAGUGGGGGAAUCAGGCUCGCGCAUGAGGGGCGGAGCCUGUCGGCCAACCUGGUCCCGAGAUGGCUCCAAAUAAAUCUUCAUCAACCGAGCUGGCCCUUUGGAAUGUUGAUCCUGCAUUAACUUGCACCGGACUCAAGGGCUUAAUUACUGUGGACGCAUCGUUUGCUGCGGCAUCAAUUACUGUGUGGGCGCUUCGGGUGCCGCAACCGCCGCGCGUGUCGUGGUGGCAUCAAAUGCUUGAGCUGCUCGGCACAUCGAUUCCGGGGCCACGCAUGGCGCCGCCACCAGGGAACCCGCGGGAAAACGAUGGCCCUGCCUUGCUUCUGCCGCCAUGUGGAUGGCAGCUGCCAGGGGUGAUCCCAGCCGCGCAUGCACCGAGCCACGAGGGCCGGAGUUUGCCGGCGGCGAGCUGAGCGCUCUACGCGACGGCGCAUCUAGUGGAGAGUUGAACCUUCGGCGUCUUCUGCGACCUCGGUGAUCAUCGUCCGUCGGACUAUGGGAAGGCGGAUUCCUCGGGCUCGCCGGCAGGUCAUAUGGCAAUACAGCGAUGGAGAUGGGGUAACUUAGCGUGCGUUUCUGUGGUGUAGCGCCGCCUGCCGUCGGCCUAGGUUCAACAAUCUCCAGGGUCAUCUCCGACGGGAUCAGAGCAGGAUCGGAACACCACGCCGCUACCCGGAAGCAAUCCGAGCGAUCGGCAGUGCUAGGAUGAAUGCCACUGAUCCAGCAAUAAUCAUUGAGCAGCUGCUCGGCUGAAGAAAGAUCCCAGGCAUGAGCCGGGAUGCCAAAAGUCAAUCUCCACUGCGACCUGCAGGGAGGCCGCCGUUAAAUGGAGGUAUCACUGAUACCACUGUAGGGAAACGGGUAGGCUACGCUAGCAUCACUACCGCAUAUACCCAAGAUAUUUGCGAGUAGAAGAUUAUAGAUCGUUACCACUAGACGCGUAGUACAGCGGAUGAAGUCGCGCGUCGAUGUAGAGGAAGUAGACGAUCACGUCCCACGAACCGAGCUCCUCGUCCUUGAUCCCAUCAGAUCAGCGCAGCAGUCGCAGCAGCGCCUCCACGGAGUCCACACGUACGGGGAUGAAACGCCGGGCGUCGGUGCGCUAGCACCGCACACACGGCAAGGGCGGCGGCCAAGAGAGGGGGGGCGACGGCUAGGGAGGUGGCGCGGCUCACAGGUUGUUUCGUCCCCCUAGCCCCUCCCUCGUAUAUAUAGGGCGUACUAAUGGGUUUCUAUCUCAUAGGCCCAUUAGUAACCCUAAUCCCACUUGGAUCAAUAUCCUCUUGAGCCAUUAAACCGUAUUGUGAUGAUGGGCUCUUGGGCAUAUCACCAACAAUCUCCCACUUGCACUAGAGACAAUCAUACAGGCAAGCUUUCCAACAUUCCAAAUCCCUUAAGUGUGUGACCCAUUAGGUUCAUGUGUAGGUGGUCGUGAUCGGAAAUCAUUUCCGAAUCACAAGUCAAUAGCGGCACCUAGCAGGGCAUAGUGACUCACAAAUACACAUAAAGAUCAUAUCGGUCGAACCUUAGAUAUACUCAUACACCGAUCCCUUUGCCAUACGAUACCAGUCAAGCUCAAGGCGAGAUGCGUGCCACCUUUGUGAUAGCUCGACCAUUCUCUCGAUCUAAUAGUGGAUUCUAUUAAUAACUAACCUUUAGUCAUAAUGAUUAACUCUUUAAUCACUUUGGCAUGGCCAUGCACUUUCAAAUCCAACUAUCUCGAGGGGCCCAGAGAUAUCUCUCCCGUUAUCUAGGAGGGGCAAAUUCCAUCUUGAUCCGCUCACAUCCCAUUCCAUGUUUCAUGACACACCUGUAAGCUACUUUUGUAACUACCCAGUUACGGAGUAGCGUUUAGCAGCCCCAAGAUGCACCACUACACACAGUGAGAAACAAUAGCGAUCUCAGGUCUAAGGAUCCAGUAGGUAUAACACUCAAGAACAACUGAUGGCACAUACAAAAUAACAAUCCCAACAUUGUCUUGGAGUGGGUCAAUCCAACACCAUGUUCACCAACAUGUGUCCACAUCAUUAAUCCGAUAUCUCCAUAUCCAUGAUCCGUGAAACAUGAUCGUCAAUUAAUGCAUGUGCUAGUCUCAACGUCGUUGUUGUCCCACAUAACGACAUAAACUAGGGAUAAUUUAGAAUCAUAUCAUUGUCAACAAAGAGUUUCAUGAACAAGUCACGUACUUGAUAAUCAAUGUAAAAUAAUCAUCCAUGGAACAAAUAAUAAUUAUUCAUCAUUACAUAAACAUACUCAUGACACAAAAAUCUCCCAUGCACACUAGAAUUACUGAUGUAAGUAUCUAAUACCCAUAGAUCUCAUGUGCGCCUCAUGCUUUGGUUGUGGGAGAGGCUUCGUCAACGGAUCAGCAACGUUUGAAUCCGUGUGCACCUUGCAAGCCUUCACAUCACCUCUCUCAACAAAGUUACGGAUGAGGUGAUACUUCCGCAGUAUAUGUCUGGACUUCUUAGUUGUUCUAGGCUCCUUUGCUAGUGCAACGGCACUACUAUUAUCACAAUAGAGGUCCACUGGACUGGACGCACUAGGAACAACACCCAAGUCAGAAACAAACUUUCUGAUCCAAACAGCUUCUUUUGUAGCUUCGGAAGCUGCAAUAUACUCGGCCUCUGUCGUCAAAUCAGCCACCGUAUCUUGCUUGGAACUCUUCCAGCUCACUGCCCCACCAUUGAGGCAGAAAACAAAACCGGAUUGCGAUUUGGAGUCAUCUUUGUCUGUUUGAAAACUAGCAUCGGUGUAACCCUUUACAAGGAGCUCAUUUUCGCCUCCAAAUAUUAGGAACAUAUCCUUAGUUCUUCUAAAGUACUUAAGGAUACUCUUUACAACUGUCCAGUGAGCUUCACCGAAAUCUGACUGAUACCUGCUCGUAACACUUACAGCAAAGGAAACAUCUGGGCGCGUGCAAAGCAUAGCAUACAUGAUCGACCCUAUGGCUGAAGCAUAAGGAAUCGUACUCAUCCUCUUUUGCUCAUCAGGUGUCGUAGCACACUGACUCUUGCUUAGAGUAAUGCCAUGUGACAUUGGCAAGAAACCUUUCUUGGAAUCUUGCAUAUUGAACCGAUUCAAUAUCUUGUCAAUGUACGUGUCUUGGCUUAAUCCAAUUAGCCUUUUUGAUCUAUCUCUAUAGAUCCUAAUACCCAGAAUGUAAGCCGCCUCUCCUAAAUCCUUCAUCGAAAAACUCUUUUUCAAUGAGGUUUUAACGGCUUCAAGCAUUGGAAUAUCAUUUCCGAUCAGUAAUAUGUGAUCCACAUAUAUGACCAGAAAUACAAGUGCGCUCCCACUAGCAUUUUUGUAAACACAAGGCUCAUCUUCAUUCUUGAUGAAGCCAAACCCUUUGACUACUUCAUCAAAAUGAAUAUUCCAACUCCGAGAUGCUUGCUUCAAUCCAUAGAUGGACCUCUGAAGCUUACAUAUUUUUCCAGCAUUUUUAGGAUCGACAAAACCUUCAGGUUGUGUCAUAUACACAUCCUCACUUAGAUGUCCAUUAAGGAAAGCGGUUUUGACAUCCAUUUGCCAUAUCUCAUAGUCAUAAUAUGUGGCAAUUGCUAGGAGAAUCCGAACAGACUUUAGCAUUGCAACGGGCGAAAAGGUUUCCUCAUAGUCAACACCUUGAAUUUGGUGAUCAUUUGAAGCAAUGUGGAAUUAUUCCGCAGCUAACUCCGCCCGGAAUGCCUCAAUGGAAUGGAAUUAUGCCACCUCCCUAGCUGUCACCCCCCCUCUCUUGGCCGCCGCCCUUGCCGUGUGUGCGGUGCUAGCACACCGACGCCCGGCGUUUCAUCCGCGUAUGUGUGGACUCCGUGGAGGCGCAGCUGCGACUGCUGCGCUGAUCGGCUGCUGGGAUCAAGGACGAGGAGCUCGGUUUGUGGGACGUGAUCGACUACUUCCUCUACAUCGACGCGUCCGCUGCGCUGCGCAUCUAGUGGUAAUGAUCUAUGAUCUUCUACUCGCAAGUAUCUUGGGUAUAUGCGGUAGUGAUGCUAGCGUAGCCUACCCGUUUCCCUACAGUGGUAUCAGAGCCAUCUUGCAUAGUUUUUGGUCUGGAUCAUUAGCAUAUAGGUGAUAUGUUGUUGUAGUAGAUUGGAUCUCUUACUUUUGCACGGUUUGAUUAGAUCAAUUGGUCAUAAGGGGUUAAAACUGGAGCGAGUUGAUUGCGCGGCAUGUGACAAAAGGAUUAGUUCGUGUUCUUUCUCUGUUAUGCAUACGACAUGUCCCUACCGGCUGGAAUCACCAUCAGGGACUAACUGUGUGCAUAGUCAGCAGAUUGAACCAACAGAUCGAGGUCAUGUGUAGAUGCAGUCUUCUCAAGUGCAAAGUUUGCACGGUCAAUGUGAUUGACCUAGGGAAAAUUGAGGCAUUAUGAAUGGCUCAGAUUUGAGGUGAUGCGAUCACUCUAAUGAGAUUUCAUAGGGAUUCCAUAGAUGCGAUCUGUGUAAUUCUGUGAUGCUUUCUCGCUAUAGUGACUUCCUAAGCGCUACUUUGGUAGAACACGUCGUACGCCUAACUUGUUUUUGCAGGGUGUGAUGUGAAUGGUAUGGCCUCAAUGUCAUGUGAUGAUGUAUGUGAUGAUUUGUGCGGCCUGUGUGUCGCAAGUUAACACAAUUGGGUUGAGGUUGCACCAUUAUUGUAUAACGACCUGCGUGUCGACUUGUGAUGUUUGAAUUCUCAUGUAAUUAUUUCACUAGCUAUUAGAUGUAGUAGCUUAGUAUCUUUUCAUGGAGGCUUCAAUCAUGAUGGCGAUGAUGAUCACCACAAGAUAGGAUGGAUGGCAAUGGAGGUCACCUUGGAGCCAUGGCGAUGGAGCCCAUUGUGAUGCAAGAGGCCAUACUAUUCACAAUAUAAUAUGAUUAUAUGCCUGUGAUGUUUAUUUUCCUGUCAUGCUAUUCUUUCAUGCUUUUACAUAUGGUGGAUGUUUUAAUCAUGAUAGAAUAGCUUCCCUCAGAAAAGGUUGAGUUUUUUAUGCCUUUUACCAAUAGCUGCACCUAUAAAUUUUGAUCAUUGUGUGGUAGGUUUACCAAAGUAGAGUACCCUCAGCUAUCACUUUUGUAUAGGGUGGAUGUCGGACAUUCACAAGCAUAGUAUUGGUUUACUCAACAAAGCUAUCAAAACAGUUUUGGGCUUUAAGGCAUAGGGUUGGGGCCGGGGCAUUGGAUGCCACCCAACAAACAAGAGUCGCAUAGAGAUAUGAUUAGUAAUUUGUUGCUUACCUGUAUCACUACUUUUCUAGCCGUGAUGCUAAAGCUCACUAGGAUUUUAGUGAUUAUGGAUCUUGAACCACUAUAUGUCAGUAGAGGGAAGAUGACUUUGAUAUAGUAGGUUGUCUUUUGUUAAAUCAGUUAAUGAAAGUCUUUACAUAAACUUAGUGCUGAAAUCUUGCUUUACUUUAAUGUUGUAGAUCAUGUCUGCCAGUAACAAUUCCGCUUUGAAUUUGUGUUCUAUUCUAGAGAAAGAAAAGUUGAAUGGAACAAACUUUAUUGAUUGGUACUGCAACCUGAGAAUUGUUCUCUGGCAAGAGAAAAGGGAGUAUGUUCUUGAGCAGCCAUAUUCUGAUGAUCUCCCUGGCAAUGCAACUGCUGCUGAUCGCAGAGCUUAUGAGAAGCACUGCAAUGACUCACUUGAUGUCAGCUGUCUGAUGCUUGCCACCAUGUCCCCUGAUCUGCAGAAGCAAUAUGAGCAUGCGGAUGCUCACACCAUGAUCGAGGGGCUGCGUGGGAUGUUUCAGAACCAAGCCAGGACUGAGAGGUUAAAUAUCUCAAAGUCCUUGUUCGCGUGCAAGCUGCCAGAAGGUAGCCCGGUCAGUCCUCAUGUGAUCAAAAUGAUUGGUUACAUUGAGACUUUGGACAAACUUGGUUCUGAACUUCACCAAGACUUGGCUACUGAUGUUAUUCUCCAGUCGCUCCCGGUGAGCUAUGAGCCUUUUAUCAUGAACUUUCAGAUGAAUGGCUUGGAUAAAACAUUGAGUGAGUUGCAUUGGAUGCUAAAGACAGCUGAGGAGAGCAUUAAGAAGAAUCCCAAUCAUGUGAUGAUGAUUCAGAAGGGGAACAAAAAGAGGAAGCGUUGGACGCCUCCUAAUCCUAAAGGUAAAGGCAAGGAAAAGAGUUCCAGUGGUGAGUCCUCGGGCUCUAAGCUAAAGCUAGCACCUAAGGCCAAAUCUGGCCCUACUUCUGAGGAUGAAUGCUUCCACUGUCAUGAAAAGGGACAUUGGUCUAGGAACUGCAAGAAGUACUUGGAAGAAAAGAAGAAGAAGAAGGGAAGUGAGACUUCCACUUCAGAUAUAAAUGUUAUAGAAAUUAAUAUUGCAUUAUCUUCCAGUGAAUCAUGGGUAUUUGAUACUGAAUCGAUGAUUCACACUUGCAAAUCAUUGCAGGGUCUAAGUGAGACUAGAAGAUUUGCAUGAGGCGAGUUGGACGUUCGUGUCGGCAAUGGCACAAAGGUUGCGGUGUUAGCGGUCAGCACCUACCACUUGUCUCUACCCUUCGGAUUAGUUUUGGAAUUAAAUAAUUGUUAUUGCAUUCCUGCUUUGAGCAAGAACAUUAUUUCUUCUUCAUGUUUGGAAGAAGUUGUUGAUUUUAAGAUUGUAAUAGAGAACAAACGUUGUUCUAUUUUUUGCAAUGGUAUUUUUUAUGCUCAUUGUCCAUUGGUGAAUGGAUUAUAUGUUCUUGAUCUUGAGGAUAAAUCUGCCUGUAACAUUAAUACUAAGAGGCUUAGACCAAAUGAUUUGAAUCCCACUUUUAUUUGGCAUUGUCGCUUAGGUCAUAUAAAUGAGAAGCGCAUUGAACAACUCCAUAAAGAUGGAUUGUUAAGCUCAUUUGAUUUUGAAUCAUUUGACACAUGUGAGUCUUGUUUGCUUGGAAAGAUGACCAAAGCGCCUUUCACUGGUCAUAGUGAGAGGGCGAGUGACUUGUUGGGACUUGUACAUACCGAUGUAUGUGGACCAAUGAGCUCAAUAGCCAGAGGUGGUUUUCAGCACUUCAUUACUUUCACUGAUGACUUUAGUAGAUAUGGCUAUAUCUACUUAAUGAGGCACAAGUCUGAAUCGUUUGAAAAGUUCAAAGAAUUUCAGAAUGAAGUACAAAAUCAAUUAGGCAAGACAAUUAAAUUUCUGCGAUCUGAUCGUGGAGGAGAAUAUUUGAGCCUUAAAUUUGGUGAUCAUUUGAAGCAAUGUGGAAUUAUUCCGCAGCUAACUCCGCCCGGAACGCCUCAAUGGAAUGGGGUAUCUGAAUGGAGGAACCAAACCUUGUUGGACAUGGUUAGGUCCAUGAUGAGCCAAGCUGAUCUUCCAUUGUCAUUUUGGGGUUAUGCUCUUGAAACUGCUGCGUUCACACUGAAUAGGGUUCCAAGUAAGUCUAUUCAGAAGACACCAUAUGAGAUAUGGACUGGGAAGCGUUCCGGAUUAUCUUUUCUCAAAGUUUGGGGAUGUGAGGCUUAUGUCAAAUGUUUGAUGUCAGAUAAGCUCACUCCAAAGUCAGACAAAUGCUUCUUUCUGGGGUAUCCUAGGGAAACCAAAGGAUAUUAUUUUUACAAUAAGGAGGAAGGCAAAGUGUUUGUCGCUCGCAAUGGUGUUUUCUUAGAAAAGGAGUUUCUCUCAAAAGGAUUUAGUGGGAGCAAGGUGCAACUUGAAGAAAUUCAGGAAACACCCAAAACUAUUUCAGCACCCACUGAAGAUCCAUGGGAUGUGCAAGAUGUUGCACAACCCGUAGUUGAGGCACCAGCCCCACGAAGGUCUAUAAGGGCACAUCGCGCUACUGACAAGCUCAACCUCCUUAUUACGGAGGAGCGGCAUGUAUUAUUGAUGGAAAAUGAUGAGCCCUUGACCUACAAAGAAGCAAUGAUGGGACCCGACUCCGACAAAUGGCUUGAAGCCAUGGAAUUCGAGUUAAAAUCCAUGCAUGAUAAUCAAGUUUGGAACUUGGUCGAUCAAAUUGACAGUGUAAGACCUGUCGACUGUAAGUGGAUUUUUAAGAAAAAAUUAGACAUGGAUGGAAAUGUUCACAUCUAUAAGGCACGAUUGGUGGCGAAAGGUUUCCGACAAAUUCAAGGUGUUGACUAUGAGGAAAUCUUUUCGCCCGUCACAAUACUAAAGUCUGUUCGGAUUCUCCUAGCAAUUUGAUCCGUAACUUUGUUGAGAGAGGUGAUGUGUAGGUUUGCAAGGUGCACAUGGAUUCAAACGUUGCUGAUCCGUUGACGAAGCCUCUCCCACAACCAAAGCAUGAGGCGCACAUGAGAUCUAUGGGUAUUAGAUACUUACAUCAGUAAUUCUAGUAUGCAUGGGAGAUUUUUGUGUCAUGAGUAUGUUUAUGUAAUGAUGAAUAAUUAUUAUUUGUUCCAUGGAUGAUUAUUUUACAUUGAUUAUCAAGUACAUGACUUGUUCGUGAAACUCUUUGUUGACAAUGAUAUGAUUCUAAAUUAUCCCUAGUUUAUGUCAUUAUGUGGGACAACAACGACGUUGAGACUAGCACAUGCAUUAAUUGAUGAUCAUGUUUCACGGAUCAUGGAUAUGGAGAUAUCGGAUUAAUGAUGUGGACACAUGUUGGUGAACAUGGUGUUGGAUUGACCCACUCCAAGACAAUGUUGGGAUUGUUAUUUUGUAUGUGCCAUCAGUUGUUCUUGAGUGUUAUACCUACUGGAUCCUUAGACCUGAGAUCGCCAUUGUUUCUCACUGUGUGUAGUGGUGCAUCUUGGGGCUGCUAAACGCUACUCCGUAACUGGGUAGUUACAAAAGUAGCUUACAGGUGUGUCAUGAAACAUGGAAUGGGAUGUGAGCGGAUCAAGAUGGAAUUUGCCCCUCCUAGAUAACAGGAGAGAUAUCUCUGGGCCCCUCGAGAUAGUUGGAUUUGAAAGUGCAUGGCCAUGCCAAAGUGAUUAAAGAGUUAAUCAUUAUGACUAAAGGUUAGUUAUUAAUAGAAUCCACUAUUAGAUCGAGAGAAUGGUCGAGCUAUCACAAAGGUGGCACGCAUCUCGCCUUGAGCUUGACUGGUAUCGUAUGGCAAAGGGAUCGGUGUAUGAGUAUAUCUAAGGUUCGACCGAUAUGAUCUUUAUGUGUAUUUGUGAGUCACUAUGCCCUGCUAGGUGCCGCUAUUGACUUGUGAUUCGGAAAUGAUUUCCGAUCACGACCACCUACACAUGAACCUAAUGGGUCACACACUUAAGGGGUUUGGAAUGUUGGAAAGCUUGCCUGUAUGAUUGUCUCUAGUGCAAGUGGGAGAUUGUUGGUGAUAUGCCCAAGAGCCCAUCAUCACAAUAUGGUUUAAAGGCCCAAGAGGAUAUUGAUCCAAGAGGGAUUAGGGUUACUAAUGGGCCUAUGAGAUAGAAGCCUAUUAGUACGCCCUAUAUAUACGAGGGAGGGGCUAGGGGGGCGAAACAACCUGUGAGCCGCGCCACCUCCCUAGCCAUCGCCCCCCUCUCUUGGCCGCCGCCCUUGCCGUGUGUGUGGUGCUGGCACACCGACGCCCGGUGUUUCAUCCCUGUACAUGUGGACUCCGUGGAGGCGCUGCUACGACUGCUGCGCUGAUCGGCUGCUGGGAUAAAGGACGAGGAGCUCAGUUCGUGGGACGUGAUCGACUACUUCCUCUACAUCGACGCACGACUUCAUCCGCUGCGCUGUGCGUCUAGUGGUAACGAUCUAUGAUCUUCUACUCGCAAGUAUCUUGGGUAUAUGCGGUAGUGAUACUAGCGUAGCCUACCCGUUUCCCUACAUCGUGUCCACCGCAUGACAUGAAGCCGGAGUGUUGAAGUAAUGAUCGGCCGCCCGCCAUUGAAAAUUCUUUCCAUGAGCUCCAAACUCAGCAAGAUCAGAAGAAAACCGGCUGGCCCCAUUGGGUAUAAGCGCAGCAUGGAUUCCUCGACCUCAAACCGGUGAGCAAUGGAGGCAGGGAUGGAUGCGGCCGCACCGUCGAUCACGGAGAUGACCAGCGCGUAGGUGAGGUCAUCCUCACAGUGAGAGAUGCUAUCUGAGCAAUCCAAGAUCUUCCUGGGCUUCAGAGAACCACACCGUCAGAUGGGGCAUCACCUGCGGGCGUCGGCGUCGGGGAGACCGACGCAUCACCGUUGGCAUCCUCGCCGCCGUGGCUCGGCGGCCCCUGGCCAGCGCCCAAACCGCGCGCAGCACCACCAACCACCACGUCCAGGGCUCGUGCGGAGCCGCUUCCUCUCUGCUCCGUCCUUCCCUCGAGCCUCCCGAGCCGGCCGUCGUUGCAGCAGGUGCGUCAGUCGCCGGAGCCGCCGAGGAAACCGGCCGCCAGACCAGCUGCCGGGGGCAGGGAGGCACAGCCGCCAUGGAGGUCGAACGCCAUACCAGUUGAGGGACACAGCUUGAUGAAGGAGCAACUCGCCGCACCAAAUAGUCGUGAGCGCGGUGGCCCAGCUCCCGGCAAUGGAAGCACCUUGUGACGAGACUGCAGGUCGCCGCCCGGUGCUGGGGGGAGAAGCAGUUGAAGCACUUCCCCAGGAGGUCAAUCGGCACAGGCCGACGAGGAUGAGGAUGACGUUCCAGGCGCCUGAGCACCUUACGCGUGCACCAGCUCACCGCAGUUUGCCAGCCAUCGUAGUUAGGGCUCGCUCCGGGGGCAGGGUACCGACGCUCGCACGGGUGCACCACAAUCCGAGGAGAGGCGCAGCCCAAACGCACCGAGGAGGCCGUGGAUGAUCGCGGUUGGCGGCAGCGUGGGCUUGAUGGCAGCCAGCAGGACCUCCUCGAACGAGGGAUAGGCGAAGCAGUCACCAUUCUCUUGAAUGGGUGGAUGUGAUUGGCCGCAAAGGAUAAUGAAUAAACUAGAAUACCAAAGUAGAAUACCAAAAGAACCAUAUUUAUUUACUGCUGAACAUAUUGGAAAAUGUAAAUUGACGUCAGAAAAGGAAACCCAUUAAUUUGAAAUAACAACACAAAAUAUCACUAGAAAUCAACUUACAAUAAUGUAAAUAACACAAUGUGCAUGAAGAAAAAUAGUAAUGAUGUUGCUAAACAAAUAGUUAUAAAUCCGACCGGACCACUUCAUCAGAACUGAGCUUGCAUUAAGUCCACUGUUUCCUUGUUGACCUGGAAGGCCUUGGCUAGUAUAUGGUCCGCAAUGGAUGGUUUGGAUCCAAACACUGUGUUGGCAAUAGUGAUGACUCCAGGGUUCUGGCUACUCAAUCCUGCAAGAGCUACAGCAUUGCCUGUACCAUUGUUGAACUGGAAGUGGACAAGUCCCUUUGGGAACACAAACACAUCUCCCUUGUUCAGAGCCUUGGCGAUCAGUUUGUUGUUUGGAUUCGAGGUAACAAAGCCAACAAAGAGCGAGCCCUCCAACACUGUCAGUAUCUCUGUGGCACGAGGGUGAGUAUGAGGUGGAUUCAUGCCAUUGGGAGCAUAGUCGAUGCGAACCAUGGAGAUCCCCAUCGUGUUCAGGCCAGGGAUCUGUGCGACAUUGACUGCUGUCACAGCUGAACCCUGCUUGUUGCUCGUGUUGCCAACCUUGUCAAGGCCGGAGAAGUGGAAGUCUUCUGCUGCGAUGUCCAUUGCGUCUUUGCAAGCGAAUCCAUUGACUUGCACUGCAUGGAUAUUCAUAAAUGCAUGUAAGAUAACCUCAUAACAAUAUAAUGCAUAAGAGGUCAAUCGAUACAAGUUUGUGUUUACCUGGAGACGUCUUGUCGGCAACGCAGACGUCUUGGAGAAGGCUCGGAUCUGAGGCGAUGGCAGAAGAGCAGGCCAUAGCCAACAGAGCAAGGAACAGCAGAUAACUUGCCAUCUGCGUACUGCCUCUGUUUCUCCUGAAUUUGUGCAAACUAAAUUCGCGAGUACUAGAGAUUAAAGGAUUGCGAGAAAGAACUGUGUGGUCGCUAAGCAUGGUGGAGGCUGUAUUUAUAAGGGGUAAUCAAGCUUGAUUUUGUUUCCCAGGGGAAUUUAUUAGUUUACUCUAGAUGAGCGAUGAUUGCUUCAUCUUUGUAGGAACGAGUCUUCCAAUUGGCAUUUGGCAGCAUUGCGUGUGCUUGAUUUAGAUGCAUUGACAGACGGCAAUGAAUCAAUUAUUUAUUGCGAUUGAACAAGUCAACACAUCGCAUACUUGUCGCCAAAUAGCUGAGAUGAUCAUGUAACAAAUGGAGAACAGUUUCAUUCAAGUGCAUGAAUUCAUGAUAACUUAAGGUAGAAUAUUGCAGCCCAUAAUUUGUCUCCAUGUGGGUGUCCACGUAUGAUUAUGGUUUAGAUCUAACCGAUAAACAUCAAAAUUUGUCGUAGCCCAUUGUGUUUGUUCUUUUCUCAAAAUUUACUCCUGCAAAUUUGUUCUAACUUGUGUGUUAGAAUAUUGCAGUUCCUUUUUUAUGGGUUACAUGCACACAUUGGCGAUAUUUAUGGGUUAGAUAGAUCAUGAAAUACCUGUGUUAGAAUAUUGCAGUUCUUCUUUUAGGUGCACAUUGCAUUUGUUCUUUGCUCAAAAUUUACUCCCGCAGAAGUUACAUUUGUUUUCUUGCAAAAUCAAGCUAUAUGGUUAACAUUUUCAUCAUUCAUAUGGAGUAAUCCUGCAAAAUUACUUUGUUUGUCCAGUACAACAAAAGCCAUUGGCGAUGUUUGUGGGUUAGAUAGAUCGUGGGCAACCGUAGGAGCCAAUCCUUAAAUUAAUUCGGCUCUGUAACACUCUAAUUUUUAAUUUAGAAAUCUAAAUAAAUUUUGCUAGAUUAUUUGCAGGGUCCCUAAGGUUUUUAUUCAAUUUAUUUUUGUUUCUGGAACAUUUACCAUGAAUUAUAAAUAAUUUACUUAGCCAUAAAAAGAAAUAUAAGGUAAAUAGGCUUUGAGCAUUCAUGCCGCAUUGCAUUAUUUUAUUAUUUGAGUUAAGUCGAAUUUAAAUUCCUAAAUUUAAAUAAUUUUUUACUUGUUUCCUUUUUCCUUUCUCCCUCUUUACUCUGUUGGGCCCAAUCCAAACCUCCUUCUCUUUUUCCCUCUCUCCUUUUUCCUUUUCUCUCCCGCGUGGCCCAUCCCGCUUGACCAACCCGGCCCAGUCGCCCCCUUUCCCGACCUGCCCCGCCUCCCUCUUCUCCCCUCCCUCUCACCGACAGGCGGGCCCCACCUGUUAGGCUUUCCUCUUCCACCUCGAGCCAGGCACGGACUCAAGCCAGAGUCCGGCCGGCGCAAGCCUCCCUACGCAGCCCUGGACCCGCACACCGAGGCGCCCCUCGACCGUACUAUAAAUAGCGCCGCCCCGUGCCCUUGCCUCCCAUCGAGUUGCAGCCGCCGCCGUUCGCCCUGCAAACCCUAGCCCUAGCUCACUGCCACCACUCGAGCUCGGCUGCACCAUGGACCCGCCGCUUCGCCGCCCCUCUUCGCCAUCCAGACGCUGCCGAAGCUCCGCAUCAUGGUAAGGACCACAACCAUCCUUUUUCCCCCUCUCUCGCGCCUUCUCGCCGGAGCCAUCAAGCCACGCGCCACCGCCGUGCGCCCUGCUACACUCGUCAAGGCCCCACGCCGAGCCCUCCAUCACCUACCCCAUCGCCCUAGCAUCCUCCGCGGCCUAGCCGUGCUCGUUUCCAAGGCCAGGAAUGCUAUUUCGCAUUUCUCCGGUGAGCCUCCGGCUGUUCACCGCCGCAGCCGCGCGCCACCGAUCGCCAGCGCCGCCGCCGGAUUUCCCCCCUCGCCUCUCAGUCCUCGGAUCUAGAUCCGACGGUCCAGAUCUAGACCGGAGUCAACAGAACUCAUACCGGUCAACCCUAGGUCGUUUUGCAAAAUAGCCCAUCGGUUUUCUUGAAAUCAACAUGCAGUCCGCUGCAUAUAUCUAAAUAUUUUUAAUCAUCUCCAUAUACUUUUAUUUGUAUAUUUGCUACAAAUAUAGUGUGCUAAUUUUUUGAAGCUAGAAAGUAUGUCAGAUCAUGUUUGUCAAGAAUAAUUGGCCUAGAAGUCUAGGAAAGCAUUUAGAUUACAUCCAUCAGGCUUAGAAGUAUUUCUCUCAGGAUUUAUUCCUUUUCAAUUUCAGUGGAGCGAUGAAAACGCCUAUUUUGCCUUUUGAAUUUAUUCUAGUUGCUAGUAAACAUCAUUAUUAUUUUAGUUGUAUGCAACAUGCCUCUCGACAUCAUCUGACAAUCUCAAUUUCAGUGGAGCCUAAAGGACUCACGGGAUAGAUUGUGUGUGCGUGUAUUUAAGGGUUAUGUGUGUGUGGUAGCACAAUUUGUACUGUAUUUCAUAACAAAAAAUAUAAAACCUGGCGAAUUACAAAGUGGUCAGGAACUCACGAUUGGUGGGGUCCAGAGUUAGACUCCAAGUUCACAAACCUAAAGUGUCCACUUUUCUCUUAAAAUUUUUUCAGACGUGAUGUUGUCAGAAGAUAUGAUUCGUAUAUCAAAUUUAUUUAUUUUCUUCAUAUGUUCUACAUAUUUGACAUUCAAAUGAUAUUACAUAAACAAUUCAAAUAUAACAUUUCAACCAUACAUAAAAUAUUGAACAUGACUGGUAACUGUGGAAUUAUUUUCUGUUUUAUGGCAAAAGAUAUUCUAUAAUGUUGAGUGCACAUGAAUGGUGUUUCAAAAGUCAGAUAUAAAAUAUUUACUUGUUUCUACAAUUUUUUGUAUUUUUUGUUGAUAUCGCAUAUGGAUGAAACUUUUCUGAUAAAUAUAAUGAAAGAAAAAACGGAGACAGGGAAACUCAUCUAGCACCAUGGAACAAUAACCAAAUGACACAGAUAGGGUUUAAUCAUACUAGCUCAAACAAACGGAGACAGGGAAACUCAUCUAGCACCAUGGAACAAUAACCAAAUGACACAGAUAGGGUUUAAUCAUACUAGCUCAAACAAACUCAAUAGUCAUCAACUUGCAGGAUGCAUAGAAACUCUCAUCUAGUGAAUUACACAAUCUUCGUCUUGCCCAAACAUCACUAUAUUAUUCAAAUCACACAUUAACUAGCAUGUCAUCCUCCUCCGUAAUAUCCUAAAUUUCAUCUUCAGAACAGUUUAAAAGAUGUUUAGUUUUGUUUGGUUCUUGUUCAAUUUAAUAUAGGGUAAGGAAUAAUUUAUUUCUAAAGCUAAUUAUGAAUCAUUGGUUAUAUAUUUGUUUAAUUCACUCAUGCUAUCACAUUUAUUUUUGUUUGCGCUCCUAGAAUUUUUCUCGAAUCUGUUCAGAGUUUAUUCUAAUUUCCAAGAAUUUAUUCAUUUUCUGAGUUCAAUCUCCUUUCCUCCUUUUUCUUUUGCAUUCCGCUUCUUUUCCUUUUCUGGGCCAACUCGUUUCUUUUUAGGGCCGAGCCGGCCUUUUUCCCUUUUUUCACUCUAGUACUAGCUCUCUUUUACUCUUGUUGGGCCAUGACGUAGGCCACAACCCGUUAACGAUGGCCUAGUCUAUGCCUUCUCUCUCUCUCUCUCUCUCUCCCACUCGAUGACAUGCUAGCCCCAGUCGCCAUCCGAACAUACUCAGGUCCAAGUUGGACCUGAUUGAGCCCAGGUCCCACUAGGCGCGCAAGCGUAGGACCCCAUGCGCUGGUUGUUAAGAUGUCCAGUCACAACCUCUAACGACCCCACGACCCGCAAGCCACUUUUACCCCGCACCACACAUUUUCCUCAAGCCCUAGCACCACCACCGCCAAAGCUCAUCGCCACCACCGCCAAUCUCGACCUUCGGUGUCUCUCCGUUUGUUCCAAGACUUCGCCAAGCUUCGGGGUUAGCCCCGGAUCAUUUUCCCCACUCUCUAUGCCCUGUUACAGCCGCAAUACUUGCACUGCCGUAGGCCGUCGUUCCUCGCCGCAAGGAAGGCCUCGAUAACGUGGCAGAACCGUAUGAAUUAUUCCGGCUUAAAUGCGCUAGCCAUCGCUAUACAGCCGAUACUAACCCAACGCACUUCAAACGGAACAAUCUAUUGGUCUGUCGCGUCUCCGCCCGAUGCAACCACGGUUCAACAGGAUCGAAACAGGUUUACCUUGCACGAAGGCGAGUUUACAGUCACACAUCAGCUCACCAACUGUUAAAUUACAUAAUAUUAAACAUUAUUACAAACCGUUUCAAAUUUAAGGUCAACUUAUACAAACAUUGUUUAAAACGACAAGCUAAACGGUUUGUCCAGGUUCACAGCGGAAGAAACAUAAACACGCGACUAUGCACGUCGCGAAGGUUGACACUGCGCUUAGCCCAAAGCUUGGUGUCACUCAGGAGGGUCACUGCCAGCCGGGAACGGAUCCCACUCCACGGACUAGCCAAACGGAACAGAGGUUGGCCAUGCCGUACUAUCCGUGGGGUUCUUGAAGGUCAUACCUGAAAAUUUCACUAGCAAGACUGAGUAUACUAUUACUCAGCAAGGCUUAACCGUUUCAUGAUAUAUUUAACCAUGUAACUAGACUCAUGAAGGCUUGAAAUGGUGCUGGGCUUAAUUUUAGCUGAAAAGCAAUAAAGAAUAUGAACUAAUUUUCAUAUUUUAGCUGUCAGGUUCUAGUUUCAUUAAUCAUUUUAGGUUAGCACCUAUACUAGACAAACAAUGUAGAGAUUAACAUCCAUCCAGAUUAUUCUAUAAUGAUUACUGUUCUUACUCUAUGUGGCAGAAGGAAUAAGCAGUCUCAAUCUCCACGAGAAACGGACGAUUCUGAAUCGAAUUUCAUAACCUUUUCAAGGCAAACCUAACUCACACGCUUGGAACAUCCAACGAUAGUUCCGAAGCAACCGUUUGCCUUUCAUUCCGACUCAUGGAACAGGGCCACCACAAGCAACUGUAGAACCGUACGCACACCAAUUGUGCAGGACAUACGUCUGUAGCGCAACUACAUGACCGUACUCCUGUCCGCUGCGCGGAACAUACUCCCGCUUGUUGGUGCGUGAGAAAAACUAAAUUACAAGUGGUGGGAGGUAUGUUCACUCCUCGGACCGAUUGGUUAUUAGGCUUACCGCUUUACCAUAUUUCGCGGCAUGUGGCUAGUACUUUCAAACGCUUAGCCACCACUACCACACACUGCGACCUUAUCAACUUUUAUCAACACAGACGGGGUAACCUUUCCGAGUCAUGAUAUUGCACAUGACCCCGUCCAUCAUCAUUAUAGUGAUUGCAGAAUAGUAAAUAUACAACUCCUAUAUCGCGCGAGUGAUAGGAAAUCACCCGACUUCUGCCGGUCCUAUUAGCACAGCAUCUACUCGAUAUGGACUCAGGCCCAAUACAUAGGUUCCUAGUAUCAAUGCCUCUAGGGUUCCACUUCACUUCCUACACUUAAUGCAAGAUAUACUAUAUAAGUAUAAAAUUGUAGUAAAUUGAAAUACUGGGUUAUGCUCCGGGGCUUGUCUUCUUGAGUGGGGUUGGGGUUGGGAGUGUCAGAGGCUUCCGAACUUUGGUUCGGGACUUCAGUUAAUAUCUCGGCGACGCUCGCAGGAUCUUCAGAAAAUCCAAGCUCGGGUUCCUGAACCAGCUCGUAGAUCCCGUCGUCGAGUGUUGCUGACUCUACAUGAUAUGCAAUGAUUUAAGUGAGAUGGUUCUUGAGUUACGGAUUUUACUUCACAAUAAAGUUGCAAUUCAAUACAUUAACAAACACAUAUUCAUAAAACAAGGGAGGGGGGUUGGAUUAAGCUAUCAUUUACACUUAAGUUAGGGUUAUAUUAAUGGGAUUACUCUAAAGCAAUUUGACAAGUUUGAUUUUUAUUUUAAAAAGCAUAAAGGUUCUGACUUUGACUGUUUGUGGAUAAGCCUAUUUUUAACAAACAAGCUUAUUGUGAAUUUUUUAUAGUUUUCUAAAAAAAGAAACUAAAAUAUUUGAAUUUGAAUUCAAACUUCAAGUUUAAAUUCAAAUCCUAAGUAAACAGAAUUAUAAAUUCUUGAAAAUUUAAUUAUGAACUAAUUAUCAACAAAUUAGGUUAUGGUAAAAAAAUCUAAACAGAAAAAGCCUUAGGAAGAUGUUUAAAUAAAUUUAAACCACUCCCAAAUUGAUUUGUAAAAGAUUAAAGGAACUUAAACUACAAAGCAGUGCUAAGCAUGAAAUUUUUACACUAGUUUACUCAUGACCUAAACAGGCUACAAACCAAAAAUCACAAGAAGAUAUGCUUAUAUGCAAAAGUUAUGCCCAAGAUACUCCUUUUACUAAACUCUAAAAUAACUUUAAAAGCAUUUGGUUUCAAACCUUACUCUAUUAACAAAAAUUGUAGAUUUAUAUUUCUAAAUUCCAACAAAACUGGUUUGAUAAUUUUUGGAUUUUUCUACACAUUCCUAUGGAUUUCACAAGUUGACAGCUAACACUAUCUAAGAGUCUUGCAGAGAGGUCCUUAGUUUCUUGCAAAUGGGACCUUAAAAUAGAAAACUAAAUUGCAAUCGGGUACUUGAUAGCCCACGAUGGCGGCCGGCGUGUCUGUCCGAGGCGUUCUCGCCGGUGGCGAGGUCCUUGGCAGGAGGGAAUAGGUCCUACACGGCCUACAGGACCUGCCGAUCUCAAUUGUAGGUGAUGUGCACCAGGAGAAGUGGUGGAGCAUGGCCGGCGGCGAGGAAUGGCGGCGGCCGUGGCGGCGUGCACAUGUUCCCGGUGAGGGGCCGGCUAACGUGGACAGAUGAGACAUGCAUGAGCAUCGUGGGAUGUAGGGAUGUGGUUACAAUACCUAAUUUGGCUGGAGAUGGGGCGAAAGGGGGUCGUCGACGGUGGGGCAGCUCGGGUUUUCACCGGCGGCGAUGGCGGCACGGCGUUCUGCUGGCUGGGGUGUCGGAGGGCAGUGAAGAAGCUGCUAGGAAGCUUCUACGGGUUGACGUGGUGCUGCUGGUGCCCUUGGCUGGGGUGAGGAGGCUGUGUAUCGGCGGGUCGACGGCGAGGCCAAGCGGCGGCGGAGCGCUGAGCUCGCCGGCGCUGUGGAAGAUGCUGCUCGGGUGUAGGAAAGCGAAAUUGAGUGGGUCAUUGAGCUGCAGUGGGUUGCGGUGGUGCUUCUCGAGCACUGGAUCACGGGUGAGAGGCGGUGUGGGCGGCUGACGACGGUGAGCACAGGCUGCGGCGGCACUCCGGCGAGGAGCUGCGCUUGGGAAAAGAGAUGGCCGGCGAAAUAGAGUGUGCGUGUGGGUAAACAAGAUCGGGAAGAAGCCUCUGUGCAUGUGUUAAAGCCGAGAGGGGUGCUGCACGAGCGAACAGGAGGUGGCGAUGCCGGCGGCGCGCGUGGCGGCUCGGGCGGCGGCGGGGCGACGUGGAGCGGCCGGGAAAUGCCAGCGCGAGGCCGGGCGGGCAAGGCGUAAGAGGGCACGUGGCACAGCCCAGAGCGGCGCGGGGGCGGCGGGUGUGGAGCACAUGGCCGGCGAGGGCGGUGGCAGUCGGGCGCAGAGAAAACAGAGGAGCCGGGGCUGGAGGAGGAAGAUGAGGACUGGUCUGUGAUUUUCCAAAAGUGCAGGGACCUCACUGUAAUGUCUUGGUAACUUUCAAACCAUGGCUCAAAUGAAAAUGGGCCCAAAAGCAAAAGUGUAGGGUUUAACAAAGUCUACAACUUUUCUUUAGGGUUCAGAGGCAAAAGAGCUAAGGAUCAGCAAUUCACAUAAAACUUGGCAAAGUUUUAAACUUUAAAUAAAUCCUAUUUAAAAACUAUACUACACUUACAUCCUAUGUGUAGUUUCAUCUAUAUUCAUGAUUUAAAAGUAAGCUCUUGACUUUUACAAUUCAACCUUCAUGUAUUUGGAUUUCACUUCCCAUUUUCACCCAUUUAACACUAAAGGACCUAUAUUUUUUAGAAUUACACAAAUGUUCUUUUCCCUUCUACAUUAACAUUUGAACACACAUACACAAGAUCAAAACAUGCACAUUUUAUACUAAAAUUUAGUGUGUUAUAAUCCUAAUACCUGAAUGUCACAGCCUUCCCCCCUAAAGAGAAUCUCGUCCCGAGAUUCCGGAACAAAAUAGAAUCGGGCGAUUAGAUUUGGGAGUUGGCUCGAAGGAAGUCUGGGAAAUUAUACUGAAGAUAGAAUUCGGUUUCCCAUGUUGCUUCUUCUUCCGUGUGAUGGUUCCACUGAAUCUUGUACAUUUUGAUGGUUUCCCUCCUAGUGCUUCUUUUUUUGACGUCCAGGACUUUGAUUGGAUGUUCGACGUAGGAUAGAUCGGAUUGGAUGUCAAUGGUUUGAGAUUCUAUGAUCUCUGUAGGAGUUUUGAUGCACUUCUUAAGCUGAGAUACAUGGAAGACAUCAUGAAUGACCGCUAGUUGAGGAGGAAGUUGGAGACGAUAAGCUACGGGUCUGCAGAUUUCGGUAAUUUCAAAGGGUCCGACAUAACGAGGAGCAAGUUUCCCUUUUACGCCGAACCUUUGAGCACCUCGGGUAGGAGAUACUCGAAGAUAGACGAGGUCUCCGAUUUGGAAUUGUAUCGGUCUUCUUCGAAUGUCAGCGUAGCUCUUCUGUCGAGAUUUGGCUACCUUUAGGUUAGUCUGUAUAGUCUUCACCUUAUCCUCUGCUUCAAUAACCAGGUCGGGCCCAAAAAUCUUACGUUCGCCGGUUUGUGACCAACUCAAAGGAGUUCAGCAUCGGCGACCGUAUAAUGCCUCGAACGGAGCCAUCUUAAUGCUUGUCUGAUAACUAUUAUUGUAGGAGAAUUCUACCAGCGGCAAGCAUUUGUCCCAGUUCUUGUCAUACUAAAGUACGUAGGCUCUAAGCAUGUCCUCCAAGAUCUGAUUUAUCCUUUCUGUUUGUCCGUCCGUCUAAGGAUGAUAUGCGGAGCUUCGGAGUAGUUUAGUUCCAAGAGCAUUUUGGAGUUGCUCCUAGAAUUGCGCAAUGAAUUGUGCCCCGCGAUCAGAAAUGAUCAUUUUUGGCACUCCAUGGAGACGAACGAUUUGAUCUAGAUAGAUCUCAGCAUACUUUUUGGCAUUGUAGGUAGUAUGCACUGGAAUGAAAUGUGCGGUCUUAGUUAAUCGAUCAACUAUUAUCCAAAUGGAAUCAUGUCUUUGGGAAGUGUUGGGUAAGCCAAUGAUAAAGUCCAUAUUGAUAUCUUCCCACUUCCAAGAAGGAAUGGGUAGAGGUUGAAGAAUACCAGCAGUUUUGAGAUGACUGGCUUUAACUCUUUGAUAGAUGUAACACUCCGAGAUAUACAUUGCAAUUUCUCGCUUCAUGCGAGUCCACCAAAAGUUCUGUUUCAAAUCCUGGUACAUCUUGGUACUGCCAGGGUGCAUAGAGAAUUUGGACAGAUGAGCUUCGUCCAAUAUCUGCUUACGAAGUUUAUGGUCCUUGGGCACAAUGAUACGCUCGUUGAACCAUAAAACCCCUUUAUGAUCUAUCGAAAGCAUUUGUACUUUCUUUCUCCUUGGGUCAACUUCUACUUGAUGAUUCUGACCCCGUUGUUCCACUGCUGUACUAGAACAAUGCUAUCCCAAAGUGUAGCUUCGAUUGAGAGAUGAUUCAGGCUGCCUUGAGGAAUGAUCUCAAGAUUGAGUUUCCUCAUCUCCCAACAAAGCGUCUCAUUGAAAGCCUCUACUGACAAGCAAGAGCAAUGCGCCUUGCGGCUAAGUGCAUCUGCAACGACGUUGGUCUUGCCUGGGUGAUAGUGUACUUCCAGAUCAUAGUCUUUGAUAAGCUCUAGCCAGUGUCUUUGCCUCAUAUUUAAAUCUUCUUGUGUUAAGAUGUACUUGAGGCUUUUGUGGUCAGUAUAGAUAUGGCACUUUGUACCCAUCAGAUGAUGUCUCCAGAUCUUAAGUGCAUGGAUGACAGCUGCAAGUUCCAGAUCAUGGGUAGGGUAGUUCUGUUCAUGAGUCCGGAGUGCUCGCGAUGCAUAAGCAAUCACUCGGUUGUCCUGCAUAAGCACACAACCAAGUCCGAUUCCCGAAGCAUCACAAUAGAUGUCGAAAGGUUUUGAGACAUCAGGUUGGGCUAAAACUGGGGUAGUGGUAAGAUGUGCUCUGAGGGUAUGAAAUGCAUCUUCGCAUUUUUGAUCCCAGGAGAAUUUAAUGCCUUUCUUUAAUCGUUCAGUCAUGGGCUUGGCUAUUUUUGAGAAGUCAGGAAUGAAACGAUGAUAAUAGCCAGCGAGACCAAGAAAACUACAGAUUUGAUGGACUGAUGUUGGAGGUUCCCAAUCCAUCACUUCUUGCACUUUACUGGGAUCAAUGGAUAUACCGUCACUGGAGAUAGUAUGUCCCAGAAAUUUAACAGUAUCUAGCCAAAAUUCGCACUUGGAGAAUUUAGCAUACAAGUGGUGGUCUCUUAAUCUUUAAAGAACAAUGCGGAGAUGUGUUGCAUGAUCUUCUAGAUUCUUGGAAUAGAUUAGAAUGUCAUCAAUGAAGACCACAACAAAUUUGUCGAGUUCUUGCAUGAAGACAGAGUUCAUGAGAUACAUGAAAUAGGCUGGGGCAUUGGUAAGACCAAAUGACAUGACUAGAUAUUCGUAUAGUCCAUAUCUAGUAGAAAACACUGUUUUUGGAAUGUCACUUGGCCUAAUUUUGAUUUGAUGAUAGCCGGAACGAAGACCAAUUUUGGAGAAUACUUUGGCUCCGGCUAACUGAUCGAAGAGAAUGUCAAUGCGGGGUAGAGGAUACUUGUUUUUGAUGGUUACCGCAUUGAAGGGACGAUAGUCUACACAUAAUCUAAGCUAUUAUCUUUCUUUUUCACGAAUAGGGCUGGACAACCCCAUGGUGCAGCACUUGGACGAAUGUAACCCUUAUCAAGGAGGUCCUGGAGUUGGAUUUUUAACUCGACCAGUUCAUUGGGUGGCAUACGAUAGGGCCUCUUAGAUAUGGGGGCUGUGCCGGGUUGGAGUUCUAUGAUAAACUCAAUUUCUCGGUCCGGGGGCAUUCCAGGCAAAUCAUCUGGAAAGACGUCUGGGUAUUCACAUACGAUAGGGAUAUCCUUUAACUUGAUCCCUGUUGCAGCAUAGGUGCAAGAAUUGAGGCACUCCCGUUGUGGAAGAUAAAGAAUGGUAGGUUCAUGCUCUGAUGAAUCUAUCUCCACAGUUCAGGAAGAGAUAUCUAAUGACACUUGGUGCUAGGUCAUCCAAUUCAUACCUAAAAGAACAUCCAUUUGUUCUAGGUCUAGUAAUAGUAAAUCUAUUUUUAUCAAAUGGCCUCCCAGCUGGAUUGGCACCUCCCUACAGAUUUGAUUAGAUGAGAUUUUUCCGCCAGGAGUUGUUAUCUUAUAGGCUCCAUUAGUAGGAUAGAUAUCCAAGCCCAUCUUAGUCCCACAUGUUGCACUGAUAAAACUAUGGGUGGCACCAGAAUAAAAAAGAACAAUCACGGGUUGAUGGUUAAUAGAGAAAGUACCCGUCAUUAUUGGCGCACCCUCGGGAGUUCGGAGAGAGUGGUGAGGUUCACCCUUCCCUAGCGGACUUGGACCACUUGCUUCUUGCCCUUGCCCUUGCUGUUCAGGUUGGAAGUUUGCCCUUGGAAGGAUCUUCUAGGUUGAGGGCAAUCCUUGAUAAAGUGGGACGGACUACCACAAUUGAAACAACGAUAAUUGUUGUUUCCUUGGUUGGAUGGCGGAAAGCUUGGCCGCGGGCCUUGUUGUUGUUGCUGCUGAGGUUGUGGUGUCGGUGGUUGAUUGAAUCGAGCCUGCUGGGGUGGUCUGGCUACCCAUCUGCCUGGUUGAUUGUUACGGGGUGGUGCUCGGGUAGCAGUAUUCUCGACCAACCGGUACCUUGGCGGUUGCGCCGUUGAGGGUCCAGUGGGUGUCUUCCGUUUCUUUUCUGCCCGGUGGGCUAAGAUGCAAUCCUCCUGGGUAAUGGCCAUAUUGACCAAUUCAUUGAAGUUGUCGGCCCUUACCAAAUUCAGUCGUUCCUUAAGUUUGGUGUUCAGGCCUCGACGAAAACGAUCCCAUUUGCGGGCAUCAGUGUCUGCAUGAUAACCCGCAUACUGGCACAAGUGAUUGAAGACUUGUGCAUAUUGCAUGACGGUGCGGGUUCCCUGUGUCAGAUUCAAAAAUUCAUUGAGCUUUCGCUCAAUGAGUCCUUCGGGAAUGUGAUGUGCUCGAAAAGCGGUCCAAAAUUCAUCCCAUAUGACGACAUGACCAGUCGGCUGCAUAGCAUGGUAAUGUGUAAGCAUCUAGGCCCUCAAGGUAUGUUUCGGUGAUUAAUGACAACCAUUAUUGUGACUAAUGAGUUUGUGCAGCUUUAUAGAUCAUUAUCGCUCAUUUGGUUAUAUGUCAAAAGAGGCCCCUAACUUUCAUUAUUCAAAAAGGCGAUCUCGGUAUUCAACUCAAUAAUAUGUCAAGACUAAGGAUCUUUCUAGUCCUAAGUGUCAUAAGGUUGAGAAGGACACUUAGGUUAGUAUAGGUUUUAUAGUUUUGUAGUGAUCGCACUAUUAAGAGGGGUUUAGGCUUAGUAACUUGAGCAUGGACAUGGUCAUUUGAAAAUGAAUGCACACAAUGGUCACUCAGGUUUCUAGAAGCUCAAAUAAGUGGUUCUCAACUUAUAUCUCAAGAAUAUUUGGAUUUCAUUCAAGACUCAAGUCAGAAAAGGCAAAAUCAGAAAAAUCCUUAACACCGGUUUAACCGAUGCCUCAAGUUUUCUAUACGUCGGUUAAACGAGGUCAGCAGGUCUGGACAAGUCAAUACACCGGUUAAACCGACGAUAUUUGAAAUUGGACGUCGGUGCAGUUGUCCAGAGACUUGGUUUUCAGUUGAUCAGUGGACAACUACACUCACCGGUUAAACCGACGAUAUUUGAAAUUGGACGUCGGUGCAGUUGUCCAGAGACUUGGUAUUUCAGUUGAUCAAUGGAUGACUACACUCACCGGUUAAACCGAUGGUACGACGGUUAAUCUGCCCAAGCUGUAACGGCUAGUUUUCAGAAGGGCUAGUUUACGUUCACCGGUUAAACCGACGAUGGCUAUUGGAGGGACGUCGGAUUAACCGGCGCUACGCAGUUUUCUGGCAGCUUUUUCUCCAACGGCUCUAUUCGUGUGAGCUGCCUAUAUAUACCCCUCCAAUGGGUCAGUCUACUACUCUUGACACCAGGCAACACCCAAACACUCAUACUAUAGUCAAGAGCCACCUUGAGCUUCAUCAUUUCAUACACUUGUUCAUUCAAUCAUUUAAGAAGCAAGAUUAAGGACUUGAGUAGAGAGAAGCUUGUGUGCAUCCAUUCUUGGUGAUUGGUUCUUGCUCAAGUGAAGGCCUUAGCUUGUUACUCUUGGUGAUUGGCAUCACCUAGGCGAUCUUGGUGAUCGAGGUGAUUCUCGCGGAGCUUGCCAAGGAUUGUGGAAGCCCGGAGAAGAAGAUUGUACAUGGCUUGAUCUCCACCACACCGGGAUGGUGAACGGAGACUCUUAGUGAGCGCCCUCGUCUUGGUGACUUGGGAGGUGACAAUACUCUUUGUGAGUGUCACAACGUGGAUUAGGGGUGUGUGCCAACACAUCGAUACCACGGAAAAAAAUUCGGUUGUCCCUUGUCCACUUUACUUAUUCAAGCAUUAUCUUUCAUGCAAUUCAUUCAUGUGCUUGAUUUAGGGAUCACUAGUUAGCUCUACCUUGCUAGGCUUUGUCUCUUUUUAUCCUUCCUAGCUUACGUAAGUAGUUUAGUUACCCGGUUGGUGAAUUGGUGCCUUUCUAGUUUUGCAUAGGUUAAGGUUGCUUUAUCUUAUUUUAGAAAUUAAAAAAAGGCCCAAUUCACCCCCCUCUUGGUCCAUCGAUCCUUUCAUAAUGAUCCCACCAUAAGCGGGCAGUGCCACGGAGUUGUUGGGCUGCAAAGAGCGCCUUGUUCUCAUCUGAACAAGGGGCAGACAAUAGUGCAAACUUGGACUCGAUGGUGCAGAGCCAAGCGUCAGCGUUGAGGGGCUCGUCUGCCUUAUGGAACAAUGGAGGCUGGGUGCUGAGGAAAUCUUGAUAACUGGCCGAUGGGGGUUCAUCACGACCUCGAGGCUGGUGAUGAAAUUGGCCCAUCUGGGCCUGCACUAGCUGGUUGAGGAGUUCUGUUUGUCGGGCCAUAACCUCGGCUAGAUUUGGCGGGGCUGGUGGUGGUUGCUGGGAACCGCUGGCUUGAUCGGGCCAGAAACCUUCCGGGGUUCCACGAGUAGCUCCAACCAUCUGAAACAAAGGAGAUGUCCAUGAUUAUCAACAUUUCCUUACUCCAAUUUUUCAGACGAUACAAUGUUACUGAGCAGGUAUGUAAAUCACAUGUUCUGUUUAACCAACUCAUUCCAGGUGCGAAAAUAUCGAGACAAGAUAACAGAACACGAGGCUUAGAUUACAAAACAAACUUAAUACAUUAGGAUGGUUCGAUUGCUAUAGGUCAGACCACAUACCACAUAUGGUACAACAAGUGGCUCUAAGUCUAGGUAAUCUACUCACAACCUAUAUCACACCACUUUUUACAACUAAGAUAUCGACGAUUUGGAUAAACUAAAAAUCAUCGAGGUUGCCCACGGAGGACUGGCUGCUGGAGAAGGAAUGAUCUGGUUGAGGAUUGGGUUCUGGAUCUCCAUGCUCAGAGUCGAGAUCGAAAACUCCUUCGAUUUCCUCCGGGUCUUCUUCUCCACCUUCAGGGGCCACAGGUACAUCAAGAGGUACUAGCUGCUCCUGGAGUUCGUCGAUGUGAGCAUGGGCAUCAUCGACCUCAAGGAUAAGGUCAUGGAUUUGCUCCUGGAGGAACUCAAUGAUCGUGUUGCGCUGAGUGAUGAUUGCAUCACUCUCAUUAAUCUGAUCCUCCCAGUGAAGAAUAGCCUCUUCCUGUGCUGUGAUAAUCUCCUCCUUCUCCGUGACCAAGGCUUGAAGCUCCACUAUCUGGGUGACCUGUGGAUCGGCAUUUCAAUAGUGACCUUGGGCUAUGCCAAUCAACUGACCCACACCACGGCGUAGCAGAAUCUGAUAGUGGUGCUGAACAUUCAUGAACCUGAUAAGACCACGGAGCGUUUCUUCGACUGAAUCUCCCAACAAAUGGCCAUAAUGGCCUAUCCUAAAAUUCCACUUAGGAUCACCAGAAUCUAUUGCAGGGAAUAGGCCGAUAGAAUACCCUGCAACUUCCAUGGGAUGCUGGUUGCAGAAGAGAUGGAUGGCUUCCAGAGCUGCAGUCUCGAUGGUGUCAACUAGACGGUAGCCCACCACAUCAACCUCGAUGGGCUGCCACUGGGAGCGGAAAGGAUGUUGAGGAAUCGUCAUUUUGACUCGGCAGCGAGGAACACCCUCUUCCUGAUACUCCACUUCGUCGUAUUGUGGAGGCUCGGUAUAGAAGAACAAACUUAGUGAUUCCCAUAGAAGACGGGAAAAACCCUCCCAAUGCAAAGCAUUAGUGUGGAGAUGCCCUGCGUGAUCCCAGAAGACAUUUGAAGGGGCUGCCAUCUGCAACAAGAAUGCAAAUGGUGAGAUAUAUUUACCCUGCUGAGAACUCACAAGUUAAAUGGAACGAGAUAAUCGAUUCUGAUAACAGCAAGGACUGGAAAUCAGAUGGAUGCUUAAGGUACUCAGCUAAAACUAUCACAAAAAUCCUAUUGACCCACACUAGGGAUAAACAACACUCUAUUCACUUUUAAAAAGUACAACAUAUACAAUGCAUUUACUUACUUGAGGAAGGGUUAUGCAUGCACGUUCUAUUCAACCUCACAACCAAAACAACUGUCGAAUAUCUUCGGACUUACGCGGUUAAUUUUGGUGGCAUAACACAUACGUCUCUCUCUAGUAAAUAGUCCAUAAGUCCUAUCCGUCCUAAUCUCUUAAUCGCGGUUAGUGUACCUGCAAAAGACCACAUAUAUUUUUAACAUGAACCUUUUAUGGCAGCACGACAUGAAAGCGUCCCCAAGCAGUACUGUUCACUAUAGAAAUAGCAUCCGUACCAUUACCGCCGUACGGACAAUGUUAACAUACGUGGUUAAAACAACGUAUUCACGGGGAUACCGCAAAAUGCGGGGUAUGAACAGCGAUCGCCAUACCCUGCGCCGAACCAUAUACUCCCAAUAUAAUCAACCAAAGUUGGUAUAUUGGCAGCAUCUCAAGUAGGCCACUGCUUGAGAAUCAGCGUUCGGUCCGCAUCAUCGACGGGAAGGCCAAGCUCCCUCAGUUGGCUGAGGAUCCUUACCUUCUUACCUUACCAUCGAAGGUGUCGUUACUGAAAGUAAGGUUGAGUUAUGAAUGAAUUUAAGUUUUGACAGAAAGUAGUGCUGCGAGUUAGGGUUAUACCCUAUACAUAUAUAUAUCAAUAGCCACCUGACUAUUCCCAUAUAAGUCCCUAGGGCUUUACGUUCUAAGCACCAACCUUAACGAAUCCAGCGUACUUUGUAAAUUCAUUUGUUAAGCAAGUUUUUAUCUUGAAAAUAUUUUUAAGAGCUGCCGCAGUUGUGAGAGUAAACCUACAGCUCUGAUACCAGCUGUGGCAGAACCGCCUGAAUUAUUCCAGUUCAAGUGCGCUAGCCAUCGCUAUACAGCCGAUACUAACCCAACGCACUUCAAAUGGAACAAUCCAUUGGUCUGUCGGGUCUCCGCCCGAUGCAACCACGGUUCAACAGGGUCGAAGCAGGUUUACCUCGCACGAAGGCGAGUUUACAGUCACAUAUCAGCUCACCAACUGUUAAAUUAUAGAAUAUUAAACAUUAUUACAAACCGUUUUAAAUUUAAGGUCAACUUAUACAAACAUUAUUUAAAAUGACAAGCUAAACAGCUUGUCCAGGUUCACAGCGGAAGAAACAUAAACACGCGACUAUGCACGUCGCGAAGGUUGACACUGCGCUUAGCCCAAAGCUUGGUGUCACUUAGGAGGGUCACUGCCAGCCGGGAACGGAUCCCACUCCACGGACCAGCCAAACGGAACAGAGGUUGGCCAUGCCGUACUAUCCAUGGGGUUCUCGAAGGUCAUACCUGAAAAUUUCACUAGCAAGACUGAGUGUACUAAUACUCAGCAAGGCUUAACCGUUUCAUGGUAUACUUAACCAUGUAACUAGACUUAUGAAGGCUUGAAAUGGUGCUGGGCUUAAUUUCAGCUGAAAAGCAACAAAGAAUAUGAACUAAUUUUCAUAUUUUAGCUGUCAGGUUCUAGUUUCAUUAAUCAUUCUAGGUUAGCACCUAUACUAGACAAAUAAUAUAGAGAUUAACAUCCAUCCAUAUUAUUCCAUAAUGAUUACUGUUCUUACUCUAUAUGGCAGAAGGAAUAAGCAGUCUCAAUCUUCGUGAGAAACGGACGAUUCUGAAUCGAAUUUCAUAACCUUGCAAGGCAAACCUAACUCACACGCUUGGAACAUCCAAUGAUAGUUCUGAAGCAACCGUUUGCCUUUCAUUUCGACUCAUGGAACAGGGCCACCACAAGCGACUGUAGGACCGUACGCACACCAAUUGUACAGAACAUACGUCUGUAGCGCGACUACAUGACCGUACUCCUGUCCGCUGCGCGGAACGUACUCCCGCACGUCGGUGCGUGAGAAAAACUAAAUUACAAGUGGUGGGAGCAAUGUCCACUCCUCAGGCCGAUUGGUUACUAGGCUUACCGCUUUACCAUAUUUCGCGGCAUGUUGUUAGUACUUUCAAACGCUUAGCCACCACUACCACACACUGCGACCUUAUCAACUUUUAUCAACACAGACGGGGUAACCUUUCCGAGUCAUGAUAUUGCACACGAUCCCGUCCAUCAUCCUUUUAGUGAUUGCAGAAUAGUAAACAUUCAACUCCUAUAUCGCGCGAGUGAUAGGAAAUCACCCGACUUCUGCCGGUCCUAUUAGCACAGCAUCUACUCGAUAUGGACUCAGGCCCAAUACAUAGGUUCCUAGUAUCAAUGUAUCUAGGGUUCCACUUCACUUCCUACACUUAAUGCAAGAUAUACUAUAUAAGUAUAAAAUUGUAGCAAAUUGAAAUACUGGGUUAUGCUCCGGGGCUUGCCUUCUUGAGUGGGGUUGGGGUUGGGAGUGUCAGAGGCUUCCGAACUUUGGUUCGGGGCUUUAGUUAAUAUCUCGACGACGCUCGCAGGAUCUUCAGAAAAUCCAAGCUCGGGUUCCUGAACCAGCUCGUUGAUCCCGUCGUCGAGUGUUGCUGACUCUACAUGAUAUGCAAUGAUUUAAGUGAGAUGGUUCUUGAGUUACGGAUUUUACUUCACAAUAAAGUUGCAAUUCAAUACAUUAACAAACACAUAUUCAUGAAACGGGGGGGGGGGGGGGGUUGGAUCCCAAGCUAUCAUUUACACUUAAGUUAGGGUUAUAUUAAUGGGAUUACUCUAAAGCAAUUUGACAAGUUUGGUUUUUAUUUUAAAAAGCAUAAAGGUUCUGACUUUGACUAUUUGUGGAUAAGCCUAUUUUUAACAAACAAGCUUAUUGUAAAUUUUUCAUAGUUUUCUGAAAACAGAAAUUAAAACAUUUGAAUUUGAAUUCAAACUUCAAGUUUAAAUUCAAAUCCUGAGUAAAUAGAAUUAUAAAUUCUUGAAAAUUUAAUUAUGAACUAAUUAUCAAUAAAUUAGGUUAUGGUAAAAAAAAUCUAAACAGAAAAAGCCUUAGGAAGAUGUUUAAAUAAAUUUAAACCACUCCCAAAUUGAUUUGUAAAGAUUAAAGGAACUUAAACUACAAAGCAGUGCUAAGCAUGAAAUUUUUACACUAGUUUACUCAUGACCUAAAUAGGCUAGAAACCAAAAAUCACAAGAACAUAUGCUUAUAUGCAAAAGUUAUGCCCAAGAUACUCCUUUUACUAAACUCUGAAAUAACUUUAAAAGCAUUUGGUUUCAAACCUUACUCUAUUAACAAAAAUUGUAGAUUUAUAUUUCUAGAUUCCAACAAAACUGGUUUGGUAAUUUUUGGAUUUUUCUACACAUUCCUAUGGAUUUUACAAGUUGACAGCUAGCACUAUCUAAGAGUCUUGCAGAGAGGUCCUUGGUUUCUUGCACAUGGGACCUUAAAACAGAAAACUAAAUUGCAAUCGGGUCCUUGACAGCCCACGACGGCGUCCGGCGUGUCUGUCCGAGGCGUUCUCGCCGGAGGCGAGGUCCUUGGCAGGGAGGAAUAGGUCCUACACGGCCUACAGGACCUGCCGAUCUCAAUGGUAGGUGAUGUGCACUAGGAGAAGUGGUGGAGCAUGGCCCGCGGCCAGGAAUGGCGGCGGCCGUGGCGGCAUGCACAUGUUCUCGACGAGGGGCCGGCGAACAUGGACAGAUGAGACGUGCAUGAGCACCGUGGGGAUGUGGGGAUGCGGUUACAGUACCUAAUUUGGCCGGAGAUGGGGCAAAAGGGGUCGUCGACGGUGGGGCGGCUCGGGUUUCCACCGGCGGCGAUGGCGGCACGGCGUUCUGCUGGCUGGGGUGUCGGAGGGUAGUGAAGAAGCUGCUAGGAAGCUUCUACGGGUUGACGUGGUGCUGCUGGUGCCCUUGGCUGGGUUGAGGAGGCUUUGUAUCAGCGUGUCGACGGCGAGGCCGAGCGGCGGCGGAGCGCUGAGCUCGCCGGCGCUGUGGAAGAUGCUGCUCGGGUGUAGGAAAGCAAAAUUGAGUGGGUCAGUGAGCUGCAGUGGGUCGCGGUGGUGCUUCUCGAGCACUGGAUCGUGGGUGAGAGGCGGUGUGGGCGGCUGACGACGGUGAGCACAGGCUGCUGCGGCACUCCGGCGAGGAGCUGCGCUCGGGAAAAGAGAUGGCCGGCGAAAUAGAGUGUGCGUGUGGGUAAACGAGAUCGGGAAGAAGCCUCUGUGCAUGUUUUAAAGCCAAGAGGGGUGCUGCAUGAGCGAACAGGAGCUGGCGACGCCGGCGGCGCGCGUGGUGGCUCGGGCGGCGGCGGGGCGACGUGGAGCGGCCGGGAAAAGCCAGCGCGAGGCCGGGGAAGCGGCGGGCAAGGCGUAAGAGGGCACGUGGCACAGCCCAGAGCGGCGUGGGGGCGGCGGGUGCGCAGCACAUGGCCGGCGAGGGCGGCGGCAGUCGGGCGCAGAGAAAACAGAGGAGCCGGGGCUGGUGGAGGAAGACGAGGACUGGUCUGUGAUUUUCCAAAAGUACAGGGACCUCACUGUAAUGUCUUGGUAACUUUCAAACCAUGGCUCAAAUGAAAAUGGGUCCAAAAGCAAAAGUGUAGGGUUUAACAAACGCUACAGCUUUGCUUUAGGGUUCAAAGGAAAAAAAGCUAAGGAUCAGCAAUUCACAUAAAACUUGGCAGAGUUUUAAACUUUAAAUAAAUUCUAUUUAAAAACUACACUACACUUACAUCCUAUGUGUAGUUUCAUCUAUAUUCACGAUUUAAAAGCAAGUUCUUGACUUUUACAAUUCAACCUCCUUGUAUUUGGAUUUCACUUCCCAUUUUCACCCAUUUAACACUAAAGGACCUAUAUUUUUCAGAAUUACACAAAUGUUCUUUUCCCUUCUGCAUAACAUUUGAACACACAUACACAAGAUCAAAACAUGCAUAUUUUAUACUAAAAUUUAGUGUGUUAUAAUCCUAAUACCUGAAUGUCACGGACAACAUCCAAAAAACCCUAGAACAAGUUUGCCAUUGUGUCACCUUGCCUUCUUGCCUGGUUGCAUGACUUCGGGUGAACCAAAGCCCUCACCGGGGUAACUCCAUUGAUGCACAAUCAUGGAACGAUAGCGCUGCCAUCGAAUCUUUGCAUGCCUCCUUGCCAUCUGAUCUGGAAACAACAGCUCGGAUUAGAUUUGUCCUGGGUCAAACACCAGUCAGCCUUGGCCAUUUUGUGAAGAGCUCUCAUCAUUCCCGUAAAUCAACACUUGCUCUCAGUAUAAUUAAUUACCUUUCAACCCUGUUUUAUUUGUUUAGGCCCUUGAGCUCCUUUAUACUAGAACCUGCCAUACAUUUUAGGCAAUAUAACGAGUUGGCUCUUGUAGUUUUAAAUAUAAUGGUAGUUAGGCCCUUAGUUUCUUUGGGUUUAGUUCUUUUUAUUAGCUUUUAUCACGUUAAAGCCUCUGUAGAUUCGUUUGAGGCAUCUCUUUAAUGUUUUAAAUCCGUUUUAAGCUCUCUUUGUUUUGUUGCUAUCAUUGUAAUGCGUAGAGUUUGUUUUUACACUUUAUUUUAACUUGUCACAUUGAUUGUUGUACUGUUCUAAUUUAUUUAUAUUUAUUUGCUUCUAUGUACCUGUGAUUGCUUGUUUGGACUCGUUCGUGACACAUAGACGAGAAGUAGUAUGUUAACUUUCUAGAGCAAGAGUUCGAAUUUUCUAAGUAACAACACGAACCUGAGAAUGCAUUUGGUCAUGCUUUUGUCCUAAUAACAUUUUAUUACAAUAUGCAAGCAUGUGUUAAAUGUGAGGGGAACCCUUAAAUUAUACCCUUCAUUUAUAUCCUCCUUUAAGCUGGGGUUUACUUUUAUGUCAUAUAGUUGGCUUAGCUGCUUUACUUUGGUUCUAGGUGGAUUAAUGGUAAUAAUAUUUGAACACUGGUUACUGCUUUAUGGUCAAUUGGCUUGUUAAUAAUAAUUAACUAGCAUGUAGUACCAUCUCGAAUAAUAGUGCAAGCAUAAGAACUAAUGGGAUCUGGUCUUAACUAUAUAAUUAGAUGUCUCUAGUUUAUUAUUAGUAAACAUCCCAACGCAAGGAAGCUUACGAUGAGGGGUUCACUUCAUGCCAAGGACGUACACAUUUGUUUGAUUUUUAUUCAUACCUUUUGGGAGAUUCACUUACUCAUAUGCCUGAUCAUGGGCUGCUCGAUCUGACAAACCCAAACCGACCCGCCUAAAAAAAUCCGAUCCGACUCAAAAAGUGCACGGACGAGGCACGGUCCUAAUUUUUCUGACCCGGGCAAAAAUUUGGAUCAGGCUCGGGCUGCUAUUUUAGCCCGUGGGCCACAGCUCGAUGACCCGACUUUAUACUGAAAACCCCUCUUUCGUGUGCAGCCCACAAAAUUCUAAUGGCCUAGCCCAACAAAGAGGUGAUAGCUGAUCCUAACCCUAAUUGCGGAUAUAGGGCCUAGGCCAAUUGCAGAUAUCCAACCUAUUAAAAAUCAGUAUCUAUCUUUUCAAUUUUUGCUCCCAUUUUGUAAAUUUUUAAUCAUGAUUGUCGUUCUUGUCUCAUCUAUAGGAUGCCCUGUCUAGUCUGCCGAGUCUACGGCAACUGGUUGGUGCGUAUGCACUGAUAGGAUCCCUCGUGGGAGAAUACCCCACAGUUCUACCAUGCCAGGGCCAGCUCAUGCCCGACCAAGGCAAGACAUCUUUGGGGCACAAAAAUAACGGGCAUUAUCAUGGCCCGUUACCAAUAAUAAUGGUAACAGGAAUUGGUAAAACUCAUAAAUUUAUCUUAUACAUUGGUAAUAUAUGGCAUUAUUGUAGCCCGUUACAUAUAUCAUUGGCAACAGAUAUAAUCCGCUUCUCCAUUUUGAAAUCAUCAAGUCCUUCAGAACCUUAUCCAUUUCGACUCGGUUCUUGCCCUAGCUAAACAAAAAGUCCAUUGCUGCUACAGCCACCCAGAUCAACCAUGUGUGGCCUAGCUCCCUGACGUUGAUCCCGCUCGAAUGUGCCAUGGUGUCUCCCUCCUCCUACGGCUCCGACCAACACCUAGUGCCUCCCCUCCUCCUACGGCUCCGAUCAAGACCUAGUGCCUCCCCUCCCCAGUCCCCGACCCUAGCCCCAAGCCCAACCAACGCCUCCCCUCCUUGAGACCAAUGCCAGCCUUGAGGCCAACCAGCGCCUCCCCUUCCGCAAGCCCGAUGCCAGCCCUAAUCCACCACUUUCUCCUCCUCGGCCCAAAGCUAUGUUGAGUUCUCUCAUCAUCGUACCCUAUUGAUGCAUAGUAGGAUGGACAUUCUAUGAAAUGAUGAUUAUGCUAUACAUGAAUAGAUGAGUAGAUGAAUGGAUGAAUAUAUUUGCUAUUGAAUGAAUGAAUAUGUAGUUUAUUACGUGAGAGAUAAAAUGUGGAAAAUAGUUUUGGAAGAUGUCUGGAUGGAUAUAUUUGCCAUCGCAUGGAUAAAAGGGUAUGUAGUUUGUUACUUAAGAUGAAUGGAUAAAAUGUUUAUUGUUUUUACUUAAAUUUGAAAGAAAAGCGUUGAAGCUCCGUGCAAAAGCUCAUCGCCCUCAUCAUUCAAGUAAUGUAAUGCCUAGCACAUAUUAGCCUCCGAAACCACGAACAUCUCUGGUCCUGCACUCAGACCCUAUGCAUGUCAUAAAUGAUAGGUAGAUGCGGAGGUCUAUAGCACAGAUGAAGAUCGAGCUCUGGAGGCUCACUGGAAGGCAAGGCAUAAGGAGACGGGCCUUGGUGCUAUUGAUCAUACGGCAGAGGAGAUUGUUAAGGAGGUGGAACACAUGGCUGCUAAUCACAAGACUAGUUUUAGCACUUAGCUAGCACUACUACAUCUACCCCUAUCACCGCUGGUUCUAAAAGUACAUCACCGCCGGCUUUGAGGGCUGUUGGAUUCAGAUCGACGGUGAUGGUUAUAGCCAUCACCGCCGGCUUAUCACCCGGUGAUAUUGCGCUUCUCAAAAAGUAAAAAAAUACAGCUGCUGCCCAGCUCCUCGCCUCCUCACGCCGCCGCCCCACAGCUCGGCCGCUGCCCUGCCGCUCGCCUCCUCUAUCCACUAACCAGCUCCUCGCCUUCUCUUGCCGCCGCCCAGCUCCUCGCCUCCUUCUACCACCGCACCCAGCAUCCUCACGCCGCCGCCCCUUGCCUCCUCAUGCCGCCGCCCCUCAAAUCGGCCGCUGCCCUGCUGCUCGCCUCCUCCGGCCGCUACCAUGCCCCGCGAGGCGCCUCCUCCGGCCGCUGCUCCACCCCGCGAUGGCCGCUGCUACGCCCCGUGAGGAGCCGCGCAUCCUCGCGCCAUGGCCCUGCGGGGGUGCCUCCUCGAGCUGCCACAGUGGGGGAGGUGAGGGGCGGUGGGGAGGGGAGGGACGCCCAAGGAGGAUGGGGGCAGAGAGGCGGUUGGGGAGAGAGAGGCGGCAAGGGAGGUGAGGAGGAUUGUGGAGAGAGAGGUGAGAGGAUAAGGAUAGGGGAUGAAUGGAUGGGAGAGAAGUACCGAGGGGGUUGGGAUGAGAAAAUAUCAGCAAAGCGGUGCGGGCAUCACCGUCGGCUCUUAAUAUGACCCGACGGUGAUGCUGGGUAUCACCGCCGGGUCGCGUCAAUGAACCGGUUCGAUUUAGUUUAAACCUGUGGUGACGAGGCGUUUGCAAUAGAAGGUUUUAUAGUAGUGUAGAUUGAUUGACUAAUAAACUUUGUAGUAGUUGAUAUGAUAUGUAUG